rnacentral:lncRNA from 1 species
AGAAACACAGCUUAAAGACUCCUUUGCUGAGUUAUUACUCGCCACAUCACAGCCUCACACGCACACAGACUGCACGAGUGGAGACUGAGUUAGUGGAAAAUUUCUUGGGGCAAGGUCCGCAAGGAGGGUGAUGCUACUAAUUCAGUUGACUAGGUUUUUAUGAAUCUCCACAUGCUCUCCCCUCUUUUCAAAUACUAUAUUAUAUAUAUAUUCCUUUAAUUUUACAGCCCCUCGAUGAUCUAUAUAUUGAAGAAAUAGAAAUCACACAUGCAUGUGGGCACGUGUGCAUAUAUGUUUGCAUAAAAAUGCAUACGCGAGAGCUUCUAAAUAUUCACACACACAUGUGUGCACAUGCACACGCACUUCAACCUGAAAUUCUCUGUAAGAUUUUCCAUUUAGUAUUCUCACUUGUGCGAUGUUUGGCGCUCAUUCCAAGGUUAACUCCUAAUUCACCCAUUUUGUAAAGCAAAGACCUCUCUAUAUUUAUACGUACGCACGUAUGGUGAGAGUAUAUGCGUAUCUAUCUAGGGUUCUAAUUAAUAUACCUACCAUGUGAUGACUCUUUCAUUGAUGACCUCUCUCGAUCCAAAAUGAUUGUGUUCAUUCUCACCACAUGAUCACAUUAAAUUGGAUACUGAGAUAUAUAAUAAUCAUGGAGAUAUCCAACUGGCUGGCUGGCUGGCUAGCAGCUUCAAAUGGUAACCGUGGAAGCAACUGUACCUCCGGUGAUCUUUACUUUUUUCCCCCUCUUCAUGACAUCGUUGCACGUUGUCAUAGCAGAAUUCUUCUUUGUGUGCUAGCAAUAUCCUUCUCGGAAUUUAAGCCGAGGACAGCACGCAUAUGCAUACAUAUAAUAUAAUUGGUAGUGUUUGUUUCUGAAUACCGUAACGGAAAUUAUAAAAUAAAAUUAUUUAGGAUUCUCUAUAAUCCUAUUAGAUAAAUCUAGAGUUAUUUAAGGAUAUUUUUACUUAAAAAUCUAAUUUUUUUCAGCUUUAAAUAAUUCUUUAAAUAUUAUUUUGUCAUAAACCACAAGUCGUCUAAUUGUUCGGUCUCCAACAAUAAUCUACACGAACCACAAGUAAAAAAUCUUUUAAAUCCCUAUUUAGAAGAGAGUUAUUGUUGUGUCUUUCAUGAUGCCCCCAGUAGGUUUGUUUGCUUUAGAGAUAACACUCUUAUUAAUUUUAUCCUUCUUUUUAGACGUUCUAAAAGACUGAACUAGAAGAACUAUGUCUUUUUUCUUUUUAAGGACCUCUUCAGUAGUCUUAAGGAUAUUAAUCAAUUAUGGCAAUGUACUAUCCAACUUGUUCAUGUGAUAGUUCAUAAUGAGUUGUGAAAGGCUUUAGGAUAAUGAUUGUAAGACCAAUUCAACAUUUAACUCAUGGUCCAUGACAAAACUCAAUUGGCCCAACUUCUCAAUAUACCCAAUCAUUUUCAAAACAUGGGUAUUCACUGAAGAACCAUCUGUCAUCUUGCAGCAAAAUAAUUUCUUAGAGGUCUCAUACCUCUCAAUCCUACUUAUCUCAUCAAACAAUUCUUUGAGAUGCAUAAUCAUCGUAUAGGCAUCCAUAUUCUCAUAUUACCUUUGAAUUUAGGUGACAUACUAGCUAACAUCACACAUGUAACCUAUUCAUCUUUAUAAAGAUGACGCAUUAAUGUUCAUUUCUAACUUCUUCUUUAGCAUCCUCAACAGGGGCAUUUGGAAUUGGUUUUUCAAAAGCAUGCAAUUUUUUUUCUUGCUUGGAAACAAUUCUCACAUUUGAUUGUCAAUCCAUGAAAUUUGGUCUCGUCAAUUUAUUAACAUCAAGUAUGCUUCAAAAGGAUAUAUUACUACUUAUUUUAUCUAUAAACCCAUUAAUAUUAUUUGGAUUUCCUGAAUAUCAUACACACAACAGAAACUAUGAAACAAAAUUAUUUUAGAGUCUCUAGAAUCUCGUUGGAUAGAUCUAGAGUUAUUUAGGAAUUUAUUAUCUGAAGAUCUGAUAUUCUUCGGCUUUGAAUAAUUUUUUAAAGACUGAGUUGUCGCAAACUACAAGUCCUUCAAUUUUCCAGCCUCCAAUGGUAAUCCACUCGAACCACUAGUGAGAAAUCUCAUAAAUCCCCAUUUAGAAUACAGAGAUUGUUAUGCUUAGAGUGUUAGCUCUAAUUUUACGUUUAUAUAGUUUUUCUAUCUAACAAACAACCUCUAAAAAAUAAGAGGCAUAGCUUUUUAUUUAUAGAAAAAUAUAAAAAAACAAUAUAAAUUGAUAAAAUAUCAAUUUGCCCCGGAAUAAUAACCUUAUAUUAAUUCAGGAUAAUUUUAGAAAUUAUCUCAAUCAAUUCAUUACUUGAUUUUUCUAGAUUUAGAAAUAUAAUCUCUAUAUUAAUUAUAUUCAAGUCCUUAAUUUCUAAAACAUAUUUUAAUUAAAUCAUACUUAACUAAAUCAUCCUAGUUUAAUUUCUGACUAAUGGUUCUUAAUGUAAGUGACAUAUUAGGUUCCUAAUAUGUUGACUCAAAUAUAAAUUAUAAUUUUAAUUAAAUAUAAUUAAAUAAAUUAAAUAGUUUAAUUUAUUAUCAAUUAAACAAUUAAUUAAUUUAUAUUUUAAAAUCAGUUGCAUCUUUUAGCAACAUGUCAUAAUCCCCCUAAAUAUUAGAAAAUUCAUUAGUUGUUUGACUUAACCUUUCAGUGACUAGUUUUUCAAUGUAACUAAUAUCCUUUCAUCAAUAAUGUUCUGAUUUAACAUUAAAGCAUGCAGUAUAUCUGUCAUGUUAGAUCAUGUUUGUUUUCUACAUAAUAGUCAUUGAUCCUUUGAAUAAGAUUUGAAAGUCUUUUCAAAUCUCAUUAUAUUUUGGCCAAGAAUAUCUCAAUCAAUACUCUUUUAGAACAUAUGAAAUAUUUUUUCUAAUUCACCUAGAGUAAUAAAUCAUCUCUUGAUCACUUGAAUACCUUUAUAUAAUUCAUGUUUUACCCAAUGUUUGCCCUGUUGAUACCUUAAUUAAGAUAACAUGUAACAUGAUCAAGUGAUAACAUUUUCUAUAUAAGAUAACUUAGUGAUCUCAAAUCUAAAGAUCAUUUACACAAUUGUCACGUGAUCCUUUCUAUAAACAUAAAUGAUCUCUCCAUAUAAAAUUCUUAUAUGAGUCAGUUCGGUGUACAUGUCUUAUGAUAAGCAUCUAUAUAUUAGUUAUAGGUAUCUUUUAUAUCUCGGCUUAUAAGAACAAUUGAUUCAUUUCAUAAAUAAAAGAACAUAAUAUAUAUCGGUCUUUGCAGCUCUAAUGAAUGUUCAGAAUUUAAGAGGGCAUCGACCAGGAAUAUUUUAGGAACAAUGCUUUGAUCACUACAAGAUUUAACAAUUUUACCGAUGGAAUUUUUCCGUCGACGUAAGACACAUAUUCCAUCGGUAAUUAAUUUACCGAUAAAAUCACCGACGGAGAAUUUUCGUCAGUGAAUCUUUCGUCGGUAAUUUUUUGUCUAUCGGUAAAUCCAUCGGUAAUAAUAUUACCGACGGAUUUACUGGCAGAACAGACGCGUCGGUAAAAAUAUUUUUUUAUUACCGACGGAAAUUUCCGUCGGUAAAUCCGUCGGUAAUUAUUUAAAAAUAUUUUUAAAAAAUUCAUUUUAUAAAAUUAUAAAAUAAUUAAAUUAACAUAAAUCAACAUUGUAUAAUAUAUACUCAAAAUGCUUUUGAAAAAAGAAUAAGAAAAUCAACUCAAACAAAUUUGGAACAAAUAAAUAAAACCAAAAAAAUUAAUUCAACUAAAAAAAUUCAUAUGAAAAAAAUGAAGUUGCAAUUGCUAAAAAUUUAAAAAUCCUAUAAAUAAAUCAACUAAAAAUUGAUCUCAUAUGAAAAAAAAAAUCUCACAACAACAUUUAUACAAUUAUUAAGAACAAAAUCAAUUAAAAUCAAAUAAAAAACAAAUAUAGUGAAAUAAAUCAUGAAAAAAUAAGAAAAAAGAAAAAUCUUACCUUAAUAUACUUGCAAGUGAAGCUAAGGAAAAAAAAAUUCGUAAAGCAUAUUAAUUAAAAAAAACUAAAAGGAUAAAAGAAGAAAGAAGAAGAAGACAUACCCGAGCAUGGAGGAAAAGAGAAGGAGAUAAGGAGAGAAACGAAGAGAAAAAAAUAGAUAUUGAUGUUUUUUACAUAUAGUGAAGAAGAAGUAGAAGUAGAAGUAGAAGUAGAAGUAGUAGAAGAAGAAGAAGAAGUAGAAGUAGUAGUAGAAGAAAAAGAAAUAAUGAUUCUGUCUCUUGUGAAAUACACGGAUUUAGCUUUUUUAUUGGGACGCGUUACCGACGGAUAAUUGAAUAUUAAUAUUUUUUAAUAAUUUCGUCGGUAAUUUCAUCGAUAAUAUUUAAUUUAAAUUUUUAAUUUCGUAAAAAGUUUUCAGAAACCGCCAAAAAUUACCGAUGAUUUUUCAAUUCGUCGGUGAUUCCGUCUGUAAUAUUUAAAUGAAAAUUUUAAAUGAAUUGAAUUUUUUCAGAAAACCGCCAAAACACACUGACAAAUUUUAAAUCCAUCGGUGAUUUUGUCCGUAAAGUAAAACAAUUAACAGUGCAAUUGGAAAAUAAACAGUUAUGGAGCUCUCUGGAAAAUUCCGUCGGUAAUUCCCUUUGUAAUUGACAUGAUGAACAGUGUUCAUAGUUUCCCGACGGAUUUACCAACGGAAUUAACCGACGGAAUAAUUCCGUUGGUAAAAAAUGACACGUCAUCAUUUUUUUUUGCUUUGUUUUAAUUUUUUUUCCCUCGGUAUAUACCGAGGGAAUAUUUCCGUCGGUAAAAUCCCUCGGAAAUUUACCGACGAAAUAUUCCCUCAGUAUUUCCGUUUGUAUUUAUUGAUUUUCUGGUAGUGCGAUACGAUAUGAAUCUUAUAAUUAUAACAACUUUAUAAUUUUCUUUAUAAAUCAUUUUUGUCUCAUGAACUUUAUUUUUAUUCUGAAUUUAUUAAUUUAAUAUUAUAUGAAUAUUAAAAAUAAAUUAAGUCUUUAUUAGUAAUAAAUAUAUAUAUAUAUAUAUAUAUAUUUAUAUAUAUUAGAAAACACUCCAUUAAACAUAAAACUAUAGUUUUUCUCUUUAAAUGUGUUGGAAGACUCGAAAGAAUUAAUAGAGCUGACCAUGCAAAUACAAUAAUUUCGAGUUAAAAUACGUCUCCUAAAAGAAAAUUUUUAUUUAAUGAUAGAGAUAUUUUCAAAACAACUUAUUCAAUAAUCAAAAUUAAUUAAAUAUUUUUCUUCGAUGUUGAUCUAAUGCAUUAUAAAAACUUUUAUCGUUGAGAAAUUGGUUGGACAUGCUUUCCUCCACAAACUUCUAUAGUACUGUACUUGGAUAAGAAACGUCGGCUCUCUCUCUCUCUUUCUUUUUUAGUUCAUGCAAUCCGAUCACUGUACGAAGCUGGAGCCAACGACACAUGAUGGUCAAAGACAUGAGUGCGCGGCUAGUUCUGAAUCAAAACGGACAGACAAAAAAAAAAAACAGGGUGGGUUUAAUUGUUGAUAUAAAUAGUGAAAUAAAUUUAUAUUUUUUUUAAUAUUUUAUGACAACUUCUACUUCACUCGGUUGGAUCGGCAUCUAAAGGGUAAAGGUUUGAUUCAUAUUGGUAGCAAUAUUUGAUUUUGCAUGCGUUUAGAAUAUGUCGCAACAAGCUUUAAAGGAUUUGUUUUUAAUAUAUAAUUUUUAUUUAAUUUUAUUAUUUAAUAUUAAAUUAAUUAUAAAUUAAUUUUUAUAUUUUUAUUAUAUAAUAAAAUAAAAUAAUAAUUUUACAUAAUAAUUCAUAACUUGAAUUGUAGAGUUUGAUGGAUUGACUAAAAUUAACUUUACAUGUUUUUUUUCUUUAAAUUUACCCACUUAAUGAAAUUAUAUCGGAACAAUUCAUACAUAAUUUAACAUAAAAUUUGGAUUAAAAAGAAAAGUUGGGUCAGAGGUUUUAAAUAUUGUUUCGAGUUUAAUAAAAUUAUCAAAAAAAUAUAUUAUUUUUUAACAUUUUAACAAAUUAUUGUCCUACCCGCGGAAAUGGAUAAUUCAACCGCUACUUCAACAACAUCAAUAAGCUGAUACAGAACUUCAAUCUUGCACAUUGAAGGGGAGGCAUCGGCCUGAUAUCGCCCAUUUAUUCGAUCUUUCACCGGGGCAGCAGGAACAGCAAACGGAGAGAUCGAGACUCAGUCCUGAACUCCAGAAGCGGACGGAUGCCCGAGGAGUUCUACCGUUGACGACAGCAGCGGGAAUGGUCUUCAAAUAAAGUUGGAAAUAUAUAAACUAAUAUCUAGAUAAUACGCGUGUAUGGAACAAAAAUGUGUUACGAUAUGAUCCUUAUCAAUGGAGGACAUGGAUUUCUUUAUAUCAGUGCAGGGUUCAGAGGAUUGAGAGAGGAAACUCGGUCAAAGAUCCAAACAACAAAUUAACCGCAAGUUACCACAAGGCGUGACCAAAGAUAUAUAGUAAGUUUAGAAACUUUUAUAAACCCCAUGUUCUCUCUCUCCUUCUUGGAUCCCUCAUUAUUAAUAACUCCAUGGACUAUUCAAACAGAUCUCUUACGGAUACUUCAAGUGUUGUUACCAUCAAAGCCAUCAGAUUGAGAGGAUAAGAGAUUAUUGAGGAUAAGAGACCAUGCAUAUGCAGAGCUCUCUCUCUCUCUCUCUCUCUCUCUCUCUCUCUCUCUCUCUCCCACUUGUUGAAACCUUAAUGGGUACCUUCUGUCCCAUACAGCUCAUAUGGACCACAGUUCACAAAUUGCUCAUUUGGGUCUUUCAGUAGCGUUGGGCCCAUAAGUUUUCUUUCGAAUUUGGGUCCUUCCUGAUAAAAUCAUCAGUGUCCACGGUUGCCUCUUGGGACCAACUCUCUUCUUCUUCUUCUGAUCUUUUGGUGGUGAAUUGCAUGGAAACCUAUAAACUACUGAUUCUUUGAAAGGAUUGGCAAACAUAGGGGUCUUGAUUUGACUGCUGGGAUUUAAUUUCAUUUAUUAACAGUGUUUUUUUUCUCCGAUGACGAUGAUGGGUUGUUGAUUGUUUUUAUUGUCCCAGGGGUAUAGCAUGAUGUCAAAUGACUUGAAAUCUGCAUAAUAAAUCUUGAAUUCGAGUCAAGGUAUGCACUUCUUGUAAGAGUUUCCUCAAAUAAAAAAAUAAAAAGAUGUUGGGUUGUUGAUUUGUGAAGUCCUCCAUAUAAUUAAUCAACAGUGAAAAACCGGUGAGCAGAGGAGCAAAACAUGGCAGUUAAUUGGAUGAAGAGGCCCACCCACAAGCCCACGCUGUUAUUUGCGUACACGAUUUGCAAGUAUGGGAAGAAGCCAUGCCCAAGCUGGCAGCCAGAGUCGUGCUGGGGCGAGGGGGUUGUGUGGUCCCCAUAUUAUGGGUCCCAGCAAAGCUCUUGAGUAUUAUUAAAAAGUGUUUUUUAAGAAAAAACAAUCUAACAUAGAAAACUUUGUCGUGUAGCAAAGUACAUCGUACGGACGGACACGAAUGGGCCACGGCAACACCGACCGCGCCGAGCGUAAUUAGCAGAAACAUCUCUCUCCAAUCAUUUUUGGCAAAACCCACCACUCCUAUUCCUUGCUUUUCGUAAUCAGGGGCAAAGAUUGCUUCUAUGACGUCAUGCAUCUCUCCACGCCCUCCACCGUAGCGCGUGAUAGUCUUGACAUGUCCCCUCACUAUCGAUGAGCUUAACAUGGCAGUUUGAAAACGCGUCCACAAGUGUUUUUAAAAACUUAAAAUACAAUUUUGUUUAAAGUUAUUUUUUAAAAAUAUUUUUGCAUCAUUUUGAUACAUUAAUAUAAAAAAUAUAAAAAAUAAAAUAUAUUAUCUUUAUAUAUUUUCAAACAAAAAAUAAUUUAAACUACAACCAUUUAAUAUUAUUUUUAUAUCAACUAAAACUAAAUUGUUGUUUCAAACUAUCUUGAAAGUAAAUCUUUAUUACGGAUGAUUAUUUUCAGUUUAAUUUAGUUUUUAUCAAAACAAAAUAACCAAACCAAAAUUAUUAAAAAAAAACCGAAACUGGAUCAAAACAUCCAAUUUCUGUUCGGUUUGGUUUUUUUGGACAAAAACCGAUUCAAAUCGGUUUAGCUUAGUUUUUUUUCGAUUUGGGUUCGGUUCGAUUUUUUUGAUUUCAAGCUUAUAAAACCAAAACUGAUUCAAACCGACGUCAUGCAUCUCUCCACGCCCUCCACCAUAGCGCGUGAUAGUCUUGACAUGUCAACUCACUAUCGAUGAGCUUAACAUGGUAGUUUGAAAAACACGUCCACAAGUGUUUUUUAAAAAUUAUUUAAAAUUAUUUUUUUUAGUAUUUUUAGAGUAUUUUGAUAUGCUAAUAUCAAAAAUAAUUUUUUUAAAAAAAAUCAUUUUGAUACAAUUCUAAUGAAAAUAUAUUUUUCAUUACAACAAUCUUAAACAGGUUUAAAGGGUGUUUUCAUAUCAUCUUUAUAUUAACUAAAACUAAAUUGUUAUUUCAAACUAUCUUGAAAGUAAAUCUUUACAUCAAUUUGUUUUAUUUAAAAAUAUAUAUAUUUUGAAUAAUAAUUAUAAUCUUUGUACCUAAGAAGUAAAAAAAAAAUAGAUUACACCUCUUAUUUAUAUAAAUUCUUUUAAUUUUGUGUCUAUAUCUUUGACAUUAAGUUGUCCAUUUAAAAUUCUUAUAUUUAACAAGCUGAUUGAAUAAGAUUUUUUAGAGGUUAUAUAAUUGAGAAAAUAUAAUAUGGAGGGUGAUAAAAUAUAUUAAUAUGUGCAGCCUUCUAAACUAGUUUAAAAACGAUGUUAUAUAUGUUAAAAAUAAAGUAAACCAUAAUCUAGUCCCUAUAUAAUAUAAAAUAAAUAAUUUAAUUUUUUUAUUUUUUUAAAUCAAUUAGUCAUUUCUUUAUAUUCGGAACCACUAGCAAAAAACUAAAAGUAAAUUCCAACGCCGGCUUAACAUUUCACCAAAAAAUCACUAACAAAGAACCUAGUCAACUAUCGUAUAUGAAAAUCAAUAAUUAAUUUCAAGAUAUUUAUUUAUGUAUAGAGAGAUAGAGGUGAUAAUUUUCGGUUCAGUUUGGUUCAGUUUUUAUAUAUAAAAAAUAAACAACCAAAUUGAAUUUUAAAAAAAAAAACUGAAACCGGUUCAAACUAAUCGAUUCCAGUUCCGGUUCGGGUUUUUUAGACAAAAACCGUUUCCAACCAUUUUGGCUUGGUUUUUUCAUUUUAGCUCGUUUUUUUCGGUCUGGCUCAAUCUUUUCUAGUUUGGGUUCAGUUCGGUUUGAUUUUUUUGAUUUCAGGCUUAUAAACCAAACCGAACCGGUCAGUUUUUUCAAAAUUUUAAUUGGUUUUUUUAUUACAAUUUGAUUUUUUCAGUUAUGUUUUUCUGGUUUUUUCAGUUCAAUCUAUUUUUUUCUCACUUCUAGACAGAAAUUAGGUUAUAAUUUACUCUUGAGAGGUACACUCUGGGUAUUUAAUUUAAGCAUGAGCGUGGGACUUUUUAAUUAUAUAGUUCACGUGUCUGUCAUUCCAACACAAAUUCGAGAUAUGUGGAGUUUUCCUUAAUUCAACAUAUUAUAUACUAAAUUAAGUAAAUCGAUCAGAACAAAAAAAAAAAAAAAAGGGGGGGGUAAAAUCAUAUACAAUAGAAAUGGUUGUGUUAUAAAGCGCGUGAUUUCCCUUGGGCUUAAGGCUAUGAUUCGAUCCGCGCAGACCUAUUUUAACCCAAUCCAGGGUCGAGCGAGUCGUUGAAAAAUGUGGACAGCUAAACAAGUCUGGCCCGAUUAUGAAAGUCGGACCAACCCAAAUAAAUAACCUUCUCUUUCUUAAAUCUUAAUUGUUUAUUCUUGUUUUUGGGCCAUUUAAUUGCGUUAAAUUACUGAUCCACCUCUCCAUUAUUAGUAUACAGAUUGCCGGGGGGGGGGGAUAUUUAAUGGGGGAUAUUUAAUUUUAUAGAUAACGGUUUGUGGUAUUUUUCGAUAAGUGUGCUUCAGUUUUUUGGGAUUUUGACGGGGGAAAAAGUUAUAAAAUUUGACAUGACUGUUGAAGCUUGAGUGUUCUAAGAAACUAUAGUUUCUUAAGAAAGAAGCAAGAGUGAGUAAGUGAUCAAACAUAAGAGAGAGUGGAGAAUUAUAGCAAUAGAAAACAACAGCUUUGUUCAACCGGCGAUUCCACGGUUUGAUGGUCAUUACGAUCAUUGGGUUAUGCACAUGGAGAAUUUUCUCAAGUCAAAAGAGUAUUGGGACUUAAUAAAAAAAAAAAAAACAAGAUACCUGUAGCAAUAGAAGAAGCAACAGAGACACAAUGUAAGCUCAUUGUAGAUUUGAAACUAAAAUAUUUAUGCCAAAGAUAGCUUGUUUGGCAGUGUAAUUGUGGUUGCUUUUCAAAUAACUUUUUAUACCAAAAUAUAUGCCAAUUAUGUUUUUUUUUUAUUUUUUGACGUCAGCACAUCAAAAUAAUUUGAAAACACAAAAAACUUAUUAAUUUGAAGUUAAUAAAAAUAAAAUAAAAUUCAAAUUUUUUCAAAAGCGCUUUUGAAACGCAGAAACAAACAGAGAUCAAGAAUUAUCUAUUCCAAGCUAUAGUAUUAAGGCCAUUCUCAAUAAGGAGACUGCAAAGGCUAUCUGGGAUUCGAUGAGAUUAAAGUAUCAAGGCUCUACAAAGGUGAAACAUGCUUGGUUGUAGGCUUUGAGAAGGGAAUUUGAGAUUCUUGGCAUAAAAGAGGGUGAAAAGGUCAAUAAAUACUUUGCUAGAACACUGAUCAUUGCAAAUAAGAUGAAAACAUAUGGAGAAAAAAUGGAGCAGAGUGUGAUCAUUGAAAAAAUCUUAAGAUCAAUGACUCUUAAAUUCAAUUAUGUUGUGUGUUCGAUUGAAGAGUCUAAUGAUCUGUCUACUAUGACCAUAGAUGAACUUCAGAGCAGUUUGUUGAUCCACGAAUAGAGAAUGCAUAGACAGAAGGAGGAAGAACAUGUUUUGAAUAUCAUUAAUUCAGAAAAUGAUAGAGGAAGAGAUUAAUACAAGUUUGAAGGAAGAGGAAGAGCUCAUGGGAAUUUUAGAGGAAAAGGUCGAAGUAGGGGUAGGCAGCCUUUCAAUAAAGCUCUUGUGGAAUGUUUCAACUGUUAGAGACUUGGUCACUAUUAAUAUGAGUGUCCUCAUUUGAGAAAUGCUGCAAACUACGUUAAGUUGGAUGAAGAUAAGGAGAUGUUGUUAAUGUCAUACAUUAAGAUGAAUAAUUCAACAACAAAAGAGAAUGUCUGGUAUUUAGACUCCAGGUGCAGUAACCAUAUGUGUUGUAUCAAAAGUUUUUUUUUCAGACCUUGAUGAAAAGUUCAGACAAUCUGUGAAACUUGGAGACAAUUCAAAGAUGAUGGUGAUAGGGAAAGGAAAUAUCAGACUCCAAGUGGGUGGCAUGAGUUGGGUAAUCACUGAAGUUUAUUUUUCACAUGAGUUAAAGAAUAAUCUUCUGAGUGUUGGCCAACUACAAGAACAAGGUCUCACCAUUCUUAUUCAAAAUGGUAUAUGUAAUAUUUAUCAUCCAAUGAAGGGAUUAAUUAUGCAGUCUAGAAUGUCAACAAAUAGAAUGUUUGUUGUGUUGGCUUUAGUAAUGCCUUAAGUUAUAACAUGUUUUCAAACUGUGACUGAAGACAACUCACAUUUAUGGCACUGUCGAUUUAGACAUCUUAGCUUCAAGGGACUGAGAACUCUUAUGUACAAGAAAAUGGUGAGAGGACUACCAAUUCUCCAAGCUUCAUCAAAGGUGUGUUUACACUGCAUGGUGGGAAAAGAACAUCGAGAAGUUAUUCCCAAGAUGAGCCUGUGGAGAGCUUCACAACGUCUUCAUGCUGAUAUCUACGGACCUAUCAAGCCUGAAUCACAAUCAUAAAAGGUACUUAAUUAAUUUUAUUAAUGACUAUAGUAGGAAGACCUAGGUUUAUUUCUUAUCAGAUAAAUAUGAGGCAUUUGAUGUAUUUAAAAAGUUCAAAGCACUUAUUGAAAAAGAAACUGGUAAUUUUAUUUGUUGCCUACGUACUGAUAGAAGUGGAGAAUUCACCUCGUUGGAGUUUAAUCAAUUUUGCAGCAUAAAUGGAAUAACUAGGCAACUUACUACCUCUUACACACCCCAAUAAAAUAGGAUGGCUGUGAGAAAGAACUACACUGUCAUGAACAUGGUGCGUAGCAUGUUGUUAGGAAAACAAAUUCCUAAGGAGAUUUGGUCUGAGGUUGUCAAUUAGGCGAUACAUAAAUUUAAUGUAACAUCUGAAGAGGCCUGGAGUGGUAACAAACCUUCUGUGUAUUAUUUUAGAGUAUUUGGAUGCAUUGCUCAUGUCCAUAUUCCAGAAAAACGAAGAUCAAAGUUGGAUGAUAAAAAUGAGAAAUGUAUCCUAUUUGGUGUAAAUAAGGAGGCCAAAGCAUAUAGGCUAUACAAUUCGGUUUCAAAGAAAGUGAUAAUUAGUAGCGAUGUGGUAUUUGUCGAAAAUGAGAAAUGAGAGUGGAAAAAAAACAAUAAAGAGAUAAAAGUUGAUGUAUUAGAGUGGGGUGAUGAGGAAGAAAUCAGGACUCAAGAAUUUGAAGAAGGUAUGAAUGCUGAGAUUGAAGAAGUAGACGGUGUGAAUGUUGAGAUUAAAGAAGUAGACAUAGGAGGUUUUAAUUCUCCAUCUGAAGACUUAAAUGUAAAUACAGAAGGUUCUUUAAAUCUAUUUCAAGGGAGGAAUAGAAGAUAGCCUUCUUGGAUGCAAGAUUAUGUGUCAAGUGAAGGUUUAUUAGAAGAAGAUGAGAUUGAAAUUUUGGUGAUGUUCACUACUUCAGAAGACCUGCAUGCUUCGAAGAUGCCGUCAAGAGUUUGAAGUGGAGAGAAGCAAUGAAAUUAUAGAUCAAAGCCAUUGAAGAGAAUGAGACCUGGGAGUUAACAACAUUACCAGAAGGAGCAAAGAAAAUAUGAGUGAAAUAGGUGUAUAAGACCAAGCUUAAUGAGAAGGGUGAGGUUGAAAAGUUUAAGGCUCGUCUCGUGGCAAAGGGUUACUCACAACAGCAUCGUAUUAAUUACAAUGAGGUGUUUUCUUCGGUGGCCAGAUGGGAUAUUAUCAAAGUGGUUCUUGCUCUUGCAGCACAAAAGGGUUGGUAUGUGUAUCAAUUUGAUGUAAAAAAUGCGUUCUUGCAUGAAGAAUUAAAUGAAGAUGUAUUUGUUGAUCAACCACAAGGAUUCACAAAAAGAGGAGAAGAACAUAAGGUUUAUAAACUUAGAAAAGCUUUGUAUGGACUUAAGCAAGCUCCCCAAGCUUGGUAUAGCAAAAUUGAAGGGUACUUCAUUAAAGAGGGUUUUGAGAAAUGCUACUGUGAACACACACUGUUUGUGAAAACUGAAGAUGGAGGUAAGAUUCUCAUUGUAAGCCUUUACAUAGAUGAUUUGAUUUUUACUGGAAACAAUGAGGAUAUGUUUGAUAGAUUUAAGGAGUCGAUGAAGAAGGAAUUUGCCAUGUCUGAUCUUAGUAAAAUGAAGUAUUUCCUUGGUGUAGAAGUCAUAAAGGAUAAUCAUGGAAUAUUUAUCAAUCCAAAAAAAUUAUGCUCAUGAAGUGUUAGAGAGAUUUGGGAUGCUGAAUAACAACUUAGUGAAGAAUCCAAUCAUUCCAAGUUCCAGAUUGUCAAAGAAUGAGGGAGGAGCUGCUGUAGAUACAACAAUGUUCAAGCAAAUGACAGGCAACCUUAUGUAUCUAACUGCUACCAAGCUAGAAUUGUUGUACCCUAUUUGCUUAAUUAGUAGAUAUAUGGAAAGGCUUACUGAAAUACAUUUGCAAGCUGCGAAAAGAAUUCUAAGAUAUUUGAAGGGUAUGACUUGAGCUGGGGAUUGCUUAUAAAAGAGGUGGAGAAGAAGAAUUGGUGAGGUUUGCUGACAGUGAUUAUGCAGGAGACAUUGAUUAUAGGAAAAUCACUUCUGGAUACACCUUCAUGCUUGGAACUAGAGCAGUUUCUUAGUCUUCAAAGAAGCAACCGGUUGUGACCCUGUCCACUACAAAGGUUGAAUUCAUUGCAGCAGCAUACUGUGCAUGCCAGGGAGUUUGGUUGAGAUGAGUUCUUAAAAAGUUGGGACGUAUUCAAAGUAAAUGCACAACCAUUUUCUGUGAUAACAGUUUGCCCAUAAAACUAUCAAAAAAUUCAGUCAUGCAUGAGAGGAGCAAACAUAUAGAUAUAAAGUUUCAUUGUUUCACUGUUGAACUGGUGCACUACAAUACACAAGAAUAACUUUCUAAUAUAAUGACAAAGCCUUUCAAAUUGGAAGCGUUUUUAAAGCUACAUGACAUGAUUGGUAUGUGUUUGAAGUCAGUAAACUGAUUGCAGUUCUGCAAUUCAAUUUAAAGGAGGAUAUGUUGAAGCAUGCAUUAAGUUUUAAUGUUUUUCAGUUAAUAAUCCACUCAUUGUUGAGAUAAGUUGUUAAUGCAGAAUAUUAUUUGAAUUGGUCUAGAUUUCUCACCACAAUUUUAGAAAGUAAUAACAUGAAGUUUGUUUUUUCUAUUUUCCUAUGUAAAGGCUUAUAUAUAUAGCCAUUAGUGAUUGAAUAAAUUGUGCUCCAUCCUUUAAAUAUUGUGAGUUAUCCAUUUAUCAGAAGCAGGAGAAUUAACAACGACUCUAUAAAUAUCGAGUUGAUUCGAAACUUGAUUUACAUUAGGCUAUAUAAAAUAAUUUUUUAAAAUCAAAACAAAUUAUUUUAUUUUUUUCAAAAUCAUAGCUUAAAUUGACCUAUAAAAUAACUUGCCGAACUAACUAUCCAUUCUUAAUAAUCUAUUAUAAUCAAAUAAUUUAUCACUUCUUAUUAAAACAUAUAAUUAUCCAUUUAAAUGUAUAAACUUUUUAGUUUUCAACUAGAAUCUUUCUCGAUAAUAAUAAAAAAGGAAGAAAAGACUUAAUAUGGUAGCGUAUUACGAGAGAUCAAACUACUAUAGAAAAAAAAACAUUGACUCUUCUUCCAAGUGCAUUGAAGGCACGACAACAAGCUGUAUCUUGAUACGAAUAAGCAUGAUAUAUAUAUUUCGAACACGAAUAUAUAAGCAACUGCACAUUAUAAAUUUGGAAAAGUAUUUGAUUAUGUUUAUUUUUGUAUUUUAAAAAUAUUUUAGAAAAAAAUUGAAAUUUGUUUUAUUUUUUUUUCUUCAAAUUAAUAUUUUUCUAGUAUUUUUAAAUUAUUUUGAUUUACGUUAGGCUAUAUAAAAUAAUUUUUUAAAAUCAAAAUAAAUUAUUUUAUUUUUUUCAAAAUCGUAGCUUAAAUUGACCUAUAAAAUAACUUGUCGAACUAAAUAUCCAUUCUUGAUAUUCUAUUAUAAUCAAAUAAUUUAUCACUUCUUAUUAAAACAUAUAAUUAUCCAUUUAAAUGUAUAAACUUUUUAGUUUUCAACUAGAAUCUUUCUCGAUAAUAAUAAAAAAGGAAGAAAAAACUUAAUAUGGUAGUGUAUUACGAGAGAUCAAACUACUAUAGGAAAAAAAAACAUUGACUCUUCUUCCAAGUGCAUUGAAGGCACGGCAACAAGCUGUAUCUUGAUACGAAUAAGCAUGAUAUAUAUAUUUCGAACACGAAUAUAUAAGCAACUGCACAUUAUAAAUUUGGAAAAGUAUUUGAUUAUGUUUAUUUUUGUAUUUUAAAAAUAUUUUAGAAAAAAAUUGAAAUUUGUUUUAUUUUUUUUACUUCAAAUUAAUAUUUUUCUAGUAUUUUUAAAUUAUUUUGAUUUACGUUAGGCUAUAUAAAAUAAUUUUUUAAAAUCAAAAUAAAUUAUUUUAUUUUUUUCAAAAUCGUAGCUUAAAUUGACCUAUAAAAUAACUUGUCGAACUAAAUAUCCAUUCUUGAUAUUCUAUUAUAAUCAAAUAAUUUAUCACUUCUUAUUAAAACAUAUAAUUAUCCAUUUAAAUGUAUAAACUUUUUAGUUUUCAACUAGAAUCUUUCUCGAUAAUAAUAAAAAAGGAAGAAAAAACUUAAUAUGGUAGUGUAUUACGAGAGAUCAAACUACUAUAGGAAAAAAAAAUUGACUCUUCUUCCAAGUGCAUUGAAGGCACGGCAACAAGCUGUAUCUUGAUACGAUAAGCAUGAUAUAUAUAUUUCGAACACGAAUAUAUAAGCAACUGCACAUUAUAAAUUUGAAAAGUAUUUGAUUAUGUUUAUUUUUGUAUUUUAAAAAUAUUUUAGAAAAAAAUUGAAAUUUUUUUAUUUUUUUUACUUCAAAUUAAUAUUUUUCUAGUAUUUUUAAAUUAUUUUGAUUUGCGUUAGGAUAUAUAAAAUAUUUUUUAAAAAUCAAAAUAAAUUAUUUUAUUUUUUUCAAAAUCAUAGCUUAAAUUGACCUAUAAAAUAACUUGUCGAACUAAAUAUCCAUUCUUGAUAUUCUAUUAUAAUCAAAUAAUUUAUCACUUCUUAUUAAAACAUAUAAUUAUCCAUUUAAAUGUAUAAACUUUUUAGUUUUCAACUAGAAUCUUUCUCGAUAAUAAUAAAAAAGGAAGAAAAAACUUAAUAUGGUAGCGUAUUACGAGAGAUCAAACUACUAUAGGAAAAAAAAACAUUGACUCUUCUUCCAAGUGCAUUGAAGGCACGGCAACAAGCUGUAUCUUGAUACGAAUAAGCAUGAUAUAUAUAUUUCAAAAACGAAUAUAUAAGCAACUGCACAUUAUAAAUUUGGAAAACUAUUUGAUUAUGUUUAUUUUUGUAUUUUAAAAAUAUUUUAGAAAAAAAUUGAAUUUUUUUUAUUUUUUUUACUUCAAAUUAAUAUUUUUCUAGUAUUUUUAAAUUAUUUUGAUUUACGUUAGGCUAUAUAAAAUAAUUUUUUAAAAUCAAAAUAAAUUAUUUUAUUUUUUUCAAAAUCAUAGCUUAAAUUGACCUAUAAAAUAACUUGUCGAACUAAAUAUCCAUUCUUGAUAUUCUAUUAUAAUCAAAUAAUUUAUCACUUCUUAUUAAAACAUAUAAUUAUCCAUUUAAAUGUAUAAACUUUUUAGUUUUCAACUAGAAUCUUUCUCGAUAAUAAUAAAAAAGGAAGAAAAAACUUAAUAUGGUAGCGUAUUACAAAGAUCAAACUACUAUGGGAAAAAAAGGUUGACUCUUCUUCCAAGUGCAUUGAAGGCACGGCAACAAGCUGUAUCUUGAUACGGAUAAGCAUGAUAUAUAUAUUUCGAACACGAAUAUAUAAGCAACUGCACAUUAUAAAUUUGAAAAAGUAUUUGAUUAUGUUUAUUUUUGUAUUUUAAAAAUAUUUUAGAAAACAAUUGAAAUUUUUUUAUUUUUUUUACUUCAAAUUAAUAUUUUUCUAGUAUUUUUAAAUUAUUUUGAUUUGCGUUAGGAUAUAUAAAAUAUUUUUUUAAAAUCAAAAUAAAUUAUUUUAUUUUUUUCAAAAUCAUAGCUUAAAUUGACCUAUAAAAUAACUUGUCGAACUAAAUAUCCAUUCUUGAUAUUCUAUUAUAAUCAAAUAAUUUAUCACUUCUUAUUAAAACAUAUAAUUAUCCAUUUAAAUGUAUAAACUUUUUAGUUUUCAACUAGAAUCUUUCUCGAUAAUAAUAAAAAAGGAAGAAAAGACUUAAUAUGGUAGCGUAUUACGAGAGAUCAAACUACUAUAGGAAAACAAAACAUUGACUCUUCUUCCAAGUGCAUUGAAGGCACGGCAACAAGCUGUAUCUUGAUACGAAUAAGCAUGAUAUAUAUAUUUCAAAAACGAAUAUAUAAGCAACUGCACAUUAUAAAUUUGGAAAAGUAUUUGAUUAUGUUUAUUUUUGUAUUUUAAAAAUAUUUUAGAAAAAAAUUGAAUUUUUUUUACUUCAAAUUAAUAUUUUUCUAGUAUUUUUAAAUUAUUUUGAUUUACGUUAGGCUAUAUAAAAUAAUUUUUUAAAAUCAAAAUAAAUUAUUUUAUUUUUUUCAAAAUCAUAGCUUAAAUUGACCUAUAAAAUAACUUGUCGAACUAAAUAUCCAUUCUUGAUAUUCUAUUAUAAUCAAAUAAUUUAUCACUUCUUAUUAAAACAUAUAAUUAUCCAUUUAAAUGUAUAAACUUUUUAGUUUUCAACUAGAAUCUUUCUCGAUAAUAAUAAAAAAGGAAGAAAAAACUUAAUAUGGUAGCGUAUUACAAAGAUCAAACUACUAUGGGAAAAAAAAAGGUUGACUCUUCUUCCAAGUGCAUUGAAGGCACGGCAACAAGCUGUAUCUUGAUACGGAUAAGCAUGAUAUAUAUAUUUCGAAAACGAAUAUAUAAGCAACUGCACAUUAUAAAUUUGAAAAGUAUUUGAUUAUGUUUAUUUUUGUAUUUUAAAAAUAUUUUAGAAAAAAAUUGAAUUUUUUUAUUUUUUUUACUUCAAAUUAAUAUUUUUCUAGUAUUUUUAAAUUAUUUUGAUUUGCGUUAGGAUAUAAAAUAUUUUUUAAAAUCAAAAUAAAUUAUUUUAUUUUUUUCAAAAUUAUAGCUUAAAUUGACCUAUAAAAUAACUUGUCGAACUAAAUAUCCAUUCUUGAUAUUCUAUUAUAAUCAAAUAAUUUAUCACUUCUUAUUAAAACAUAUAAUUAUCCAUUUAAAUGUAUAAACUUUUUAGUUUUCAACUAGAAUCUUUCUCGAUAAUAAUAAAAAAGGAAGAAAACUUAAUAUGGUAGCGUAUUACAAGAUCAAACUACUAUGGAAAAAAAAUUGACUCUUCUUCCAAGUGCAUUGAAGGCACGGCAACAAGCUGUAUCUUGAUACGAUAAGCAUGAUAUAUAUAUUUCAAACGAAUAUAUAAGCAACUGCACAUUAUAAAUUUGAAAAUAUUGAUUAUGUUUAUUUUUGUAUUUUAAAAUAUUUUAGAAAAAAAAUUGAAUUUUUUUUACUUCAAAUUAAUAUUUUUCUAGUAUUUUUAAAUUAUUUUGAUUUGCAUUAGGCUAUAUAAAUAAUUUUUUAAAAUCAAAAUAAAUUAUUUUAUUUUUUUCAAAAUCAUAGCUUAAAUUGACCUAUAAAAUAACUUGUCGAACUAAAUAUCCAUUCUUGAUAUUCUAUUAUAAUCAAAUAAUUUAUCACUUCUUAUUAAAACAUAUAAUUAUCCAUUUAAAUGUAUAAACUUUUUAGUUUUCAACUAGAAUCUUUCUCGAUAAUAAUAAAAAAGGAAGAAAAAACUUAAUAUGGUAGCGUAUUACGAAAGAUCAAACUACUAUAGGAAAACAAAAGGUUGACUCUUCUUCCAAGUGCAUUGAAGGCACGGCAACAAGCUGUAUCUUGAUACGGAUAAGCAUGAUAUAUAUAUAUUUCGAACACGAAUAUAUGAGCAACUGCACAUUAUAAAUUUGGAAAAGUAUUUGAUUAUGUUUAUUUUUGUAUUUUAAAAAUAAUUUAGAAAAAAAUUGAAAAUUUUUUAUUUUUUUUUACUUCAAAUUAAUAUUUUCUAGUAUUUUUAAAUUAUUUUGAUUUGCUGAUAUUAAAAAUAAUUUAUUUUUUAAAAAAUAUUAUUUUAAUAUAUUUUUAAAUAAAAACUAUUUUAAAAAAAAUCACACCCACACUCGUAAUCAUAAUCUAAUCCAUGUCAUAUUUAUGAGCUGCAGCUACCCAACAGCCAUCUGUGGUGUCGUGUCUCCCCUGUGGUAGGUAACCAGACAUUAGAAGGGUGUCCUUGAAUCGCUGGGGGGAAAAUCCGUUGUCCCGCCAGCAAAUAGUAAAGGCACUGUCCCUUUGUAAAGGUAAGAAUAUUGAAAUAUGGCACUCAAAUAUGAUUAUUUAAUGCGUUCCUCUGUUCAUGGUCCAACUUUGCGACUCUUUUUUUUUUUUUUUUUUCUUUUUAGUUUAUCAACAUCUUCUAUUCCUAUUUUCCUUUUGACCAGGCAGUUGACCAAAUACGGUAUACGUACAUGGAUGUAGAAGGGGCAUUUUUUUCCAAUGUUUUUUAAAUUUGUUUUGAUGGUUUUGAUGUUAGAAAUAAAAAAAAAAUCAGAUAAAAACUUAUUUUAGUGCAUUUUUAAUAAAAAUUCAUGCUUUGCAAUCAUAAACACCUCAUCAUUAAAAAACAAAGCAUUUAAAAAACAAUUAAUUCAAAUUCUACCUCUUUGAAUCCCAUACACAUUAAAAGAUGUGUGGUAUUACCAUAGUUUUUAAUUUUUUACAAUUCUAUACAAAAAAAUAUUUGGUUAAUUAAAUAAUUUUUAUUUUUUUAUAGAGAACCUCACACAUGAUUACAUCUCAAACAUUAAAUAGAAGCUAUAUUAACAUGUUUUUUUUAUUUAUAAAGAUUUAUUUAUUUUACAUGCAAGAAUCAAUCCCGUAGUAAUUUUAACCAACUACAUAUUUUUAAAAUUUAUUUUUUUAAAAUCAUAAUAAAAAAUAUUUUUUAAAAACUUAUUUUUAAAAAAACUGCAACAGUAAAAAUUACACACUGAAAAAACAGAAAGGUUGGGGGAUGUUUUGUAUAGGAAUGUAAUCUUUGUGAGAUUGGGAUUACGAUUAAUCCUCUAGACUAAUGUAUAUUUUUCUAAAUAUCUUGACUAUAAUAAUAAUAAUAAUUUGUUUAUGAGCGUAGACAUAACUGAAUUAAGUAGAAUUUAUGUGAUUUCUUUUUUGUUUACUGAAAUAUUUUUAUAUCCAUGCAUUUGAAAUACAGAUCACCAUGAACAGAGAAAAAUCUAAUUAAUUUUGCCUCGCGUAAAGUUUUUGAAUCCACGAAGCUAUUUUUACUGCCCACCUUUUCUUUUUCUUUUUCUUUUUCCUUCGAGAUUUUUAUUUUCUUCCAAUCAUUCAUGUACAUAAAGAACUGCAAUUGUAAAAGCAAUCUACAGUGAUGAUUGUCACUCACAGGUUGUGAGUUGAUGUCAACUGUAAAACACAAUUAGGAGAAUAAUUCAGUCUCCCACGAAAGCUCGUCAUCUUUUACCAUGUGCUGGACGAAGCUUGAAUUUUCAACUUCAAGUGUCAAUGUGAAUAAAUCUCUCUCUUCUCCUUUUCUUUUUCCUGAUCUCUGUGGGAUCCAUCAUAUAUCCUCUUGUCCUUCCUCUCGCAUUAUUUAUUUCUUCUCAAUUCUGAUUGUUAACCUAGAAAUGCUGAAAAGCUUAGAGGAGUUUGUGCAAGCUGCACGGCCAGCUGCCACAUGACAUUUUUUUCUUUCUGCAGGCAGAAAUUCCACAGUUUCUAAUACAGGCACUGGUGUAAUGGCGAUUUGCCUGCUGCAGAAUUUGACAGAAGGGCCUCUAGGUCUAGAUGGAGGGAGCGGACCACAGAGCAAGGCACUCCCAUUCCUUUUUCCUUUUUAGAACACAGUCUUCCUAAGAUUUAUUCCACCAACAAUCACAGUGAUCAUUAACACUAGCAGGACUCCAUUGCAAAGAACACGAUCUAUAGCUCGAGAACUGAGAAGUUAUUUUUGUUGAACUGCAUGGAUUAAGUUAUGAUGAUUUGCUCUACAAAACUACAGUAGCUUGGCGAGGGCAUAACAUAAAUCAACAAAACCAAACCACAAACCACCUUAGCAGGAGAGGCCAAGUGGCGUGGUUCAAUCGAAGGACAAUGGGAUGCCGGUUACGGGAGGUGUUGAUCUGGGUUGUUAACGCCUGAUUGUCUCAUGCUUUGGCUCUUUCCAUUCACUCCCAUCGCUAGGGUUAGACCUUUUUCUUUUUUUUUUCAAAAGCUGUUAGGGCUUUCACUCCUACCAUCAAUGUAGCUUGUGAGUGGGCCCUUUUCUGGACAUUUGUGAGCCAUUUGGGGCCCAUUUCUGCCCCGACCCCAGUUUCACAUGUACACACAUUGUUUCAUAUAUAUAUGCAUACACAUUUUACUUCAUUUGUGUUCUGUUCCUGUGCUGCAGGAAAUUUGGUGAGGGGGCUGGGUCCCCUUUUCAACCUUUUGCAUACAGCCUGGAUAUGGGACCCCUCUUGACCAAUUUAUUUUUAUGGGAAAUAGCAGCCACAAAUUGUGAGAGAGGUGACGGUGAUGUUAGGGAAGGGGUCAAGGGAGAAGAUGAUCAAAAUAUCAUAAAAACCAAAGGUGAUUUACUAGAGAAAUAAGCCAAAAAAUAUAUAUAUAUAUUAGGGUUGAGAAAAGAGAAAAUGUCGAUGUACAGAAGACCCAAGAAAAGAUGCGCGGGAGAGAGCACCUGACGCAGGGUGACUGGGGCAUCCGUUUGAUUAAUUAGAAGCAAACAAUUUUAAGAAACCAACAACAGAAGUUGCAGAAAUGUAGAGAAAAUAGCAGGAUCAAAUUCCAUAUGUUUGGAUUUUCUUAUUUAAAAAUCAAAUUGUUCAUAACUCAACCAACUUGGAUGGAAUUGUUAUGAAUCUUAAAUCUCAAAACACAAACCCCUCCCUCACGCUUUGAAUACUAACAAAACAUGCUUUCAAUUUAUGAUGGUCACAAGAAGAUGUUAGGAAAUGUUGAAAUGGGCCAUCUUGAACGUGUAAUCAGGUCUCCGUGUGGGAGGGGUUUGUGUUUUGACAAAUAAAACAUGCUAAACCGAUGUUAGGAGUGCAUGUUUUUGUAUACAUAAGUACACUCGGCACUCGAGAGCUAUAUAUGUAUUUAUGUAUGUAUGUAUGGAACUGGAACAGUGUCAUGACAAAUAAAAUAGACAAAAACAUGCUGCUAGUAGAAAUUAAUAGGAUGCUAUAUAGAGGAGGCUAAAGACAAUGUCCAUCGGUUUCGCAGUUUACACUGCCAUGCGAUGAUGAACACUGGGCCUGGGAUCAAAAUGUAUCUAGAACACAGACCAAUCAGUCUAUCAGCUGCAAGAACCAAUGGUAUGAAUAUACAUAGCCACAUACACCAAAAUACACGCCUCGCUUGUAAGAAUAAGAAGUGAGAGAGAGAUCGUUUUUAAUUCUACAAGAUGGCUCUUCAAUACCAGGAAUGGACGUAGUUUUUGAAAUGGCUAGUUGAAAUAGCCAGAAACAUGGUAGAGAUUUCUGUAAUACCUUGAACGAAGGGGUAGUUAAUCAGUUGUCGAAAACAGGUUGCAUCGUGUGCUCAAGGAAUUCUGUCCAUCCUCUCCCAUGGAGUAGCUAGAGACAGGCGUAUGAACGAACGUAGCUGCUCGACAUGCUUCAUUCUGUCUAGUAUGGUGGAGAUGUUCUACAACAGUUGAAUCAAAAACAAAUAAAUUAAAUGUUCGUGUCCAUGCUGUAUAGCAGCAGUGAAAAACCAGCCGAAACAUCUCCUGUUAAUUAUACAUAUAUAAGUAAAAACGAUUUCUUUUUUUUUUAUUCUGAGAAUCGAGAUCAAGCGACACUCCAAAAUUGUCCUGAAAGCUACCUCUCAAUUGAUUGCAAGGUGACAAAAGGGAACAAACCUUUUAUCCGAUGGACACCAGAAGAACAGCCCAUACAUACACACCUACGAAGUGCAUGGACCCUAGCCUUUUGGUUCUCCUGUUCCCGAACAACCUCCUAGAUGAUGAUUUGACAGGUUAGUCUCCCCCACCCCAUCAUAUCUAUCAUAUCUUUGCCCUCAAUCGCUACAACUCUUGUCUUCAUUACACCUGGUCGUCUCUGAUUCAUUUCUCCUCUCUGUCUCCCACGACACCGCCGCCCGCUUCUUUUCCCUCCAGUUUCAAAAUCUCCCCCCACCCCUGCGUGGCAGCUAUCCGUCAUGCCCACCUCAUCGCCUCCCCGAUGCUCCGAGCCUGGAUCCAAAUUCACCACCAAGCCCCCUCCUUCGCCGGCCAAAAUUACGACACGUCCCCGAUGCGAGUUAGUUUUCACUUCGACAAAACUCAUUUCCUGUCCAUCAGAUUUCUGUAAUAGGUUAUCUAGAAUUACUGAUCUCCUGUGUAUCCAAUGGAUUUUUAGAUAAAUUACCCGUCUCCAGAUUAAUAUGCUUGCCAAAAAUCCCCAUUACAAAUUAGAUCCAAACCCAAAAAAAAUCUGGGUGAGCUUCCUCCAAUGUUACAUUGCGAGUUCUCGAAACUUUUUUUUUUUUUUGGUUAUAACAGAGGCAGUGUAGAAAAAUGGAUAAUCAUUUAAUUCCUCUGUUAUGCGACACGCUGUGUUUUUUGAGAAAUUAAUUUCCUUCCAUUUUCUAAUGCACAGUACAGGAGAGUUGAAUUGUUUAUGCGACACGCUUUGUUUUUUGAGGAAUUAAUUUUUUUUAUUUUAAAUUAAUUAAAAAUAAUUUUAAUAUAUUGAUUUCAUAAAUAAAUUUUAAAUAAAUAAUAAAAAAUACUAUUUUAACACAUUUUAAAAUAAAAAAAAUUAAUUGGGUUAGUUUUUAAAAUAUUUUUUAUUUUUUUAAAAUUAAUUUUAAUAUUAUUACAUUAAUAUAAUUUAAAAACAUUAAAAAUUUUAAUUUUAAACAAAUAUUUUUUUAAUUUUUUAGAAACAGAAUUCGAGAAGCCUAUCAUAUUCUAACAGAGAAACAACUAGAUAAUCAAGGAUUUUCACAAGGGUAGUUUUGUCAAGAGAAAAGAGAGGGAAAGGCUGAUCAUUAGAUUUCCGGUGUGACCCCAUUAGUUUUCAUGCACAGAUGAUUUACGAGAAUAAUUGAAACAUCAUUAGACCUCACAUGAACACCCAGUUUACAUUUUGACCAAAAAGCCCAGCCAAUAACAAAAUUAUGACCCAUGAAAAAAUGUCACUUUAUAGUAAAUAAAAAUUAUAUGAAGAUUAAUCAAUUCAAUAAAGUAAUAUAACAAAAUCCCUCUUCCCUUCAUUUUUAUCCAAUCCCGUCCGUUCAUUUUAUAAUCAACGCAUAAAAACAAGCCAAAAAAAGGAGGCCUUUACUUUUCUCCCUCUAAUGAAGGUAAUAGAAGCAGGAGAGAGUAUCUAAGGCGCUGGGUAAUGGUCUUAUCUACGGUUCCUGUACAUCCGGUGCAGUAGAUCUUAGCCUCUUAAUAAUCGGUUCAGUUUCAGGGGCUUGGCUGCUGGCCGAGAUGGGAUUCUCGGAACGCGUGCUACAGCUCCCACAAGCAGCGGCAGCGUCGAGCACGCCAGCUGGGCUAGCCGGAUCAACUAGGGCAUCAUCCGAUAAAUCCUUAAGCCGAGCCGUCGGACACGUGUCGAUCAGGUAUUCCUCUAUUAGUUGGUGACAGCUUCUCACCAUUUCCUUCAAAAAGAUCACAUUUUAGUUUUUAUUACACAGAUUUCAAUAUCUCUCAGUUAAUUCUCGUAAAGGUGGUGAGUAUUCGCACAAAUAAAGAAAGAAAUAAAUAUAUAUAUUUCCAGAAAAGACCCUACUGACAACAAAAAUUAUCAAUUACGCCCCAAAGAUUAUAAAUAUUUACCCUGUUUACUCUCUCAUGAAAGAACUGCCCAACACCAGCCUUCAAUGGUAUAGUAUCAAAAUUCUUUCCCGCAGCGGAUAUCACCGCAGCAGCUGCCACCGUCGACGGUGAAAAACCCAAGAAAUCAAUCACUGAAAAAAUCCCAAAAAGAUUUCAAAAUGUUUCAUAAAAAUUGUCAAACGUCAAUCAGAUUUUGGGUGAGAUUUGAAUUACCUCGGGUGGUGUUGAGAAUGAGAUCCGAUGAGUUUUUCAAGACCCGAUUGAAAUUCCCGGGUUUUGUAGAGGAACAAGAAGGGAGCUUUGAAAUGAAGUAAUCAAGAUAAUCGAAUGGAGUGAUUGAUCGUAAUCUCCAAUUGAGAUUGGCCAUGACCCGAAGCUCCAUUUUUUGAAUGUUUUUGGGCUCAAAUAUGAAUCCAGGUUCAAGUAUUUGAAGGUCUAAUAACAAUGGCACGUCAGGUUCUUCCAUUUUCGCUGCUAAAGACAAGCAUGCCACUGAUAGUAGCUGAAACGGCCACCCAUUUUCCUGUUUCAAUUAAGAAAACCCGAGCUUUCGAUCAAUAAUAUAAUAAAAAUCACUCUUUUGUGUAAAAUGUGAAUUCACUUUCCCGCUAAAUCUGAUAUUUUAAAGGGAAAGUUGAAGAAUGGGAUAUUUUGAAGAUAAAUAUGGAAUGUUCCUGGAAAAUCCGAGAUUUUCUCGGGCGAGAAUGGAGUUUAGCAGGAAAAGGGAAAAAAAGAAGGGAGGGUGAUUUAUUAUUUAUUUACCGGAAGAGAAUAAGAGGAAAGAAAACGGUCGAAGUAAUUGACGGAGAGUAACGCCGUUAAUGGCCUGAACUCGUAGUGUGCAUACACCUGCAUUGCCAAAGCAAUAGAUAUCACCACCACAUCAAUACAUACACACGUGUAGACACCUACGUAUCUAUACACCAGCAGGUACCUUGAGGAUCCAGUUGAUGGAAUCUUGGCGAGCCGUGAUGUCAAUGGAGCGGUGACGGCAACGAUGGAGAUAAUCCGACAAGGGCAUGAAGUGAGAUUCAGAGCCAAUCAGUUUGGUGAUGGUAUGCUCGUCGGAUGGUGGAGAAAGGAUGAUGGAUGGUGAUGGUGGUGGGAAUUGAGGGUGGCUAGAGAUCCACGUGUCGGCAUCCUGUUGGACCACCUCACUGGCAUCCUCCCCACAGUACAGGCUGUUAAGUGCAGAGGCAGAGUGGUCCGGUAAGUGAGAGUGAGACAUAGUGAGGGUGGCUGUGAGUGGUUAAUGGCAGGACAACGGCAUUGGUAGCGGCGGAAAGAGGGAGGAAGAGAGUGUUGGUGGUGUUUGGUGGUGGCUGUCUGGUUUUGGACAUGGCUUGGUUAUGGGUCUUCUGGGGAUAACAUGUUUCGGGUGGAUGCUGUUGUUGUGUGCGUCUCUCUCUCUCUCUCUUCCUCUCUUGAUGGGUUUUCUUUUUUUGUUUGUGUCUGGCUCUGCAGAGCUUUGAAUAAUGGAGGAGAGAGUGUGCGUGUGUCGAGGGAUGAGAAAAUGGAGAGGGGCGUGCCGUGUAUUGAUCUUUUCACGUGGGUUUAUGAAUGGUGAUUUUGUUUUGACCAAAAUUAAAUGGAGAGCUUUUUGCAACUUAUGGUUUACUUUCCCUUUUCUCUUUUGUUAAUCUCGCAAUUAUUGUAAAGUUUCCACCCAUUAAAACUGCUUUCCACCUUCAAAAUUAUCAUAUUUAUAUUUUUUAUAUGUUUUUUUUUAUAGAUGAUGCAAAGAAUAAAUGAAAAUCUUAAUAGAAUAUUUCAAUAAAUUUACUUUCCCUUCAUUUGUGUGUUGAACCUACCUCCAUUGUCUGUUACGGGCAACAUGGCAUUUCUAUUUAAUUGGUAGCAUGAAGUAAAUAGAAACUAUACUAUCAUGUGCAUAAAUGCAUGUAAAGAGACAAAAAGGAAGAAACCAAGGGUGCGCUUAAUCUAGGCGCAGUGCGAGUAGAUCCCUUUGGAGAUUUUACUCUACACAUUAAUUGUUGUACAUGUUAAAUGUUUUGUGCUAAAAUUAAUCGUAGGUUACCAAUGAAAUGUUCAUUUAAUGGUGUAAAUAUAGUUCGAUUUUUAAAAAAUUUAUUAAAAAAGAAACGAAUCUUGAGCAAGACUAAUCUUAUUUUUUUAAAAAAAAUGAAGAUACCUGUAUAAGGAAAAAAAAUUAAAACAAGAGUUAGCCUCCUCAAAAAAAUAGUUUUUUAUGUUAGUUUUGUAUUUGGUUAUGUUUUAAAAAUAUAUUUAGCUUUUAAAAUAUUAAAUUUAUGUUUUUUUUUUUAUUGAAUGUUGCCUUACCCAACACAAAAUUAAGCGGCAGGCCCUGUACAACCUGUCCAACAAAGAUGUAGAAAUCUUUCCGAUAACAAAUAAGAUAUCAAAGUUUUUCAGACCUAACAAGAGAGAUCGAAUUUUACUAACAUAGAAACAUGUCGCCGCUGUUGAUCAAAUAUCAAUACACAGGGAGUUGUUGACUUUUUGUCCUAGCUGUAAAGCCCCCAUAGGCUGAAGACAUAUUGAGUGACCCCGCUCACAGUCAAGCCCAUGUGUUCCGUACACUUUGUAUAUGGGAACUAGGGUUGGUGUAUCGUGUAUUUGGCUGUCAAAUACCAUCGUAUCGAAGCACAGGCUCACCAUUAUUGACCUUCGAGAUUUGCAACUGUAACAAUUUGGUUUCAUUCUCUCCAAACCACCUUUUCCUUUUCUUUUCUUGUCUUCUUCCAUGGAGCGGGGCGGACGGAUAAUGCAAGGUGCUUCUCCUUGCACAGAGCCUGAUGACAUUUCUUAGAUUUUGAAUUCUUUUGUGUUCUUAAAUCAUGAUAACAAUGUAAAAAAAAAAAAAAACUGGGAAGGAAGCUGAUUUUACUGAGGAAUUUGCUUUUCUUUUGUCGAAGUAGCAGAUUUUACUCCAAAUGACUUGACAUCUUCUCUUCUCUUCUCCUUUGUUACCUAACUGGCGCGCUAAACAAAUAACCUUUUUUGCCAACUUAUUAAUCAGCGUUUGCAUGCUAUUUAUGGUUUUGUGCCUUAAUAAAUCAAGGACAGGGCUCACCGUGUGAUGUGAUAUGAUAUGACCUUGAUUUUUUUUUUCUCUUUAGUUUUUUGCCCGUGACAUUAUUUUGAUUUAAACCACGCUCAUCUGCUUCUCGCUCGAGUCUCUGCGGGCUUCAGCAACAUAUAACAGUAUAACACAUAAAACAGUUAGAAUUUAUGCUCAGCUUCUUCUCUCUCUCUCUCUUUUUAAUGUAUUUUUAAGUUAAAAAUACUUUUAAAAACAAACUUUACCUGUACAAAAGUACUCAUGUUUACAAGAUGGGUCCCUGUGCAUCCACAGUGAACUGAAAGGUCUACAAAAGGUCGCCAAAACCCCAUCAGCAGUUCAUUUGUGAAAAAGUACUCUGAGGUUGCAAUCAUACGGAAUGGGAAUGCAAUUCUUUAUGGGGUUGUCGCAAAUAUAAUUGAACCCUCGACUGCUAAACAUCCAGGAUCACAUGCCAACACUCUGAACCUUCCAUGAAUCGAGGCAUUCUGACAAUCAAACUGCAAGGCAAGGAAUGAUGAAUGAGAAGGAAAGACAGCUAGAAGGAAUCAGAAAUUCCAGUUCAACAUGAUGGAGCAUGGACCAAACUGAUUUCAACACAAAAUAUUCAAUCCCCGAAUCCAACCAUGCUUUCUUGCCGAAGUGACACUUAAAAAAGGCCUUAGACUUGGGAGUUCUACACUCCUGUUCCAAUACUUCAUGUUACUCCUGUUCAACGGGAAUUGGGUCCAGCAGAUGACCAGGGAAAAAGGGCUUCGAGAUUUUAGUCACUAUUCACUCCCUGACUCGUUUCUGAAAAUCGUGAAAAGUCCUCCCGAGAGGAUGAUGCGAUAUGGAAGAUAAACUUUUUGUCACGUUUGAACUUUAAAGGUGUGGCAAUGGCCAAGCCACAUAGCUUUGCCAAAAUGUACUCCACAGUACACAAAAAAAAAAAAAAAAAAAGGGCAUCUGAUUGAGACUAAAUUCUAUUUCAUACACCUUCAAAAGUGAUUUUUGAGAAAUUACAACACCAGCUCUCACACAAAGCUACAUAAAAACCUGCUGUAAAAGAAUUUAGCUAUGGUGAAUUGCAUUCUAACAUCUGUAGGAAAAACGGAUGUUAGGUUCACCAAAUAAAAUAAAAAGAAAAGAAAUCCUUGGCAAUCAAAAAGGCCAAUUCACAAAGCACGACAGAUUCUUAUUCUCAUAAAAGAAGCGAGAUAAAAAGGUUCAUCACAAGCUAAAAUUAAAAAUAUGACAUGCAUUAUCUUCGAGAAUGCGUAAUAAAGCUACCAUCAAUUUCUUAUAAAGGCACAUGAAUUAGGUUCACUUUGUUACUUGUUUAUCGUGAAUAAAAUUCUAUCUGCAGUAAAUUUUUCAAAGAUCAUUACUGUUUGCAUUUAAUAUUUAUAAAUAAUAUUGCGAUCACAUGUUUAGACUACCAAGUUGGUGUGUCUGGCUUAACUAUACCUAUACAAUGUAAUUCUCCUUUUGAUAAAUAACAUUGUUGCCCUAACAAUGAAAUACUAGGAGUGCAACAAAUUCAGAUUUUUUUUUUUUUCACUUCUUUUCAGCUUUUCUUUGAUGGCAAGGAAGAGCUCCAAAAUUAGAAUGAAGGGAAAAACCUGUUAAGGUUCCAAGGUCGUGUAUAGAACUCCUCACUCCUGGUGUCUUGACUAAAAUAUCUGAACCUCUCCCACCAGUACCUGCCACUGUCUCGGUGGGUUGUGAUGUGCGCCAAACUGUGAGUGCAGUACAAGAAACAAGCAACUAAAAUUACCACUGUUGCUGGAGAGGAGAAGAUCACUUGCAUUAUGUCGUUGAACUGAAGAAAUCAGAACUUCAUCAAAAUACAAAUCUCUUAAUAAACUUAUUGAACAACGAUUAUGCUAUAAGAUCAGAUGCAAUUCAAACGAAGAAAUCAGAACUUCAUCAAAAUACAAAUCUCUUAAUAAACUUAUUGAACAACGAUUAUGCUAUAAGAUCAGAUGCAAUUCAAACGAAGAAAUCAGAACUUCAUCAAAAUACAAAUCUCUUAAUAAAUUUAUUGAACAACGAUUAUGCUAUAAGAUCAGAUGCAAUUCAAACGAAGAAAUCAGAACUUCAUCAAAAUACAAAUCUCUUAAUAAAUUUAUUGAACAACGAUUAUGCUAUAAGAUCAGAUGCAAUUCAAACAUACGUAACCAGGUGGCACCGGUGUGGACAGGGCCACAACCAGAAACCAAAAGGUAGUCCUUGAAGUACUGUGGCACAGGAAGGCCCAAGAAGAGAGAAAAGCCAAGGAUGAACUUCGUUCUGAAGCUAUUGAGUUGCAGAACUGGAGAAAUCCCAGACCAGCAGAAGCUGCUUCUCCCACAAACAUAUCAGAGUCAAAAGUCGAUUAAAAUGGUUUCCUUGAAGGGAAGUUGACAGUAGAACAAUGGAGCAUAACUAAGAGCUAUUACAAAACAAAUUGAUCCCUAUUGAUCUUUAUAUACCACGUUCAAAAACAAGUAUAGAAUACAUAGAUUCUUGUUUGAUCUUUAUUUUCCAUGUGAAAGUUCUUACUAAGUCAACCCUUCCUCUUUGCACUACGAAGAUACCACCCUGUUUUGGCUCCAACCAGUGAGUUAUUAUGUGAGCUUGAAAAAAAGUGACAGCAUGUAUCAAUCUUCCUAACCAACAGACAGAAAGAUGAAAAAUCUCAUAGAAACUAAAUUCAUUUUCUCCUGUCGCUCACUAUUUCAUUUACCACAGCAAUUCCUAUAUGUUUAGUUUAUGAAGUUGAGUCUUGAAUUAGGAAUGCCAUAUGGUUUCUAGUAGAAACUUUCUACAAAAACAACUACAGUAUAGAGGUAUACACUGACUAGUAAGAACAGAGGGCCUCACUACCUAUUGUGGUGACUAUGGACUUUUCUCUAGCAUCUUCUUGUAAUCAGCUGGCAGUAACAUGUGUUAGUAACGUUAAUUCACGUACAAAACUUUAACUGAGUUAUGUGACUUCCAGUAGUCUUUAGUGUUUUAAUCUUCAUCGAUAACAUUUCUAUUGUAGAAUCAGGCAAACUGUCCCACUGAACAACAUUUUGCUCUUGGUAAAAUUGAUUGAUAAUUUAGAUCCAGCCAUAAAAAACAUAGAAAAGUAAUACAUACCCGCAUAGGCAAAGAUGACACAGUAAAGAGCUGCCACAAUUGGCAAUGGUAUAGGAAGCAAGAACAGUCCUGAAUCUUCCUGUUAAAGAUAAGUUGCAACAGUGUAAGAACAAUUACUGAGUGAAGAAUGCAAUGAUGGUGCCAGAUUUCUAUUCGCAAAAUUGAUAAAGACUUCAAGUUGAAAUGAUAGGAAAAAGAUAAGGAGCCUUUUUAAAAGGACAGUGGUCAAUAAUCAUGACAGGACAAAAAGAGAAUCUAAAACAAAACAUUGAUUGCCAUGAGAAAUGAAAUUCAAUUCAUUCAUUAAAAAGAUAAUAAAUAAAAAGAAAAUAAAAGAUUGCAAUGUGGAAUACUGCACUUAACACAGAAAAGAAAAGCAUGAAGCCCGCUGAUAUUUGAACAACUCUCCGACUUCCAACUCGUGUUAAUCCCAAAAGACCUGCAUUUCACUGUAAGCAUAACAGAGCAAAAUUAGAUUACUGAAUUGGUAGGAGAGGAUACUAGCAUUAGGACAUCCAUCAAUUCAUCACACCCAACAACAAUGAUAUUUUACAAGAUCGCAAUGUGGAAUACUGCAUAAAUAGAGCAUCUUAAACAAGCAACAUAAUAGUUUGCAAAUCAACAUAUGGAUUGUAAAAUCAAGAUCCUUAGCUCUAAUUUAUCCAACCAAUGUCAGCUUUCCUUAAAGUUUUUCUCUGAUAGUACCUAACAACAAAUUUUACAACAGCAACCAUGGAAUUCUACCAUAUGGGUCGUAUACCUGAAAGUAGGUUAAGCAUUUUGCUUAUAGAUUAUGAAUAUGGUAAACUGUAGUCAAAUGAGGGUCAGAUUAUCAUCACAUUCUCAUUGAACAAUCCACCCUUCAACAAAAGCAAAAAACAAAACAACUUCAAAAAGUUUAUUUUUCUUUUACACUGAAGCAGUGGAUCCAUUUCCGGGGUAUUAGUUAAGUUAGAAAAGAGUUUUGUGUCCAGAAACAACAGAUAGAACGUAAAAGGUCUGAAAAAAUAUAUAACGAGACACCAAUUGGUUAUGUCCUACCAGCCAUCCAAUACCACGGCUGAGUACAGAAGGAGGCAGAGGAGUGGCACUCCCAUAUCUUGAUACCGCAAUAAUUGUACCAGUAGACUGCAGAAAAGUAAAAUAACAUUAACAGCAUUGACAGCAUUGAUUAAAUAAGUGGAGUGCUCGUUAGGGAACUUUCAACAAAAAGAAUUAUAAAAGAACAGGAGAUGAGGACUCAGAAUUCAAGCAAUUCAUGAUAGGGUUCAACUAUUCAUCGACAUAUAAAUUCUCGCAAAAGAAAGUUUAUUAAUCCAUCUUCUAUCUGACAAUAUUCAUACACCAAGCAUUAAAGUUAUUUAAAGAACAAGCAUCCACAAAUAUGAUUUGGAACUGGUGAAAUCCUCACUAUCAGUGAACUUAAAUUAGGAAAACCAUUGUAUUUGGCAUCUAUAAAAGGAAUUCAGUAGAGAAUUAUCUUGAUAAAUUGUACCUCAACUAUAGCAACCAAGAAGCAGCCAUCAUCACAAAAACAUCGCCAGCAUCAAAAGUGGGACGUCCCCAUUGAAAUGGAUAUGGAACCUUUAUCCUGAAUAUUAAUAAUUCAUCCUGUGAAUUUAUAUGUUACAUAAAAAAGGGAUUAAAUGAUUCAAGGUUUCUAUAGUAGAUCAAAGCUCACCAAGGAGCAGCACUAAUGAGCCCAGCACAAUCAACACGACAGCUAAGUUGUAUGUCUGGAUGCUUAUUAUUAUAUGCACCAGCCACAGCCAAAACUGCUGGCAUAUGCCCAUACAACUGCAGCAGCAAACCGACUGCAUAUGGUGCUCCUUGAUUUCAUCAUGUGAGGAACAAACUGCAAUAUUGUUUAUUGUGUAAGAAAAGAAAAAAGAAACUCAACGAUAUUAGGUAAAAUUAUUCAAAAACUUGAAAAACCAAAAGCAGAAAAGAAUAAUAAUAAAGAAAAGGUAACUCUCUCUAACUUGUAUUCAGUUAGAGCACAUAAUUGCGUGGAAAAAAAGUCCUUGCAUUCUCAAAUUUAAUAUACAAGUUCAGGAUAUCCAAGGUACACCAUCUAAAGAAGAGCAAAUAGUGAGGACACAAGGCCAUAGCCUGGGAACCAGAAACCAACCCUGCUCCUUUAUUUACCUACUAAAACACUUGGCUACUGAAUUAUUUUUGUAGUCCACCCUCAAUUUCUGUUAAUAAGCCAAUUGUAGUAGAUGAAGAAACCAAAUUUAUUGAAAGAGACGAUGCCUCUUGCUAAUGAUCUCUUCUGCCAACUAGGAAUAUGAACAUAAAUAUCAAUUAAGAUCCUAGAGAGGCUCUGAUCUUACAAAUACGUUUUCAAUUAAAAAAAAACAGUGAAAUGUUUUACUCAACGAUACAAGAAAAUAGUUGAGGAUGUUGAUCACCUGAGAUAUGAAGACCACGAUAAGGAGUGCCGGGAUUCCAAUUACAACACAUUUUUCCAGCUACAAGCAUCAACAAAGAGAAGCAUAUUAAACAAAACUCGAUACCCAAAUGGAAGAAAAAGCAGCACUAACACAUGUAGUAUCAUUGACAGCUGUUCCAUCUAUAACAUCACUAGCUUAAUAGAUCAAGCCUACUAGACUGUGCAAAGCUUAAACGGCCAUCUAUUCAAACUAAAUUAUCUUGAGGCAACCAACUGAAGACAUGAAACACCAGUUUUUCUAUGGGCCUGCUAUACCUCUCCAGUUGGCAAUUGUAGGAACAGAGGCAAGAAUGGUCAGAGAAGCUAUUGGGAAAUGCACAAAGGAAGAAAGACGUUUAAAACAUGAAUAAGGAAGUUGUUAUCCAAAAAAGAUCAGAGGUAUGAACUCAGGGAAGAAAGACAAAAAUAUCCUGCUUCCAAUGAAGUUUUCCCUUAAUUAUUAAGAAAUCACGCAAAUAUGACGACCAACAAGUUUUGCUUCUCUGAAAACAUAAUGAGCUUUGCAUAUUAUUUUGAAGCACAUGCAUCUCCAAUGGAAAAGGUUUAGAGCUUGAGAUUUUAAUUAUCACCGUAUGCAUUUCCCCAGCAAAACUAGUAGAAUUGGGUGUUUGGCAUUCUUACUCGUGGGAAUUCAUGUGCAUAGAGCCCAAGUCCGGUAAGAAUCAAGAGAGGUAUUACAGCAAUAGGGCUGAGAAAUCUGCAUCACGGAACAUGAAGAUCAAGCUUCCUUAAGCAAGUGAAUGGUGCAUUAAGUCAUCCCAAAUACACUUACAUAAUAUCGCAGCCUCAUACCUUGCAAAGAGUCUCCAGAAUCCAAAGAAACCAAUGCUCCUUGUACAGCUUACAUGGAUAGCUCAAACCUUAAAAAAAAACAACCACAAAUGUGAUAGAAAUAUGAUAGUCAAUUCUAACUCCUUGACUUUCCUCGUGCACUUUCCAAAAAUAACGGGUAAUUUUAAGCGUUUCCUUGCAUAUUCUCCAAGAAACAAACACGGGCCUAGAAUUUGAGAAUGGCAUUUACAAAGUGAGGGAGGGAACUAAACUUAACCUGACGUGGAGUAAGAAAUAUGACAUUAGUGCUAUUGUUAGUAGAUAAAGAAAUGGUUAUUGUGGGGAUGCUAAAAGCAUAGGGUCCUCCAAUGACCACAGGAAGCCGAGUGCCGAACCAUGUCUGCAAUAGAGUGUUUAUACCCGCAACAAAGAGCAGCGUGUUAAUCAUCUCAGCCUUCUCCACCUACAAAAAUAGAAAUAUCCAGCUAGAAGGAAAUUAUAGAAACACAAACUUGAAAUCCAAAUCAAAAUCUGUUAAUCACAUAUAUGGUUUUUACAUUGCCACGGCUAAUCGAAAGAACGAAUAUGGAAGGAAUGAUCACAGUAGUGCCGAGCAUCACUAGGUAAUGCUGAAAACCUAGUAGUAUUGCUUUAGCUGCAUUCAAUCGAACAAGUUUUUAGAAAAAUUGAUUUACUGCACUAAAAUUUAGUAUUGGCUAUACCAUAAUCACAAUCAAGUACAGAACUUUAAAUCAAUGUAAGUAUUUAAAUCUUAAUUUUGUCAGGUGGGGGGGGGGGUUUCAUCAAUGGUGAAGUCAAGAGAAUGUGGUAAUCAAGAGCAAAAACAGGCAUGAAAACGAAGAGUAGUCGAAGGAAGAAAAGGAAGGAGAAGACAAUCAGAGUUUCCAUAAUGCAAUGCAUUCAAACUUAAAAACAAAGCAAAGGAGUAAUUAUUACGCCAAGAAGGAGAGCUGGAGACACAGGAAUCAACGCCAGGGAGCUGGUCUUUGACAGGAAAUGGGGCGAACACACCAACUUUAGCAGCGCCUCCAACUGCCAUUGUUUCUCUCUCUGUUUUCCUUUAUGUUAAAUGGCAGAAACAAGCAACAGGGAAGAGAAUUGUAGGCAGUAUUAGAGGAGUCAGUUAGGCAGCCAUUGAUCUGACUCAAUGCAUUAACUCUUUUUUUUUUCUUACAUAUAUCCUUUCGUUUUAGUUUCUAGGAUUUUUGCUUGUUGGAAUUUGAGAGAUUUUAUUCUUGUAUAAAAGGAAAGCUAUAAACUGCAGCAGAUUGACAGUGACUGGCAUCUACUGUCUGCCUGUUAAGAAAAUGACAGUUUUACCUCUUGUGGGACAGAAAUGAAUAUACUGUUUUAAGGUUUGUUAAUGGCGGAUGGGUGGCCAAAUUAAAUCCAGGUUUUUUAAUCCGGUCCGGUAAUUAUCCGAGUUAUCCAGAUUAAUCUCAAUUUUUUUAUAAAUUAAAAUGUUAUUAUUUUAAUUAAAAAAAUAAAUAGUCAAUAAUUUAUAACUAUAUUUUUUAUUAGAUCUUGUCGGAUAAACUGGGUCAACCAGCCGAGUAACUAGCUAGAUCAUUCGGGCUUUUAACUUCCUUUAUUUUUUUUAAACUCUACCCGAUUUUUAUUUUGGGUUCCAGAUUGGUCUACUAGGCCAGAUUUUAAAACUAUGAUUAAAUUUAUGAUGAGUUUUUUAUUCUUGUUUUUUUUUUUCAAAACUUAAAAUUUACUCUGGCAUAAAAAUAUUUGAAAAUAAUAUUUUUUUUAUUUUUAAGAUUCAAUUUUGAUAUUAAUAUAUUAAAAUAUAUUAAUCAUUUUAUAAAAUAAAUUUAUUUUUUAAUUUAAAUUAAUAUUUUUAAAUUAUUUAGAUAUGUUGAUAUCAAAAAUAACUUUUUAAAAAAAAAAUAUAUAUUAUUUUGAUAUAUUUUUAAUUAAAAAUAUUUUAAAAAAUAACUCAGGAAUGAAAUCCCUAAAGUUUUUUAAAAAAUUCAUUAUAAAUUUGUUCCUGGAUGAAUACGAUACAAAAGUUUGCCAAUCUAAUGACUUGUUAUAAGAAACUCUAAAAUUAUUGGGAUUAUUACUAAACAUGGUAAACCAAGAAACAAUUAAGUGUCGGAUUACACAGUUGCUUUUCACGGCUUUUGAUUGUUGCUUUGCUUUUCCUUUAUGGUACUUAUUAUACAUUAUAUUAUAUUAUAUCAUAUACACACACCUUAUAUUAAAAUACAAGGGAAAAACACUGUGUAUUUAUUAUGAACACAGACUCAUUGCAUUGUGAAUGGCACUAUAAAUAAAGUAUUUACUGUGAAUGUAGAGUCUAUAAGAGGCAUUAUCUUUUAUUUGUAAAUCAAAAAGGAUUGUUGGGUCGUUGUAGCAAGACCCAAUAGCGUUGGGUCUUGCCCCCAGUAGGACUCAAGAUUUUAAUAUAUAUUUUUUAAUAGUAAAGAGAAAAUGAAUAGAUAAAAUUUGUUUUUUUUUUAUUUGAGGUUGGGUUGAAUUUUCUUAUUGAAGCAUGUUUGUUUUUUCCUUUAAAAAAUGCUAUUAAAAUUUUUAAAAAAUUUUUUUUUUCUUAACUUCAAAUCAAGAUUUUUAUUUAUAUUUACUCUUGAAUUUUUUUUUCAAAAUAAAAGGUUUCAAAAAAUUUAUAAUUCUAAUAUUGUCUAUUAAAGUUGAUGGAACUCUAAAAAUUUAUUUUAUUCACAUAAUAUACUUUAUAUAUUUGUAUUAUAUAAAAGAAUUUUUUAACAAUAAAAUACAUUAAAAAACAAUUCAUAAAUACUAUAAUAUAAUAUUAUUUUGGGCCAAUGUUGCUGGGUCAUUUUGCCAAACAUGACCUCAUGAUUUUGGGCCCUAUUGCCCAACAACUCCUUCUACCAAGCAUGAUCCAUUGAUGCUGGGUUCAGAUGAGUACCUAGUUGUUGGGUCAUUCUGUCAAGCAUGAUCCUAUGAUACUAGGUCUUGUUGUUCAGUAAUGCUGGGCCCAUAUGGAUAUCCAAUUGUUGGGUCCUUCUGCCAAGACCCAAUUUUAUUGGGUCUGGCUCUGCCGUCAAACCCAAUAAUGACGGGUCUAGGUGCCCAGCAGCAAUGGGGCCAACUGUAGCAUGACCCAUUAAAGUUGGGCUCUGCUUCCACCAGGACCCAGCAACGGUUGGUCCAACUACAAGCAAAACCCACGACUGUUGGGUAUUGUUGACAGCAAAACCUAGUAGCGGUGGGCUUAAAGCUGCGAGCAGGUCCCAUUAAAAUUUGGCUUUGCUACCACUAGGACUCACUGUUGCUGGGUAUUGCUAACAGCAGAAACUGGUAGUGGUGGACCUAGAGUUGCAAGCAGAACCCACCAUCAGAACCCAGUAACAUUGGCUGGGUCUGUUUCAUUCGAAAUUCAGGAUUGCAAUUGGGUUGGAGGAAAUAAGUCGACCUGUCGGGUCAACUUGGAAUUCUAGCAAAAAAAGUUGAAUUUUUUUUUUAAAAAUUCUUAACCCCUGUAGAGAAAAAUUUGCCAUUUAGGGAUUGUUUUUCCUAUUUAAUCAAGGUAGGGAAAGUAUAAAUGGAAAACAAGGUUGGCAAAAGUAUCCUCAAACCUAAGUUGUCUAACUCCUAGAAAAACAUCAUGGGCAAAAGUCCUAACAAUUAAAGAGGUCUUUACAACUAAAAUCGAGGGUGAAGGCAUUGACAGUGCCACAUGAGAGUUCUUAUAGAGGUUACAAUGUUAAACUCUAUAAGGGUGGAUACCAUUUCUCUUAAAACAGGCAGCAACACCCACAAUCACUUCAAAAGGGUCAGCUCCAGCUGAUCCUCAACCAGAGGAGUGGUGACUCUCUUCAUUUCCAUGAUAGUAAUGGCUCCAGCCAUUGUUUUCCGAUGGAUAGUUUUCUUAGGAAAAGAAAGCUCAUUUAUGUUGAUGAGAUCAUUUUUCAUCUCUACUUCGAUCCUAAAUCCACUUAAUUUAAGAGAUGAAGAUCCCCUUCAUGAUAUAAACAAACUCUCAUUCGCAGACCUUACUAAAAUAUUUCAUUUUCCUUUGGUUAGUAACCCUACAUAAAACCAAGAUAAAAAAUGAAUAUUUUGAAGCACACAAACAAGAGAUAAACAAGUUGCUUACUUUGCAAUAAGGCAUGGUAAUUCCUUUUGGUCAUCUUUUUAAUAUCGUGCUCGGUUGAGGUUGAGGCCAACAUAGUACAUGUUUUUUCAUCAUUCGAGCUCAAACAAGGCCUAUUGUUCACUUUAAAGGGGGUACUCUUAAAUAGUGGGCUCAACCCUAGAUUUCUUGCAUCUUAUCUCUAGGGUUGACCGUCCCAUUAUAUAUCAUUGUCAUCCACGUCCUUUUCCACUUCUUGACAAGUUCAGGCUUGCUCUAUAAGGUCCCUUUAAUGGAUCUAGUGAGUUUGUUUGUAAAGGUUAAACACUAGCACAUAUCUAUAUGUGCUAUUAGUACCAAAACCAAGUGAUAACAGAUCCUAAAGAUAUUUAUGGUAGGCUUGAUUCCAAAGAGCUUAAGAAACUUGUCAAAAGCAGAUAAGAUUAUCUAUAUGUUGGGAUACAGUUGGCCUAGACCCAAUAAAUAAUACCAAAAAACUUCUCUCACAAACCCUUGGAGAGGAAAGUUAUUCCCCAACUUGUACAUUUUAUAUUAGGGCAAUAAUUUCAAAGUGGCCCUGUAUGGAGGCCAAGUUCAUUUGUAUAAUUCUUUCAUCCCUGAAAGGCAAUUAAGCCAUGUAAUAUUUUGGCUACUAAUCAUUUACAAAGGCUACCUUAUUUAUGUUUAUAGUGCUAGGUGCAUCAUUCUUAAGGGCUUGAGACAACCUUUUUCUCCCUAAGUGUCCUCUGAAAGUAACAAGGGAAGGACUUCUUCGUUGUUAAGAACUACUUUCCCCUAUUUUCAGAGGUGGACGUUGAAGUUUCACCCUUUUUAGUUUUAGAGCCCAGUCUAAUGGACCCUUGUCCCCUAUUGCUUCCUCUAAUUUCUAGUUGGAACCUGAACUCAUCACUAGAGGAAGCAACAUCCAUCCAUACUUUUAAGGUCAAAUAUAACUAUUUUAGAGUUCAUUUUUUUACAUAUAAAAAGAAAGAAGAGAGAAAUUUUAGGGGUGAGCAAUACCUAGAAUGAUAAUUUUUUCUUAACAAACAGUGCAAGUUUUGCUUAAGGCUUUUUCAAUAAUUUGUUUUUACAGAGAAAUUACAAAGUGUGAAAGUAAAUGAAAAAUGAAAGCGAGAGUGGUCAGGGUUGUUAUAACCCAAUUUUGGUCUAUUGACUUUUAAUUUAAUUUUAUGAAAAUUAAAAGAUCAGGGAUUUAUUUUAAUCAAAAUUAUGAUUUGUCAACUUGUGGAAAAACUAGGGACCACAAUGUGUUUUUGUUAUUUUCUCCUUAUCAUUAAGAUAAUGGUAGUUAUCCCUUUUCAAAUUUGAUUCUUAAUUAAAUUCAAAUUUCAAAGAAGAGGAUGAAUUUGUUUAAAACUUAAUUUUCCAUAUGCAGUGGGACUCCUGUACUAUAAAUAUUGGGGGGACAUUACAAAAAAGCAGAAUAAAGCAAAUUAUGCGGAAAAAACCUAGAACAUCAUUAUGUGCAACCACCCCAUAAAAAAAUCAAAAGAAAAAAAGCUUGGUGUUUCCUUCCAGUCAUCGCCCCUCACCCCCAUCCUUCAAGAUUGGGUCACACGUAUGUUUUUUUUUCUUUUGGUUGCCAGAAAACACCCUUGUUUUCUACUCCCCCACAUAAUACGCAAUUGACAAAACUCAACCAACAAAAGCAUUGUCUCUGUCCUUGAAUAAUUCAUGCAUGCAUGCAACAGUAACAAUGUAAUUAAUUUAUCAAAAUAAGGAAAGAAGAAGAACUUACCCGGGCACGGCUAUUGCUGGAGGUAAGGCUGAGGGAGACGGUCAGGUGUUGCUUAUGGUUGUCAAUCUAACAUGUUGUUCAAGGUGGGGACGGGGUGCUGGCGCGAAAAAGAUCUUCCAAAUGUUGCUUCAAUGAAGGCUAGCAGAAUAUUCGGCUGUCAUGUUGUUGUUGCUAUUUAGUGCUCUUGGAGGAAGGAUAUGAUUGCUGCUACUAUUGCAUUAUGAUAUUGGUGUUGCUUAAAGUGUUGGACCAAAAAGAAGAGGUUGUUGCUGUAGUUGAGUUCUGAGGAAAGCUCUUCACUGUUUCGAAACUGCUUGUGGUUGUAGCUAUAAGGUCUUCAAGUGUUGCUUCUCCAUUGUUGUUGGUUGUCGGUUGAGGAAGAAGGAGAGUUACUAAUAGGGGAAGGAGAUGAUGUGUGGUUGGUUCGAGGGAUCGACCACAGAAAAGAAAGUGAGGAGCAAUUUGUGCGUGUUUCUUUUGAUUUCCCCACAGUUGAGAGUUAAUGGGGGGAAGCUUGUGACACGACCAAAAGAUUGAUGUCUUCUCCCAAAUGCAGGAGUGUCGAAGUAAUAAAUAACCCGGCAAGACCAGGGUCGAACCACAGAGAGGUUAAUUGUACAAAUUAUAAAUAACAAUAAUACAACAACAACAACAAUAAUAAUAACAACAAUAAUAACAACAACAAUAAUAAUAAUAAUAAUAAUAAUAAUAAUAAUACUCAGUACGUGGCGUUGUUAUACCUGAGAAUGAUCUAAAAGAUCGGGUCACAGGUUUCCAGCCUAUAUACUGAGUUUAUGAAAAGAUGAAAGAGAUAUAUUAUAUAUUAUAAACAUAAUGUAAAUAAUAAUAAUAAUAAUAAUAAUAAUAACAAUAAAAAGAGGAGGAAAAAAUUAAUGAGAACUUUGAGAUGGAAGAUUAAUGUAAGGAUUAAACAAUGAUAAAAAUAAAUGUCAAGGUUAGAGGAUCCACCAAUGGUACUUCAAACAAGUAUAGUAUAAACUGUUAUUAUUCAACCGGAAACCACAUACAAAGGAGGUUCCAAUUGGCCGAUUUGUCAUUAAUAGCUCAUUAUAAAUUAUUAACAAGAUCAUAUUAAUUAUCUCAUUUACAUAACACCAAACUUUUAAAUAUUAUCAGGAAUUCAUGAUGUUAAUUGAUGUUAACAACAAAUCAAGUACCUUUCAUAGCCCAGGUGUAGGUAAUACCAUACGGUUGGGCUAUGAGAGUGCCAAGCAUUUGUUGUACCAAGUAUUAUACAACACAAAUCUAGAUUAACCAUUUAACAAGCAAGGUAUUAAGAAUUAGUAAGAUAAAAAGAUAAGACAUGUUAAUAUUAAACAUUAAGGUCCAUGUUGAGUUUACACCAUACUUGUUCUUACACCAUUAGUGUAACCUUUUCACCUUGACAUAAUAAACUUAGCUAAACAUAAUAAAGAAGAAAAACAUAAAUAAACAAAACAAGAACAUAAAUAAAAUACAAGUUAACUAAGGAAAGGAAAGGAAAUGAAAAGCAUAAACAAGAAAUUAAUGAAAGCAAAACUUAAGAAUUACAAAAAAUAUAAAGAGAGAAAUAAAGAGCAUGAACUUGAUCUGAACAACCAAGCCCCUAAAUACAUGGCAAAUGCCUCCUUUAUAGGCCAAAAUUCGAAAUUAUUGAUUUGAUGACUAAUUGUUGAGUGGGUGGCCAACUUUUGACUUGGUGAAAAUCCUUAUCUUCUUGUCUUAAGAAAACAAAAAUGCUAGCAUCAGAACUGUGUCCAGAUGUCCAAAUGAAAGUUCAAGGAAAUUCUCUUAGCUUUCCAGAAAAAAAAAGAAAAAGAUGAGGUCAUUUGGACUUCUAGAACUCAAGAUAUGGGCUGAACACUGAACAGUAUCUAGGCUGCAGGACAGAUUCGGACUUCUCCGUUGUUGCUAUAAUUUGGACUUGAAAACGGCCUUCUUAGAUCUUGAUAUCCAAAUGAAAGUUGUAGGCCUAUGUCUUAAUGAAUUUGUGUAAAAACUUGAGGUCAUUUGGAUAUCUAGAACUCGAGAUAUGACCCAAUUACUGAACAGUGUUCUAGUUUGGACUGCACCAACAUCUCUUUUCCAAGUUUCACCCUCUCUUUAUCUUCACAAAUUUUAGUAGUUGAAUUCAUCAAUCAAUACUUUGAUUUAUGUGAUAGCCCUGCAUUUAAGAUGAACAUUUACCAUAUUGUCGCACCCCAAAAAAAUUAAAUAAUUACAGGUUCGACUGUCGAAUUUUUUUUUAUUUGAUUUGGUUCUUUGGAGUCGCCACCUAGUAUUUUGGUCACUAGGAACCCUAACUGGUCUCAGAGAUCGGGUAUGGGGACUGGUUGUGUAAAGGGAAGGUAUUAGCACCCCAAAUACGCCCUACCUAAGGUAAGCUGCAUUGUUUUAUUGUCUGAUAAAAAAACUAAAGUGUUAUUGUACUUUUAGUUGUUGGUCUGUCUAUGGUUCAAGAAAAAUCCUCCUCGGUAAGAAGGUCUUUAUCUUAACGGGUAAAAUCUUAACCGUUCUAACGUCUAUACCAAAAUUUUAUUAAUAAUAUUUAGGAAUACGUUUUACGUAUAAAUUCGUAAUCCUAAAUACUAAAAGAAAAUAAAAAGAUUUUUUAGAAUUUUUGAAAUAUUGGCCUAGUUCUCAUGGCUUGAAUAAACUAGUUAUUAAAGCCAAAAUGCAUGCUAAUAUAUAUAUUAUUUUGAAAAUUUCCUUUGUUGUGUAAAAAUACAAUGUUAUAAUAUUUAUAUAUAUAUAUAUAUUGGAGAGACUAGGCCGUAUUUUAAAACAAAAACAAUUUUUUGGAAUUAUUUUUUUUUUAUGCUUUGAUGAAAAUCGGGUAUUUUAAUACUGGGUUUGUAUCCUUACGGUAUAAAAAUACAACCCAAUAUUAAUCCACCUUAAUAAAAAAAUACAGGAAAGAUCAACAAUAUUUUUAAAGAACUUUUGGAAUUUUUUGAAAGUAAAAACAUUUUUUAUUUUGAAAAUCUUUGAUGUUUUGACGAAAACUAGGUAUUUUAAUACUGGAUUUGUAUCUUUACGGUAUAAAAAUACAAACCAAUAUUAAGCCAUUUUUGACAAAAAUAUGGAAAAUCAACAAUAUUUUCAAGAAUUUUUAGAAUAUUUUUUUUAUACAUUUUUUAAAUAUACAUACAUAUAAUAUAAUAUAUAUAAUAUAUAAUAUAAUAUAUCAUGUGGGCUGGGCCGGCCCAACCGAAUGGGCCAGACUCAGCCCAGCGGGAAUCUGGGCCAAUCCGGCCCAGAUGGGGUUGGGCCGAUCUCGGCCCACCUGUCCAUCCUGCUGCAUUUCGUUUGGGCCAGACCCGGCCCAGACCUAAAUCCGGGCCAGAACCGGUCUGGCUUGCGGGAGAAAAAAAAGAAAGUGGGGAGGGGAAUUAUUUUCCCGUCCCAUCCCUGCAUGCAGAUAUUUCGUUUUGCAUGCAAGGGGACAGCUCACUGCAGGGAAGGAAGAAUUACCUGGCGUUGAGGAGGUGAACGUUGGCGGUGCUGCGGUGGCGCUGCGGUGUCGUGGCUUCGCGGACGGCGGCGCUGUGGCUGUUCCUAAGCGGCGGAGAGAAAAGAUUUUCUUCCUCUUCCCCUCUUCUUUUUCAUUUUCGGUAUUACUCUCUUUUCCUUCCUUUCUCUUUGUUUUCUGUUUUCUUUUCUUUUGUUUUCGGUUUAUUCCUUUCUCUUUUCCCUCUCUCUUGUUUGUCCUCUCUCUUCUCCUCUCUCUCUCCUCCCUUCGGUUCUCUUUUUUUUUUUUUUUCGGUCCUCUUCUUUAUUUAUAGGGGCAGAAUCGGUGCGCCUUUUGCUAGUGCGGGAGCAAAUCACGCAACGGCUGGUCGGCCAUUGACUCGUUCGGUGGUGGUGGGGGCGAGGAGAGAGAGGCGGGGAGGUUUGAAAAUGGUUUUCUUCUUCUGUUGCAGGUUCGGGGGGGAAAGAAGAAGAGGAACAGUGUUGUUCAAAACGACACCGUUCCGGUCUCUUCUUUUUUUGUUUUCCUUUUUUUUUUAACAUGAAACGGCGUCGUUUUGGACAAAACGCGCCGUUUCAUUAAAACAGGGCGCCAACACGCGCCAAACUUCAAAUCAGCCCUCAAUCAUCUUUAAUUCAUUUCAAUUGCAUCCCUGCCAAUUUCGGUCCCCGCCCCCAUAGUUGGCCGAGUUUUUCACUUUGGUCCUUGGCCUCUGAUUUAUGCAAUUUAGCCAUUAAUUGAUUAAUAAACUUUUAAUUUCUUCAAUUAGGCCCCUGAACCGAAUAAUUACAGCCCUCCAUUUACGCGCCUCUUCCAAUUUGGUCCUUGGUUUCGGAUUUUCUUAAUUAAGUCCCUAAUUGGCCAUUAAACUUCAAUAUUUAUGCAAUUAAGCCCCUGAUUUGACCCAAUAAAUUCCUAAAAAAUAUAUUUUGGCCCCAGAACUUAAAUUUCUUCUAAUUAAAGCCCAAAUUGACUUAAAAAUCAAUUUUUCUUGCAAUCAAAUCCUCUAUAAAUUCAAAUAAAAAUCCAAUUACGUCCAUAAACAUCCAAAUUUGGGCUUUUCUCCUCAAAAUUCAAAUUUUCCUUCUCAACAGGGCUCCCAUCCUUAAAGAAUAUAUUGUCAAAAAUCCAUCUUUGCAUUUUUAUACUCCUUGACCAAUUUUCUGACCAUUUUCUGAGCGCUUAUGUCUUCUAUUAUUUUUCUAACCUUUUUUGGCUAUUUAUUUUAUUUUUAUUUUUGUGGGGACCCGAAAAUGGGUUACAACAUAUAUAUUAGGGUAUUUUAUAGUAUUAGACUUGUUAUUAUAAAACAUGCUUUAGUUAAGGAGUUAUUGAUACUUUAAGUGCAAAAUGAUGAUAUAAAACCUUGAUAAGUAUGCACUUUUAAGUACUAAUCAGCUUGGUCGCUAGUUUCCUUUGCUGGUGGCUGGUAACUGCGAGAGAAAAAAAUGGGUGGAGGGAGGCUUGGUCAUUAGUUUCCUUUGCUGGUGGCCGGUGACUGUGAGAGAAAAAGAUGAGCUCUAGUCUUCUUUUGUGUUUUCCUGAUGAUAAAGGUUUGUAACUUGUAAGGAAAGGGAGAUUUGGUGCUCGUUGGUUAUGGCGAUUUCCAGCUAAGGAAAAAACGGUGAAGAUGAGGGAGAGUGGCGGCACUGUAAAAAAAAAUUAGGUUUUUGUUUUUAUAUAUAUAUUUGUGUGCUCUCUUAGGUUUUUUUAGUAAUGGCCUCUCCAAAAUCUUUGAUUUGUCCUCCUUUUAUAUAUAUAUAUAUAUAUAUGCAUUGAAAUCUGUAUUUAUAAUAUAAAAGUCUCACAACAUAUGGAAAAUAAAAUUCCAAAUAAACUCAUUCUCUUAUUGAAAUUUAAAUUUGAUUAAGAAUCAAAUUUGAAAAAGUAUAACUAUCAUUAUCUUAAUGAUAAGGAGAGAAUGACAAAAGCACAUUGUAGUCUCUAGUUUUUCACAAGUUGACAAAUCACACCUUUAAUUAAAAUCAAUCCCUGAUCUUUUAAUUUCAAAUUUUAACCCCUUUAAAAUUAAAUUAAAAGCAAAUGGGUUAAAAUUGGGUUAUAACAAGGGUUAUAAAGGAAAUAAUUUCUCAUCAUCAUCGUUGAAUGAAUAACCUUUCAUGACACUAUAAAUCUCUAGAAAUCUGCUCCAUUACGACAUUAAAUGCAUCUCGGGCUAUUUACAUUCGGUCCCAAUGCUCUAGGCCAUAGUUGGAGAACAUUGCUAUUUUGUUUCCCAGAAGAUUCUUUUUCAAUAAGGACAAGUUAUUUGGCUACAAGAAUCCCAACAGUCCUACUUCGGAUAACCUAUCUCAUGAAGGAGGUAAAAAGUUUCAUUAAAGAUGACAACCUUUCAAAUCUUUACAUAUUUAAUACAUUUGGGAUAACCUAUCUUUACCUAUCUCAUUAAAGACUUGGGGGAGCUAUUGAUGAAUCAAUAUAUUUUUAAAAUUUAUAUUUUAGCCGAAGUUCAUUUUUAAAAAAGGCCAAAGACAUGGUGAUAAUCUAAGUACACAUAUGGGUCUCGCAAGCUGUUAGGCCUAACAUCAUUGGGCUCAACUAUACGCUAAGCCCAAGUACAUAUGGGUCGAGUAAGCUGUUAGACCCAUCGUUCUUGGAUUCAGAUAUAUAUUAAGCCUAAAUAGGUAUUCACCCAAUGAUCAUUAUAGGUCCCAUGUUGGGCCACGAUGCUUCAUUUGUGUUAUUCUUAUGAAUUUUAACAUAAAAUGUUAAUGUUAAAAAUACUCAUAUUUCUACAUGCAUAGGUGUCUAAAAAUUUUCUAAGGACUUACUAUAUUUUCAUAAACAUUAAUAUUGCGUAAGAAAUAAUUAUAUCUUAUUAAUGUUGUGUAAGAGAUAUUUAUGCCUCAUUAAUACUAUAAGAAGGAAAUGACUAUUUAACUCCUCCAUUCUAGCAACAUGACAAAGUUUAAGGGCUCUAAAUGCUCCUGAACUAUCUAGAUAAAUGGUUUAUAAUCUCUUCUUUCUCAUUAUUUUUAGUAUAUAUAUUUUUCAAAGUUUAUCUAUAAAAAAAAAACCUUUUACAGUUAUCAAUUAUUAAUCACUUUAGCUUCCUAGAUUCCAAAUAGUAACCACUUUAACUAAAAAAUUGAAGUUAAAUUAUUAUAACUAAAAAAUUAACUAAUUAUCUAACUUAUAAGUAUUAUUUAUAAACUACUUAGAUAUUUUAUACAUCAUGAUAAAUAUUUAUGUGAUAGCCAACUAUUACCCUCUGGAAGCAACAACACCGAAGAAGCUACGGAAUGUUAUGAUAAAAAACAAAGAAAAACUCCCUUCCAUUCAGCAAGGAUAUUUCAGUCAUUUAAAAAAUCUUCCUACCGGUUUAGGGUUCGUUAGAUGAUAGCAUCGAUUCGUGGUCAUUAAUUCUCUACUAUUUCAAUACCGUCGCUCUGUUUUCGGAAUCCGAUUUCAAGUAUCAUUUCUGUGAUGCUGUUAAGCGGCGAUUUUCAAUAAGAAUUGAGAAUCUGUGUUCUUUUUCGGGUUUCUUUUGGAGAAUUAUAUUUUUGCUAGACUUCAAUGAUUGCUGUUGGUAAUUUUGGUGAGCAAGUGAAAUUGAAUAAAAAUUGAGCUACAAAAACUUGGUUUGUGUGUGAAUUAUGGAAAUUUGAUAUUUUUUUGUAUAUAUAAUUUUUUUCUGAUCAGAUCAAUAGCAUGCUUGUUCAAUUAGUUAAGAUAUGCAUGGAAAUUCCGUUUCCUAUGCUUUGAGCUUAAAAAAUGUUAGGAGUAACUGUACAUGUCAUGGACGAGGAUUGUUUGAUUUCUAGAAUCAUUUUUUUUUUGCGGGUUUUGAUUGUGUUGUCUGUUGAUGGUUUAAUUUCUCUCUCCUGGUUUUUUUUAUUUAUUUUGCAUUUGCUUAUAUGACGUACUGGUAAUUGAUAGGUGUGUCUGAGGAGUUUAUUUGUUGAUACGCUUGAUGGGUGCACCGAAACAGAAAUGGACAGCAGAAGAAGAAGCAGCGCUAAAAGCUGGAGUUAUUAAGCAUGGAGCUGGAAAAUGGCGCACGAUUCUUAAAGAUCCAGAAUUUAGUGGUGUCUUGUAUCUGCGUUCGAAUGUGGAUCUUAAGGUUAGCUUGCUUAAGCAUUUCUCUUAAAGGAGGGCGUUCAUGUUUGUAGAAUUUGCUGCAAGCUUUAGAUGUUCCGCUAUUUGAUUGAUCAAUUUAGUGAAUUUGUGGGAUCAGAAGUUUGUCUUAUGUUUUUAUGAUGCAAUUCAGGGUCAUAGAUUUGUUUGGUGUUUUGUGUGGGUAGGACAAAUGGAGAAACAUAAGUGUAAUGGUAAAUGGCUAUGGAUCAAGAGAGAAGCCUAAGUUAGCACCUAAGAUGGUGCACCAUGUCCUAAGACAGGAUGAGAACCCUAUGGCUGUUGGUCAAACCGAUGAAGAUAUUUCAGAUGCCAAGCCUCUCGCAGUUAGCAGUGGUGCAUUGCUGGUUGCCAAUCCAAAGAGAACUACUGUAAGGUUGGACAUUUUUUUAUCAGCAAAAAAAGAAAAAGAAAAAAAGAAGAAACCAAGCACUUAUCACUGAAUUCGUGCAUUCUCUUGUAUUCACACGCCACCAAUAGCUAUCAUUCUUGUGUCUCAUUUUAUUAGCUUCUUUUAACUGUUUGUUUAGUGUGUUUGAGACUUCAGAUUUUUUUUUUCCUGUUAUAAUUUCAUUAUCUGACCUUGAAGAAUUUUUAGUGCAUGUGGCCAUUGGAUGGUUAUAUGAAUCACAAUCAGUAACUGUUAGAUAUUAUUCACCUUUUUUAUGACUUUUGAUAAACAGUAGCCAUUGUUGCAGGCUGGAUAAUCUUAUAAUGGAGGCAAUAACUAGCUUGAAGGAGCCUGGGGGCUCACAUAAGACAGCAAUUGCUUCAUACAUAGAGGUACUCUUCCAUUUAUAAAUGCUGUAGUAGAUCCAACUUAAAAGUAGCAUGAGCCUUUAUUAAUGCAACUACUAAUUUAAAGAAUUGGACACAAAAUCUGCAAAUUUAGGUUUUAAAACAGGCAAUACAAAAAUGGCAAAACCACUAUUGCUUCAACAAUUUAGACAGAAGGUUGAGGUGCUUUUUUUUAUUAUUAUUGUUCAAUCAUUUCAGAGUUGAAUUUUGUUCAAAUUUGAUUGAACCACAUGACUGGAUGGUUUUCAGAUAAUUCUCUGUUAUUUAUCUUAUACAGAGAUAAACAAUUAUUGGUUAUUUUAAGAAGGUUCUAUCAUAUUGCUUGUCUGAAGCCAAACAAUAUCAAGGGUCCUACUUUAACUUUUCUGCUUCAAGGAAUUUAUAUAUAUUACUGUUUUAUAAUAAUUUUAGAGCAAUUUACACCAGAUUGCCCUUGCCCGACUUGAUAAUGCAAUAAAAAUAAAUUUAAAACCUACUGCCCUUUUAUAUUGCUAUAACUCAUCACGACUAAUAAUAUGGUGAGCCAAAAAAUUCCAGCCAGGAUGAUAUCCAGGACAGGUGCUAAUAACAAUUUUUUGAGCAAUGUAAUAUUUUUGUUGACAUUUUCUGCUGUUGUCAUUCCCUUUUUAUGGCCAUAUCAUGUUGAAGGAAUCAUUCUGCAGCAAAUAUUGUGUCUUUUAUAUAAUUUCACGUUAAGAAGUUUAUUUUUUUAAUUAGCUUACCUUCCUGUCUUAUUUUUUAGGAACAAUAUUGGCCACCAAAUGACUUUAAGAGGAUAUUAUCAGCGAAAUUGAAGUAUUUGGCAGCUAAUGGUAAACUGAUUAAGGUAAUUAUGUUCCAAGAUUGUGGUGUAAUGGUAACUUAUUCGACACUAGUAAUUGCUAUGCUUGCAAUUAAAUGGCAUAGAAUAUUAAAUGCUGUUAAUUCAAAUGUCUCCUGUAUAAUUUUAUUUGUUACGAGUAAUGCUAUUUUUUGGAUCAGAAUUGAACAUUUAGUGAUGCAUUUAGACACAUGGAUUAUGACCGACUAUUGUUGAUAACCAGCUGGACACAUUAGGUGAUGUUAGAGAUCUAGAGGUUUGCUUUUGUUAGUUGCUAGUUAUUUUUUACGCUCAGUAAUUUCCUGAAGGCUGGGGUAUAAGGAAGUCAGUGAGAGGAUGUGUAUCAUCCACAACAUUAUAUAUUGUCUUUCUUCAAUUAUGUUUUCAUCUCCCAUUAGAAUUCGAGUCUGAAAACGAUUUUAAGCUGAGUUGAAUGUCUAGUUUGGGUAAAUCCUGCUUCAGCUAGAAAAAGAAAUACACUGUCACCAUGUUGGUAUACUUUCUCGUUAAUUGUACUUUGAUUGUCUUAAUGUUGGAUCUCAUCCAGCUGCUUUGUAUUUUUGCAGGUUAAACGGAAGUAUAGAAUUGCACCUACUUCAGUGUUUGCCGAGAGAAGAAGGGUUUCUCCCUUACUAUUGGAAGGAAGACAGAGGAUCUCUCCUAAAAUUGAAAGGGAUGGUUUCAAUAUGUUUACAAUGUCUCAGAUUGAUUUGGAUCUGGGCAGGAUGAGGACUCUGACUGCAGAACAGGCUGCUGAGGUAGCAGCUCGAGCAGUUGCGGAGGCAGAAGCUGCCAUAGCAGUAGCUGAAGAGGCAACAAGGGAGGCCGAGACAGCAGAAGCUGAUGCAGAGGCAGCACAAGCAUUUGCUGAAACAGCUAGGAAGACACUGAAAGGAAGGACCACCCCCAAGAUGGUAGACUUUAUCACUGCAUCUUUUCUGAAUGAUUUGUUUUGAAAUGUUUGAGAAGCCAGCCCUUUAUAAGUGGUUCUGUAACAAAAUAAUUAGCUGAUUUGCUUUUGAAAUUUAAAGUAAAAAAAAAAAUUCACACGUAUUAGUCACUUCCAGAAUUGUUUUUAGAAUUGCUUAUUACUUGACUGCUGGUUUGCAUGUAUCUACUCUGGGCAAUCCAUCAGUGUAAUGAUGCAUUAUUAAUUCUCCGUGCUUCUUUCGCAGCUAAAUGCUUCAGUGCAUCUUUAAGAAUUUACCUUUUUUUUUUUUUUUAUUCUGAAUGAAGUUGCUCUGCAAAUAUGUGCAGACGAUUCGAUCUUGAUGGAAAUCUCUGAAAAGGUCAACGGAGAGCUUGAUGGACACUGAGAUCCACACUAGUCUGCUGACUCUGUUCUCUGUACAUAUUUAAAGGCCCAUUUGGAGGAUCUAUGCUGCUUCGACCUUUACUGGAUCCUGGUGGUUUGUUAGAUUGCAAAGGCAGCUCACUCUGGGGACAAUUUUGAAUCAGAAUUUGUCAAUUUCAUUUCCUCAAUUUCUACUUUUUUGUCAAUAUCUACUACCAGUAGGAUUGUUGAAAAAUACAUAACAGGAGCAUUUACAGUGUAUGAAAAUGAGGCAGUGCGAUUUGGAUCGGGAGAGAUUGUUUUUUACUUUAGUCCUCUCCAUGCUUGUAUUAAAUUGAUCAAUGAUGUGAGUAAAUAACGUAGAUGUUUUUGGCCAUUGUGUUUGAAUUAUUUCACUCAUCAUUUUACACAUUAGACAUUUCUUGUCGUGUGCUUCUUAUCUUGCUGCUUCAAUUGUCCCAGUGCUAAAUUAUUAAAAAAACAAAAAACUAAAAGAGGUGGAGAAAUCACUAUGCCUCAGGGGGUGUAACUGUAAUUGCACAUGAACUAAUCAGUUAUUAUUAUUUUAUUAUAGUCUAGGAUGUCUUUCUCUUUUUAAUGGUACAGUAUAAUGACUGAGAUGUUCUUGAAAUUAAAAAAAUUGCUUUGAUACUGGGGUGAUUUUGUUUUUUUGUUUAGAAAAACUCAUUAAAAUUACUUUGUUGCCUCUUGAAACAAAUAUAUGUUAACUAGGAUAUAAGGGCUCAUUCAUCUUUUGCUUUGAAAAUGAAUAGUAAAUUUGCAAAGUUUUUUAAUCAAUAAAAUUUUAAACUAGGAUUUAAAGGCUUGUUCAUCCUUUUAUUUAGUUUUUUUUUAGAAAUGGAAUCAAGACACGGACAAUUUGGUAUUUUUCAAAAAAUAUUUAAAAAAAAGUUUGUUGGUGUAUUUUGUUCACGCGUCAUUGUGUAAAGCCACUUCACAUGCUUCCAGCGAAGCAUACAGAGGAUUUAGGUGGUGGAAACUGGUCAUCCAUGGUAGUGUUAGAAAGAUCAAUGUGUCCUCUUCCAAAUGAGAUGGUUCAAUAGGCGGUUCGAUUUCGAUGAUGUUUUUUUUUUUUUUUCUCUCUCUCUUUACUUUCAAAAACAUGUCCAAUCAGAAAAUUCACGAUGUCCUCUUAUUUUGUCUUGCUAUUUGACUCAGUCCUCUUGCUUUUGAUUAUAUGAUUUAUGUCUUAGUUUAUUUUGUGAACUUUACAUUUCUUUUCAAUUUCAUCUGUGAUUGAAAUGUUAUUUUUCCUUUUAUUUUGUCUUGGUUUCAUGUUUAAUUCUCUUUCUUUUGAUUUUAGAUUUCUGCUUGAUUUCUUGUCAAAUGUUUGAUUUUAUUUUUUAUUUUUACCCUUGAAUCAAUUAAUGUUAUUUUCCCCUUUAUUUUUCUUUUUAGCAUUUGGUCCUCAUUUUUUUUAUAUUACUAUUUUGUUUUGUUUUGGGCCCUUUUAUUAAAUUCUUUUUUUUUUCAAUCUUAUCUUCUAAUAUUGAAAUAUUAGUUUUCUUUUAUUUUGUUUUGAUUUCAGAUUUGCUCCUCUUUUUAUCAUGGUCCCAAACAAAGACAAGAAGUUUUGUUUUCAUGAGUAAUGGCCUCAUAAUUAAUUGGAGGCAUUUAAUAAAUAAUUCAGUAAGACCAUUAAGUGUCGUGGCGUGCAUGGCGGGUUUGCCUCCCGAGUGUUGGUGAAAGGGGUUUUGGAUUUAAUAAAAAAUUAUGAUUAUAAAGUUCAGGAGUCACCACCUAGUAUUAUGGUUACUAUAAAAUCUAUGAUUUACGAUAAUCCGGGUAAGGGACUAGUUGUGUAAGAGGUAAGUUGCAUUGUUGUUUGAUUAUUAUUAUAAGUCGCAUUUCUGUCAUUUGGUCUUGUCUAAAAUUCAAUGUAGAUCUCCCUUCGUGAAGAAGUUUCUACCUUAUCAUGUUAAAUCUUAACCAUUCUAAAAGCCAAAAUUAUUUAUUUCUUGGAUAUAGUUAAGUCCUAGCAUUCCAAAUAACAAAAUAAUUGUGGGUUUUUUAUAUUUUAGCCAAACCUUAAUGCAUAAUUAUAAAUUGAUUAUAAUAUCAAUUUGCAUUUAAAUUUAUAAAAAUAUGAUUUUAUUUUUAGAAAAUAUGCAUGAAAAACCUUUAGGAUUUGGCCGCACGAAAAUAAUUUUUUUUUUUUGGAAAGAGGAAAUCAAUUUAAUUUUUUUUAAGAAAAAAAUUCGGAAAAAAUCGGGUAUUUUUAAUACCGAAUUUGUAUCUUACAGUAUAAGUCUACAAUCUGAUAUUAUGCAAAAUAGUUGGAAAAACAUGCAAGGGACCCACAAAUAUUUUUGAAAUACCCUUUUGAAAAUUUGAAUUUUUUCUUCUUUUUAAAUAUCUAAAUAUUAUUAUUAUUAUUUUAUUAAAUAUAUGUUGGGUUGGACCAGGCCCAGCCAUCCGGGCUAAGCUGAAACAAGUCUAGCUCGACUCAGUUAGGAUAGGCCGAUUAGUAGCUAACAACCUUUUUUUGUUUAGGAUAGACUUGGCCCAACCAUCUAGGUUGGGCUGCAACAGGUCUAGCCUCGGCCCACAUGGUUGCUAACCUAGCCCAACAACCAUAUUAACUAAUUUGUUGUUGCAUGCAGAAUGAAUUCUGCAUGCAACGGCUACAGUUGGGGUGGAUGAGAAGAAAAAGAAGAACAGGAAGGAGAAGGCUUAACUGACCAAAGAAGAAGAGUUGGUGGUGGCUUGAAGGUUGGUUGGUGGCUCACGAUGGCAUAGAGGUGACUCUGGUGGAAGAAAUAAGUUGGUGAGGUUGCUGGAGGAGAAGAUCGUGGUAGAGAGGAAGGAGCUAGAAGUGGCUCAUGAUGGGAACAAAUUUUUUUUUUUUUUAAUCAAAACGACACCAUUUUGGCUUAGGGUUUUAAUUUUUGAAUUUAGCUAAAGUUCAAUUUGGUCUUUCGACUUUUGCCUCCUUCCAAUUACACCCUUGGUUGGCCUAGAACUUUUAAUUUUAUGCAAUUUUACUCAUGCCAAACUUCACACAUCAACCCCAAAUUUUAACAUCUUUUUAAUUUGGUCAUUGGUUUUGGAUUUAUGCAAAUUGACUUUUAAUUGACCAUUAAAUUUUCAAAUUUCUUCAAUUUCACCAUUGAUUUCAAUUACUUAAAUCCCUAAAGUUCGAUGCCCUUUUCAAAAAGGUCAUUGUUUGCAAAAAAAAUUAAUUUAGCCCUUAAUUGACCAUAAACUUUAAUUUUCUUGUGAUUUUACCUCUAAUUUCAACCAAUUGACUUUGUAAAAAUUAAGUUUGGUCCUCUGAAAUUCUAAUUUUUAUUUAAUUAAGCCCAAAUUGAGCUCUCAAGCUUAGUUUUUCACCAAUUAAGUCUAUAAUAAAAUUAAUUAGACACAUUUAAAGUAUAAUUAAGUCUUUGCACUUAAUUAAAUCUUUUAACUUGACCCAAAUAAAUUCUUAAACAUAAUUAAAUCCUUUAAUUUGGUCCAUGAUUAAACCAAAUUGGCCUAUUAAAAAUCUAAUUAUAUCCUUAGACUUAAUUUUUAUACAGAUUCGUCCAAUAAUAAUUUAAUUUGAUCUUGAAUUUUAGGUACAAUGAGUAUAAUUAAGCUCCCAAUUUAUUCAAAAUUGUAGCUUGAGUUUCUUCUAUAUUUGAAAUCUCUCAAGCUUGCUUUUGCUAAAAUAUCAGUCCUCUUGCUAUUAUUACUAUAUUAUUAUUAUUAUUAUAUUUUUUAUUUUUUGUAAAAGGGUAAAUUUUAGGGAAUAACCUAAAAAUGGGUGAUGGCACUGAGUAUGGACAUGGGCAACAAGAUUUUCAAUGUUUAUUCCAAGUGACAUGCAAAAAUCAUUAAAUGCUUGGAAUGAGAAUUUAUUAGCGUUGUCAAGAUGAAUUCUCUUGAUUAUAUAAUCUAUAAUUACGUUAGUAAUCUAAUAAUUUGAGCAAGCAAUCUCGCAAAUACUAGGUUGCGAGUUGAUAAUAAACACACAUAUGACCAUAUAAUAGAUGCAUCUAUUAAAACCAUAAAAUAUUUAAAUGGUCCAUAUGGUGGGUGAAUGAGCCCAUAAAUAUCACAUUGAAUACAUUAUAGAAAUCUUGGGGAUUCAAUCCCAACUUUAGCUAGUGAUGAUCUAAUAAUCAGUUUACCUUGAGAAUAAAUAGCACACGAGAAUUCUUAAUUGAAAAAUCUUAUAGUUCUUCAAUGGAUGGCCGUGAGAAUUCUCAAUAACUCUUUACAUCAUUAUUGAUCUAAGAUAGUCUAGGUAGGCAUGCCAUAUAUUAAAAUUAUUUGGUUUAUUAAACUUCUGGUUUAUUAUUGCAUUGACUUCAAUUGUACUAAUCCUUGUAUAGUACAAACUAGGAGAUAAAACAUAUAAUUUUUCUAAUAUUUGAUUUUUAGUAUAGAUAUUUAAUAUAAUAUAAAAAUAUUUUAUACCAUUGUCAUUGGUAGUUUCAAUAUGGUACCUGUCAUUGCAAAUCCAUGUUUUCUUCAUCAAAAGGAAUAGAUAUAUAAUAAAUUCAUAAAAUGACAGAUCUUAAAGUUGCAUAUAAAAAUUAUUAUAACACAAUCCUUUACAUUAAACAAGUUAUCAUAAAAGUAACAAACCAAAAUAUAUUGAAAUAUACUAGCAUAAAAGAAACACACCUAAAAUAUUAACUAAAUUUUAAAUUCUAACAUUCUUAUAUUUAACUAUUUAAUUAUUAUCAUUACAAGAUAUAUUAACUUUCUCAUCAGUUUGCUCAAAGAAAUCAACAACAUCAAGGUAUGUCAUAUCUAAGGGGUAAAAGUAAAUAUCAUUAUUAUCUUGAUGUGGGUGAGCAAAAUUUAUUUCUAUGUCCUUCUCCUUUCCUUUCAAUGAGGACUGAUAUAAACUAACAAGAUGUUUGGUCGUAUGAUAGCUGCUAUGUAUAUUCUUCCUUUUUUUUUCCUUGUUUCUCCUUAUUCUAAGAAGGUUUGUUAGAAUUAUGAUCAUUAUAGUUGUGGAAAUUAAUUUGUCUUCGCCCAUGGUCGCGUCUAUGACCAUGAUCAUAAUUAUUAUAUAUAUCUCAUGGCAUUCACUUCAGAAUAGAGAUGAACCAAUUAGUCAUGAUUCAUGAUUUUUAAUUAAAAGCUCAUUAUUUGUUCAGCUACAAGGAGACAUGAAAUCAGUUCAAAGUAUUUCUUUAAACCCCGUUCUAUAUUAAUGUUAUAGGAGUAUAUUCUAGGCAUGAAAAGUAGAGAAUGUUUUUCUAACAUAUCUCUACUAAUAAUAUUAUCUCCAUAUACUUUUAUUUUAGAAAUAAUAUUAAACAUAACAAAAUUAUAUUCACUUACCGAUUUAAAAUCUUAUAAUCAUAAAUAUAUUCAAUCAUAACAGGCUUUAGGGAGAAUAACUAUCAUUUGAUAAUCAUGUCUUUAUUUCAAGUUUUGCCAAGAAUAAGGGAUAUUUGAUUGUGAGAUACUUAAUUUUUCAACUCCUCAUUAAGAUGAUGACGUAAAAAAAUCAUGGUUUUUGUCUUACUUUAACUGGAUGCACCAUAUCUAUUUUUAAUGGUGUCUCCAAGACCUACAACAUCCAUAUGGAUUUUGACAUUAAGAAACCAUGAUAAAUAAUUCUUACCCAUAAUAUAAAGUGCCAAGAACUCAAUUUUGGCAAGAUUUGUCAUGGUUAAUUCAUGAAAAAAUAUCAAAAUUGCUAGAAAUUUAGUUUAAAUAUUAUAAUAAAUAUUGAACAAACAUUAGCUUAAAAUAUUGAAUAAAUUUGUUAUAAACCGGAAAAAAAAUGAUUCAUUUAAAUAACUAGAAGGCAAACAAUUAAGUAGAUAAACAUAUCUUCUACUUUUUAUUCACAAAUCAAACAUGCUUAUUCAUUUGAAGAUGAGAACAUGGAGCAAUCAUGUUGAUAACAUAUUAUAAAACAAUAUAUUUAGAAGCAAGCGAUAUACCCAAUAAAGAGUAAACAUAAUAAAUAAAAACAAUAGAUAUUAGGGAAACAAAGAAAGAGCAUUUUUAUUUUAUAUCAUUGUAAAUGUAGUUGUAUAUAAUAUCAUCUCAACACUGCUCUUAAAUAUAAUCUAAUAUACAUUAAUACUUGUAAGCCUAGAAAUUAUAAGAAGAUGUAGAGUUCACAUGAUUUUGGAGAUGAUGAAUGAACACGAAGAUGAAAAAAAAACGAUAAAUAGACAUUUACGGGCAAUGUAUAAUUUCAUAACAUUUUGUUUUAACAAAACUCUGAAAGCAUGCUAAUUUUUUAAUUCCAGCCUUGGGGCGAGUCUAAUUUUCAUGUGGUAUUUUAAUUUUCAAUUGGGUUUUGUUAUGUGUUUUGAAUAUUUUAAAAGUUACAAUAGAAUUUAUUUUUUCUUUAGUUAAUAUUCUAUAUCACCUUGCAAUUUAUUAUAUAAUUUAUUAAGUGGUUAAUACAAAUAAUUUUAGAUAUCCAAAAUUAAGAGAUCUUAUUUUGCUUUUAUAGUUGGUCUAUAAAACCUUUGAUAUGUAAUUGAUUUAUUCAUUUCAAUUACCCUUCAAAUAUGUUAUGCAUUUUAAGUUUAUUUUGUUUUCUUUUUGAAUAAGAAAAAAAAUACAAAAUAAUUUUAAAAAAUAAAACAUAACUCAAUAAAUAAAACACCAUAAUACCUAGCAUAUGACAAACAAAUAAGAGGGUUUGAUUUACAAGCAUAAGUACUAAGAUUAUUUUUAACAUCAUUUUUUUUUUAAAAAAGCGAUAACAUGUGUUGUAACCAAAUUUUGACCCACUUAUGUUAAAUUAAUUUUAAGGAAGGUAAAUCUUGAAAAUUAAAAGACCAGGGGUUCAAAUGCAAGGAUUUAGAAACUUCAAGGACUAGAUUGGAAAUGACCAUUCUCAGCCCAAAACAACAUCGUUUCAAUCAGGUGCUGUCCCAUCUUCGUCUCACCGAACGUCCGCCUGCAAAGAAGGAAACAAAAGCGUGAAACACUAGUAUCCUAACCCAUUCAAAAUACAGAAAAGCAAUAAUUAUCUUCAUGAUAAUUACAACCCGACGAGAUAAAGAUUGCACUUUGAAUUUGAGUCCUAGCAGGAACCGUCUCCCUCAGUCGUGCUUAUCAAGAGGAGAGACGUGAGGCUAAGGGGGAGGAAAAUUGAUCCCUAUAAAUACCCAACAAUUGACAACGCCAAAAGGAGAAAAAGAAAACCCAGAAUUUACCCAGAAAACAGAGAUAAGAACAGGAAACCGAGCAAAAAAAAAGACCCAAAAACAGAGCAAUUAACAAAAAAAAACAGAGCAAACAAAACACAAAAAAAAAGAGACAGAGAAGAACAGUAUCACCAGCCAAAUUUCAUCCUUCUAGAAAUCAGUUUUCAUCCGAACUGUUUUCACCCCUACAGAAACCCAAUUGAUCACCGAACCGUAGAUCAUUGACAUAGAGCAGUCGAGCCACACCGUCACCUUAACCUGCCUCAGCAUCGCCAGAAACAGAAAGCAGUCGACUCAAAGCAGCAGACCAGCGUUGCAAUCUUCUUCAAUCUCCAAAAACAGGUUCGCUUCCUUUUUCAUUUUUUCUCUGCUCUUCGUGUUCAAGUAAUUGUUUGAACAGUGCGAAGGUAAUUUAAUUACCUUCGCACUGUUGAUGCACGCAUGAUCUGUUUCAUGCGUGCAUCUUGUGUAGCUGGGUCACUGGCUUCUAGUGACCCGGGCCGGGCUGGCUGGGUUCAGCCCAGCCCUUGUGGGCUGAGCUGAGCCCAGCCACCAAUAUAUAUACUUGCUGGGUUGGAUUUAGCCCAGCCCAGCCCAAAAAUAAAAAAAAGGUAAAAAAUAUAAAAUAUUAAAAUAUAUAAUAAAAAUUGUGUAUGUAAAAAAUAUAUACAUAAAUGAAUUUGUUUUAUUCAUUGACAAAAAAAACACAUAAAAUAAAAUAGGAUAAAUUUAUUUAGUAUAUUCACCGACGCCAGAGUCGGGAAUAAAAAAAUACUAGGGUAAAUUUAUUUUAUUUUAUUUUGUUUCGCAUGCAUAAAAAAAUAAUUUGAUAAAGAAAUGAAUUGAUUUUUAUUUGUUUAUUCACAUAAGAUAAAAUAGGAUAAAUUUAUUUAGUAUAUUCACCGACGCCAGAGUCGGGAAUAAAAAAAUACUAGGAUAAAUUUAUUUUAUUUUGUUUCGCAUGCAUAAAAAAAUAAUUUGAUAAAAAAUAAAUUGAUUUCUACUUGUUUAUUCACUGACGCCAGAGUCAGGAAUAUAAUAAAAUGAUGAUGUGAAUUUAUUUAUUUUGAUACCUACGUAAUAUUUACCAACGCCAGAGUUGGAAAUAUACGUAGUUGAAUAUUCACUGGCGCCAGAGUCAGGAAUAUUGUACACAAGAAAUCAUAGUAUAAACCAAUAAAGAUGUUAGCAAUUAAUAACAAAGACCAGCAAUGCAGCCUACCUUAGGUAGGACGUUUAAGGGGUGAUAAUAUCUUCCCUUUUACGUAACCAGUCUCGGAUCAUAGAAUCUCUGUGACCAGUUAGGGUUCCUAGUGACCAUAAUACUAGGUGGCGACUCCUUAAAAAAACCUUUUCCCCUAAAAGAACACGAUGCUGAAAUCGGUUCUUUUUCCAUAAUUCAAGAAUUAAUUUUUAAGGCCGCCGCGAUGUCGGGUGCGACAGAAUGGCGACUCCACUGGGGACUAAGACUAAGCUUUGUCUUUAUUUGUUAAAUAUUGCUAUAAAUGUUUGUUGUGUUUUUUUUAUUUUAUUUAGUUUAUUUUAUUUUAUUGCUUUAGCAUCCAUAUUUAUUCAUGUCAUCAUAUACAUUGAAUAUAGAUUUGUGCCUUCACACACCACGCAUUUCAUAAUAAAUAUCUGUUAUAUAAACUUUAUGUUAAGUGGGAGAGUAGCGGUACCCCAAUGGCUUUGGCCUGGGUAAGACUCGUGAAACCAUCCAACUUUCGCUUGAUUGUUUACUCGAUAGUGGUUGGUAUGCCUAAACUGAUAUUAUUCAGGGCCUCUAUCUUCACGCUACUUGUAAGCCUCACAUCAACCUUUCGAGGAAGAUCACUGAGCAUGCGAAAGACCUUUCAAAGACUAGAUAGCAACCUACCCUAAGCAUGUAAUGACUAGAACUUACCCUUUAGGUUGUUCCCUAUGUAAGUUUCACUAAAGUAAAGCUUAACAUAUAUCAUUUCAUAACAGGAUUAUUAUUUCGGGUGACAUAAUGGUUGUUAAUCGAGAAGUCAACACACUAUUGAGUAUGGGCUUGAAUCUGAAUAUUGCAUAUGACCGAGGGAGACUGCCCUAGACUGGAUGACAGUGGGAUACCGCUGCUAAAAGAGGUGAGAUGUGUAAUAAAUGAUGCCAUUCGUUUGAUUCCACUCACCAAAUAUUUGGAUGAUGAGACAGAAUUUACUAAGAUAUAUGGGAGAGUUUUGCAUCUUUUAAAUGUGCCGGUACUGCCAUUGGCCAUAAGAGCUCUGAUUCAUUUUUGGGAUCCUGAUUAUCGAUGUUUUACAUUUGGGGAUGUCGAUAUGGUUCCUACCAUUGAAGAGUAUGGUGUUUUGACAGAAUUUCCUGAGGAUAUACAUAAGGUUUACUUUCAUCAAAAGACUGAGGAUACUAUAGAGGAGCUUGCUAAGCUAUUGGGAAUCCAGCAAAUGAGUUUGUAUAGAGAAAAAAAAAUUUCGGGGGUUUGAGAUGGAAACGGCUAGAAGAGUUGUUGAUUGCUAAAAAGUCUAAUCCAUGUGCUAAAGUAGAAGUAUACAGAAUAUUGGCUUUGGGAAUAUUUGGGUUGAUUUUGUGCCCUUCAUCUGCUGGAAUUGUUAGUUUAGAGGCAGCCAAUUUGUUUGUUGAGUAUGAGAAGACUAAAAUUAAUCCUUCUGCUGCGAUUUUGGCUGAAACUUUUUUGUCCCUCAAUCAUUGCAAAAAGACUGGAAAAGGUUCUAUGAGAUGUUGUGUGCCAUUAUUGUUCAUUUGGAUGGUAAGUCAUAUAGAAUCCGAGACACCAAUAUUCCGGAAUUUUUGGUGGUUUGAUCAAAGGCCACUAGAGUUAUUGGUAUCAAGUGAAUGGAAAAUAUUUUCUGAAGAUGACUGGGGGUAAAAUUACAAGGAAUUCCACGAAGCAAGUUUAAUUGGAGAGCUCCUUGGAUGAGAAAUGUAACGUACUUAAUGAGUUGUGGAAGAAGCCUUGGGUACCUUUGAUUGGAGUGACUGGAUAUAUUAGCUAUGCGCCUGCUUUAGUUGCAAGACAGUUUGGGGGCAUACAAAGCAUCCCAAGAACGGUUGGUUUAUCUCAAUUUACUGGAGUGUACAAAGGAGCUACCAUGGAGAUGUUGGAGAGCAUUAAACAGGAUUGGAAGUCUUUGGUACUUGUGAAAAAGGAGACUGGAUUAAGGAAUCCUACAGUUAGUGAAAAGUAUUCUGAAUGGCGUAAUGGAGGAGUCUCUUAUAUGGCAGAAGUUUCUGAGUCUGUGGGCAUUCGAAGAAAAAGAGUAAACUGUGAAGAAGAAUUAAGAAAACAAGUAAAAGCGUUACAAGCUGAGCUUAAAGCAAAUGAGGAACAUAGAGUGUCUUUAGAGCGGCAGCUAGCCAAAGAAAAGGGUUUAAGGAAAAUAGCUGAAGAAGAAAGGGACUCUGGUGGUCAAGACUUGAUAAAGGCAAAGACUGACUUGGAAACACAAAAGACAAUUAAUCAGGACAUGACAUAUUACAUGGAAAAAGCUAAGCAUUGGGAAGAGUCAGCCAUCAAGACACAAGCAUAUUGAAAAUGCGUCGGGCAGACAUUGUUAAGUUUAAAGACCAAUUAGGAAGAGCUGAGGCUUUAACUAAAAUGCACGAAGAGCAGAAAGCAGAGUUGAACAGUCAUAAGGCUGAAGCAGAAGCGUUGAGAUCUAAGUUGGACAAAGAAAAAUUAAAGACCGUACAACUUAUGGGAAACCAAAAAAUGAUAAAGCAACAUAAUCAAACAUUGGAUGAUGCCAAUAACUUUUUGUCUAGAAACAACUUGAUUCAUACUGAGAGGAUAAGGGAACUACAAGAUCAGAUUAAUCGAGCAGCUGCAGAAGCCCAUUUAUUACGAGUGGAAGCUCGUCAGGUGGGAGGAGAUAUAAUGAAAUAUCGAAGAAGCAUGGAUAACACCGAUCUUUUUUUGAAAGCAAUAGCUACUAGAGGCAGUGUUUUUUCUCCUGUAAUAGAUUAGAUUAAUUUUUACUGUAAGUUUCUGAAUAAGUAAUAAGAGGGCUGAGACCCACAUUUUUCAAUGCAAAGAUAUGUGUAUAUAGCUGAAAGCCCAAAUGUCAAAAAGCUAAGCAGAUUUCUUCUCGGCAUCGCAACAAUGAUAUCAAGUUCAAGUUCAACCCAUAUAUCCAAAGAAUGACGGCCAUAUGUCACCAACAAAAAGCGAAUCUAUAUCCAAUAUGUGGCAUUCACAUUCAUGCAUCACAUACAUUUGCUUAUAGAUUGUCAUAUUCUGCAUAUAACAGGUGAAAUAUAGGUCCCCAACCUAAACGUAUUCAUAAUACUCGUUCACGAAAGAAAAUGGAAAAUGAAGAGAGAAAUCAGCUAGAAAUUCAACACCAAAGAGAGCUGGUUCAACACCAAAGAGAGAUGGAAAGCCUGAAAGAGGAUGUAGCAAGGCUUACCAGCUUGCUUGAACAAGCUUUGAGGCCUAGAGUUGGAGAAGGGACAUCUUCUCAACAAACAUUUACACCUCAACCUCCGCCUCCUGUUGUUCCGCUAUUUGAGCCUCAACAUGCUGCUCAUUUCGCACCUACUCAAUCAGCACAUCCAAUGAGGGUCCCCCACACUGUGUUGAUAGAAGAAGAACCUCAAAGGAACAAGAUCGUAGAGGAAAAUGGUCAGGAAAAACUAGCUGCUUUAGAAGAAAGAAUGAAGGCAAUAGAGGGGAAUAGUUUGUAUGAUCCGGUAAAGGCUGCUGAAAUGUGUUUAGUGCCUAAUGUGGUUAUUCCCAGAAAAUUCAGAGUUCCAGAAUUUGUUAAAUAUACUGGAACUCAAUGCCCAAUCACCCAUCUUAAAGCAUACUGUAAUAAGAUGGCUGAAGUAGUCCAUGAUGAGAAGUUAUUGAUCCAUUUCUUUCAGGAUAGUUUAAGUGAUGCUGCUCUUGCUUGGUAUAUGCGUUUGGAUAAUACCAAAUUAAAGGAUGGAAGGAUUUAGCUGAAGCUUUUAUUAGACAGUAUAAGUUCAACAUGGACAUUGCCCCAGAUAGAUCAAGUCUGCAAGCCAUGGAAAAAGGCAAUAAGGAGUCUGUAAGAGAAUAUGCCCAAAGGUGGCGGGAAUCAGCCGCGCAAGUAAAUCCUCCAUUGUCGGAAAGGGAGAUGACUGGUUUAUUUUCCAACACUUUCAAAGCCCCGUACUUUGAAUACUUGGUAGGUAGUGCUGCACAAAAUUUCUCUGAUUUGGUUGUUAUAGCUGAAAGGAUCGAACAAGCUGUUCGGACGGGCAGGAUCGUGGAUCCUACUGAAAAAAGAGGUUUUAUUGGAAAAAGAAAAGAAGCGGAAGUUCACAAUGUUGAAAGGGAAAGUAGAGGGAAGAACACUUACCAAGAUAAUUACAGCUCCAAAAGUAUUACACCUACCCCCUCUAUAUCCAAUAUAAAAUUCUCUUCACCUACAAACACCCAAAAUAACCCAAUAAACAACCAAACCGAUAAUGCCUACCGUCCGAGAAGAAAUUUUCCAAUAGAUCAAGUGCAACUUCCACCAUUACCCAUGUCUCUUACUGAAAUGCACCAAAGAUUGCUUAGUAUUGGUCAGGUAGCACCUGUUCCCUUAGAACCUUUACAACCACCAUUUCCCUUUUGGUAUAAACCCGAUCAAAAAUGUGAAUACCAUGCUGGUGCUGUUGGUCAUCAUAUUGAUGGAUGUGUUGCAUUCAAAAGAAAAAUCCUUCAGCUCAUCAAAGCUGGGUGGAUUUCUUUUGAUGAGUCUCCAAAUGUGAAUUUUAACCCUCUACCAAAUCACGCUUCUGGAGGUGGGGGAGUUAAUAACUUGGAGAUAGGAAAGGGAGGUACAACAACUUUAAGGGUGACUAUGGAUAGAUUGUAUGGGUUUGUUAAGGCAAACAGAUUAUCUAAAGACACCAGUCAAAAUACAAGCUGUAGGGAAUGCGAAUGAAUAUUGUAAAUAUCAUCAGCAGUUUGGGCAUGAUAUUGACUCGUGCGAGGAGUUUCAUUUGGAGGUAGAAAAUAUGAUGGCGUUGGGAAUGUUAAGAUUGAUGAAACCCAAAGAAGAUGAGUUAGUAGGAACAAUGACUGGUUGUAACAAAAAAGUGGAAGUUUGUAGAUACAUACCAACUGAAAGGGGUCCGCCAAAAAUGAUCCUAACAAAGCCUACGAACAUUGUUAGCGGAAGCUAUAAUGCCCAACCCUAUAAUUAUGGUUAUUCCUUUCACAGCACAAAGCCUGCCCCUGUUUUCCAUGCGGAAGUAGGAGGACUCACUCGGAGUGGGAGAUGUUUUACUCCUGAAGAGUUGGAAAACCAUAGAAAAGCCAAAGGAAAGGAUACGACAGAAUUGACAAAGACAGAUGAGGUUAAUAAACCAGUAAGUGAUGAAGAGGCUAAUGAAUUUCUAAAAUUGAUGAAGCACAGCGAAUAUAGUGUGGUUGAUCAGCUAAAGAAAACACCCGCUAGGAUUUCUUUGUUGUCAUUAAUAUUGAGUUCAGAAUUGCAUAGGAACGCCCUUCAGAAGGUUCUUAAUGAAGCAUAUGUUCCUCAGGAUAUCACACAAGAUUCCAUAGGACAUUUGGUGGGUCGGAUUCAAGCCACCAAUUACCUUUAUUUUACCGAUGAUGAGCUGAUCAUGAAGGAACCGGUCAUAAUAAACCAUUGCAUAUCACGGUAAAAUGCAAGGAUUGUGUGAUUGCUAAGGUGCUUAUAGAUAAUGGUUCUUCUCUUAAUGUAUUGCCAAGACAUGUACUUGAUAAAAUGCCAGUUGAUGCUUCUCACAUGAAGCCAAGUACCAUGACUGCUAGGGCAUAUGAUGGGUCAUCUAGACCAAUCACUGGGAGCAUUGAUGUUGAACUAAUCAUUGGCCCACAACCAUUCCAAGUCACAUUACAAGUAAUGGACAUUCAUCCAUCAUAUAGCAUUUUACUGGGGAGACCUUGGAUCCAUGCAGCCCGAGCUGUCGCAUCUUCUUUACAUCAACGGGUCAAGUUUAUCAUCAAUGGGAAUUUGGUGACUGUGAGAGCUGAGGAAACUUUGUCAAUGAUAAAAAAUGUCUCGAUCCCUUACAUAGAAACUGAAGAAAGUAAGGAUGAAAAUCUGCAUGCAUAGAAAAUCUGAAGAAAGUAAGGAUGAAAAUCUGCAUGCAUUCGAAGUUGUAAAUGCUGAAUGGGUACCAGAAAAUACGGUACGAAGAAAGCCAGAAAUUUCCGAAGCAGCAAAAAUGGCUGCUAAAUACUUCUUAAAGCAUGGACUGCCAUUUCAAUAUGACCAUACUACCGGAAUGCCUGAGAGGAUUAAUGUGAUAAAAAUGAAGUGCGCGGAUCAAAGGUUUGGCUUAGGGUUUAAGCCUGGGAAAGCAGAUUUCAAAAGAGCAGCUGAAAUUAGAAGAGAAAAGAGAAUAGCCCGGAUUGAGAGAAGAGAACCAGAUGAAGACCGAAUAGAGAUCCCACCAAUCCAUGUAACAUUUCCAAGAUCCGCAUAUGUGAUAAAAACAGAGGAUUAUGAGGGGGACUAAGAAAAGAAUUCAAUGGUGCUACUAUUAAUUAUCUUGAAUACGUCGGUGAACAAGAUUUAAAGGAAGAGGAUAAUGCUCAUGAACAGUUGCCCCAGCUGACUAUUGGUGUUUUGGAAGACGACUCUAGAAUUCGUGAGGAAACUGGCCGAGGGAGAAGAUUUAGCAAAUUGGGAAAUUCAAGAAGUCCCAAUUGUUUUCAAAAAGUAAUGUUUUGAUUGCUUAUUCGUUGUUUUUCAUUAUUUGUAUUGUUUGAAUAAUUGUGCCUUGCCAAAUCAUCAUGGCUCAAGAGAUUGGCAAUAAGGUUUUGUGGUUGAGCCCUUCUAUCCUUUAAGUUUCAAUGAGAUCAUGCAUAUUUUCUUUCAAUCGUGUUUUUUUUUUUCUCUGUUCAUUUAUUUACUUUCCCAGAACUAUACACUCAUAACCAAAACACUUUCCGCUUUCAGGAAAUCUGAAAGCGGAUCGUCGUACACCCCACAAACUCAUUGCACUGUGGAUAAUUGGCUUAACUUUGAUGAAACUAUAAUUGCCAUGGAUGAGGAAGAAUUUGGUGAGGAGGAUAUUCAUGAAUUCGCAAAGUUAGCGGAACAAUCUGAUCGCACAUGGAAGCCUGCAAAAGAAGAACUAGAACUGAUAAAUGUGGGCACAGUACAUAAUAAAAGAGAGUUGAAAAUAGGGAAGCUAAUCUCUGUUGACGUUAGAAGUGAAUUGAUUGCUCUUUUACAAGAAUACAUUGAUGUUUUUGCCUGGUCAUACGCUGAUAUGCCUGGUCUGGAUACUGAUAUUGUGGUACAUAAACUACCUUUGAUAGAAGGUUGUAAGCCGGUUAUGCAAAAGUUGAGGAGGACAAGGCCGGAUAUACUAAUCAAAGUGAAAGAAGAGAUAACAAAACAGUGGGAUGCUGGAUUCUUGGAAGUAGUUGAUUAUUCUCAAUGGGUGUCCAAUAUUGUAGUAGUACCCAAGAAAGACAACAAAAUCAGGGUAUGUGUGGAUUUCCGAGAUUUGAAUAAGGCAAGCCCGAAGGAUAAUUUUCCUUUACCCCACAUAGAUGUAUUAGUAGAUAAUGCUGCUAAGAGUUCUACUUACUCUUUUAUGGAUGGUUUCUCUGGGUAUAAUCAGAUUAAAAUGGCCGAGCAAGACAAAAAAAACAACAUUUGUUACCCGUGGGAACAUAUUGCUAUAAAGUUAUGCCAUUUGGACUGAAAAAUGCUGGGGCAACUUAUCAAAGAGCAAUGGUGACACUAUUUCAUGAUAUGAUGCAUAAAGAAAUUGAGGUCUAUGUGGAUGAUAUGAUUGCUAAGUCUAAGGAUGAGGAAAACCAUAUCCCAGCUCUGAAGAAAUUAUUUGAAAGGCUGAGAAAAUAUCAAUUAAAGCUGAACCCUGCAAAAUGCACAUUUGGGGUGAAGUCUGGGAAGUUAUUGGGAUUUGUGGUGAGCAAUAAUGGCAUAGAAGUAGAUCCUGAUAAAGUGAAGGCCAUACAAGCUAUGUCAGCUCCUAAAACUGAGAAAGAGGUUCGAGGCUUUUUGGGACGUUUAAAUUAUAUUGCUCGAUUUAUUUCACAACUUACAGUCACUUGUGAACCAAUCUUUCGAUUACUUCGAAAGAGAAACCCCGGAGUAUGGGAUGAGGACUGUCAAGAAGCCUUUGAUAAGAUUAAACAAUAUUUGCAGAAACCACCUCUAUUGGUGCCACCGGUGCCGGGAAAGCCUCUCAUUUUGUAUUUAACAGUGACUGAAUCAGCAAUGGGCUGUGUGCUUGGCCAACAUGAUGAGUCUGGGAGAAAGGAGCAAGCCAUCUACUACCUGAGUAAGAAAUUCACUGAGUGUGAAUCUCGUUACAGCAUGAUUGAGAAGUUGUGUUGUGGUUUGGUUUGGAGUGCGAAAAGGCUCCGACAGUAUAUGCUAUACUAUACCACUUGGUUAAUUUCAAAGGUAGAUCCUAUCAAAUAUAUCUUUGAAAAACCAUACAUGUCAAAUAGGCUCGCCAGAUGGCAAGUGUUGUUGGCUGAAUAUGAUAUCAUUUACAAAACAAGAAAAUCCGUGAAAGGAAGUGCAAUCGCAGAUCAUUUAGCUGAUAAUGCUAUUGAAGACUAUGAGCCAUUAAAUUUUGACUUCCCUGAUGAAGAUGUGCUUGUAAUAGAAGGUGAUUGGUGGACCAUGUACUUUGAUGGUGCGGUGAAUAUAUCUGGUAAUGGAGCUGGUGCUGUAAUAAUUUCUCCAGAAGGAAAACAAUAUCCCAUAUCCAUUAAGUUGCAGUUCAAUUGCACAAACAACACAGCUGAAUAUGAGGCUUGUAUUCAUGGAUUGGAAGCUGCAUUGGAGUUGAAGAUAAGGAAAUUAGAGGUAUAUGGAGACUCUAUGUUGAUAAUCUGCCAGACAAAGGGGGAGUGGCAGACGAAAGAUGAGAAAUUGAAACCAUAUCAAGAAUAUCUCUCCAAAUUGGCUGAAGACUUUGAAGAGAUAGAGUUCAAUCAUUUAGGAAGGGAUAAGAAUCAGUUUGCAGAUGCUUUAGCAACCUUAGCCUCCAUGGCCACAAUUGAUUGCGGUAUCAGAGUACAUCCUAUAGGCAUUGAUAUCAGAAGUUCUCCUGCUCAUUGUUGUUUAGUAGAAGAAGAAGUGGAUGGAAGUCCUUGGUAUGCAGAUAUAAAAAGAUUCAUCCAAUAUCGGGAAUAUCCUUUUGAAGCUUCAAAAACAGAUAAGAAGACUCUGAGAAGAAUGGCAAUGGAAUACUUUAUAGAUGGAGAAAUCUUAUACAAAAGGUCAUUUGAUGGGACUCUACUAAGAUGUUUAGACAGAUCAGAAGCCAAUAAAGCCUUGUAUGAAGUGCAUGGAGGAAUUUGCACCACCCAUGCAAAUGGACACAUGAUGGCGAGACAAAUGCAAAGAGCUGGGUAUUUUUGGUUGACCAUGGAGAAGGAUUGUAUAGAAUUUGUCCGAAAAUGUCAUAAAUGUCAGGUGUAUAGCGACAAAAAUCAAUGCACCACCAGUGCCCUUAUUCAAUAUGGUGUCACCUUGGCCAUUCGCGAUGUGGGGAAUAGAUGUGAUUGGGCCUAUUAAUCCAAAAGCCAGCAAUGGGCAUCGGUUUAUCUUGGUCGCAAUUGAUUACUUUACAAAGUGGGUAGAGGCCUGCUCAUAUGCUAAUGUGACUCAGAAGGUGGUCAAGCGAUUCAUUGAGAGAGACUUAAUUUGUAGGUAUGGUCUGCCAGAAAGGAUAGUAACCGAUAACGCCAAGAACUUCAAUGGGAAGAUGAUUGUGGAAUUAUGCACUAAAUGGAAAAUCAAGCAUUCCAAUUCAUCACCUUACAGACCAAAGAUGAAUGGUGCUGUUGAAGCUGCUAACAAGAACAUAAAGAAGAUUGUCCAGAAAAUGGUGGUUACUUACAAAGAUUGGCAGGAAUGGCUUCCUUAUGCUCUACAUGCAUAUCGACAGCAGUAAGGACGUCAACUGGGGCUACACCUUAUUCACUAGUUUACGGAAUGGAGGCAGUGAUGCCCUUGGAAGUAGAGAUUCCUUCUCUAAGGGUCCUAAUGGAGUCUGAGCUAGAAGAGGCUAAAUGGGUUGAGAUACGAUAAGAACAGUUAAAUAUGAUCAGUGAGAAGAGAUUAGCGGCGAUUUGUCACCACCAACUGUAUCAAAACAGGAUAGCAAGAGCAUAUGACAGAAAAGUUCGAUCAAGAGAGUUUAAAGAAGGAGAUCUUGUAUUGAGAAAAAUCUUAUUACUACCUAGUGAGAACCACAGCAAAUGGGCACCCAAUUAUGAAGGUCCUUAUGUAGUAAAGAAGGCAUUUUUUAGAGGAGCAUUGAUACUAACAGGAAUGGAUGGAGAAGAUUUGAGUAGGCCAGUGAAUUCUGAUUCUGUAAAGAAAUAUUAUCCAUGAUUGCUGAGUCAUUGAUGACUGUAUAAGUUCUCAUCAAAUCAAUAAAAAGUUUGGCCAAGAAAUUCACUUUGCAUAUCUUUUCUCUCUCUCAUAAAUGUUAUUGAUUUCAAAGAAUCAAUAAAUACACCCUUGAAGCCUCGCAUGAUCUCAUAGAUUCAAUUCAUUACUUUUACCAAAAUCAGUUUCACUAUUGGAAUUUUGAAAAAAUUGAUCUGGCAUUUUGAUUUCGAAAAUGGUUUGAUGUUUAUUCAAAAACCGAUAUUUUUGACAUUCUACUUGUAGAAUGACAAGUGAAUCAAACAACUCCUUCAUAGAGGUGACCAAACUAAAAAAAAGGAAAAGAAAAAAUACCCUUACCCCAUGACUCUUGAAUAAUGUGUUUUUAAAUGUAUGAAUAAUGGUAUGUAGUGAACUGGUUGCUCAUAACUCAUGAAAGGCAUCUUUGCAAAGAAUAAACCAUCACAUUAUACGAGGUCAAAGUUUAUUGAUCAUAGCCGCUUGCGCUUGAAAUGAGGAAAGGCCAUCUUUGUUAUUCCUUUCACAUUCUAAAAUAAGUACAUCCCUUGCAAACCCUUUUUGAGCCUGAAUAAUUUCAUAAGAAAAAUCCCGACUAAGAUCACACCCUACACUGGGGGCAAGUGAAAUUUCAAUGAUCAAGAAAGAGGAUAAAGCCGUGAGAAAGCCAAAAGGCAAAAGAGCCCAAGAAACUCCAAUACUAGGGGGCAUGCCCAAAUCACAAGAAAAAGUGAUAACCAAGAUAAAAUGAGUAUGCUCUAGCGAAGCAAGGGGCAAGUGAAAUUUCGACGAUCAAGAAGGAGGAUAAAGCCGUGAGAAAGCCAAAAGGCAAAAGAGCCCAAGAAACUCCAAUACUAGGGGCAUGCCCAAAUCACAAGAAAAAGUGAUAACCAAGAUAAAAUGAGUAUGCUCUAGCGAAGCAAUGAAAAAGAAGAAAAAGGGGGCAAAUCAAAGAAGAGCGGCAAAGGAAAAUAUGAAUGAAGUCAAAAGUCAAACUAUUGAUCGUGAUCUUCAGUCUUUGAAACCCUGAAACACUCUUUGAGCCUUAUGAAUCCUUUUCUUUCAUAGCCAAAAACCGAAGCCUACGUUACGUACCUGGAGAAGUCCUUUCUAAUCAAGCAAGCAAGCAAUCUAGAACAAUAAACAAUGCUCUCAAAAUGCAAAGAAUACUUUUUCAUAAGAUUCAUGACAUCACGAAUAAACUACUCAUUAUUAUUCAUGCUGAUAAAAAUAAAUGUUCAAAAAGAGACAAGUUUUUCUCUUACCAAACCUCGAGCUUUUUCUCGAGUCCUUCACUUCGAAACAAAAGGGUCAUCUCAUGAUAUAUUUUCACCGAAGACCUCGGUACCAAACACAAGAGCAAAUAAUCUCUUUUCCCAGAAAGGAAAUAACCAAGGAGUUGCAAGAUUUCAAAAGCAAAUCGUUAUUUGACUCACAUCGAAAUAAUUUUUGUUUUCAAAAUGCAAGAUCAAGAUUUCAAGAUUCAUUCUAGACCCAUAUUCCUCCACCAAACUGAAAAGAAGAGAAAUGAGAGAAUGGCCUCUUAAAACCUUUAUUUAUCUAAGUCGCUGAUAGAAGCACACUUAGGGGCAAUAACCAAUACAAGGGGGCAACAUUGUGUUUAGAAGGAAAGAUUCUAGAAAAAGAGAUGGUAAUUUCCUUCAACCAUACAAGGGGGCAUUUUGGUUUACAAAAGACAGCUCGAUCCUUUCAGUAAGUGAUACCGAAUGUUUUUAGCAGUAAGACGAGGGGUAAUGAAUAAUCCUCUCAAAUUAUUUGAUGAAACGGGCAAGCAAAUGGGUCACGAUGGGCACCGUAAAAGCUGAGUUAUGUAAACAAAUCUGGAAAUAAACUUACAUGGGCCAACUCGAGUGGGCUAGAAAGCCAAACGACAAAGAUGACUCAAAUCAGAUAGCAAGAUCUCACCAACCAAGCAACAAGAAGACUAAGAAGAAAUGGGGGGCCUAUAUUUCAAAUCAGGUAAAGAUGCAUGCAUAUCAUUUAAACUUUGAGACAUUGGACAAUGAGUUUUGCAAAUUUUAUUAGAGAAAAUUCUAAUGGAAUCCAUCGAGCAGAAAGCCAACUUGAAAUAGUGAACAUUGAAAUUGCUUUUGAAAAAUUUUCACUUUUGAGAAUUUUUCAACCUGGGCAGGCCGCCCAUGAGAAUUAGGCCACUUGAAAAAUCUCUCUAUUCUUCCACCACCUUUCAGUUUCCACUCCUGAGGUAGUGCAUUUCCUACACUACCUCCAUUCGAGCGCGCCUUCGAGCCCUCGUCUUAUUUAUUUUCGAGCGCGCCUUCGAGCCCUCGCCCAUUAAAGGUAGUGCAUUUUCUAUCCUACCUCCAUUCGAGCGCGCCUUCGAGCCCUCGACCACCUAAGGUAGUGCAUUUUCUAUCCUACCUCCAUUCGAGUGCGCCUUUCGAGCCCGCGUCUUACAUUCGAGCGCGCCUUCGAGCCCUCGUCUUAUUUAUUUUCGAGCGCGCCUUCGAGCCCUCGACCAUCAAAGGUAAUGCAUUUCCUAUUCUACCUCCUCUUGAGUGUGCUCUCGAGCCCUCAUUUCCUUUGAGCUUCCACCUAUUGAAUAGUGUGCCUUCGAGCCCUAUCAUGUCUUCAAAAAAAAAAAAAAAAAAAUUCCUCGUAUUUUUCCUACUGGGCAGGUAACCCAUUACAAUAUACCAACUGGGCAGGUAACCCAUUACAAUGUGACCAACUGGGCAGGUAACCCAUUACAAUGUGACCACCCGGGCAGGUAACCCAUUACAAUGUGACCACCCGGGUCGGUAACCCAUUACAAUGUGACCACCCGGGUCGGUAACCCAUUACAAUAUACCAAUUGGGCAGGUAACCCAUUACAAUGUGACCACCUGGGUCGGUAACCCAUUACAAUAUACCAACUGGGCAGGUAACCCAUUACAAUGUGACCACCUGGGCUGGUAACCCAUUACAAUAUACCAACUGGGCAGGUAACCCAUUACAAUGUGACCAACUGGGCAGGUAACCCAUUACAAUGUGACCACCUGGGCAGGUAACCCAUUACAAUGUGACCACCUGGGCAGGUAACCCAUUACAAUGUGACCACCUGGGUCGGUAACCCAUUACAAUAUACCAUCAUAUACUGGGCAGGUAACCCAUUACAAUGUGACCACUUGGGUCGGUAACCCAUUACAAUAUACCAUCUUAUACUGGGCAGGUAACCCAUUACAAUGUGACCAUCUGGGUCGGUAACCCAUUACAAUAUACCAUCAUAUACUGGGCAGGUAACCCAUUACAAUGUGACCACGGCUUUUAAUUGUUCUUACAAUUAAGCGAUCUAUGUGUUUAUGUUUAACCCUAGAUUAAUCUGAAAAAAAAAAAUCAGAAAACAACUACUGUUCUGAUUAAAAAAAAAAUCGCUACUGUUCAAAAAAAAAAAUCAGGAAUAACUACUGUUCCGAUCAAAAACAAAAAAACUACAACUCUCGUUACUGUUCCGUUACUGUUCAACGUUACUGUAUCCCGUUAUUGUUCCCCGUUACUGUUCAUCUUCAAUUUUCAGCAGCGGCGCCCCGCCAUCACCGGCGCCUCAGACCACAGUUCCACAGAACGAUCGGCCACCACCUGCACAUCAGUUCCACAGAACGAUCGGCCAUUCUACAUCAACGCCGAUCGUAGCCAACGAUCACAUCCACCGAUCACCAGUCCACACCGAUUCACUGCCUUCAACAACCCACAGCGUCGCGGCCAUAGCAGUUCUUUGUCUUCGGUCCCAAACCAUCAGCCGCGACCACCACUGACUCGCGCCCCAGCAGCAGCCACAACGCCACCGUCAACAGUGUUAUCACCUUCAGCAGCGACAACAGAUCAAGGACGUCGUCCAACAGCGACACCACCGACACCACCGCCUCCUCCCUCGCACCGCUAGAGCCAAGCAGAAUCACGAAGCUCCAUCAGAAUCAGCAAGCUUCGUGCACCAUCGCCGACAGUAGUGGCCACAGGUGACAGAAGCCAGGAAAACACGAAGAUAGAAGCUGGGAAAAUAAUCAACCUAGACACAUCAGCGACACGUCAGCGCAUCAGUUGACUGCCACGUCAGUAGUGACUUCCACGUCAGCAGCUCUACCCAUAUCAUCUGCCUCAUCAGCAUACCCUACCAUGUCAGCUGCCACGUAAUCCUUCACUGCCACAUCAUACGGUCAGAAUUCUUACCCAUUGAAAAUCAUCAUUCUGGUAUGUUUUUACACUUGUUAAUCAGUAUUUAGCAUUAAUAUUAUCCUUUGUGCUUGCCCAUAACUAGAUUACAUAGCCCACUUUUAAAUUGAAUUACUUUAAUUUUGAGUAAUUAAAGAUUGGAUCCUCUUAGUUAAUUGUGGAGCUUGGUUAAAUUAGUGGGAAAACUGAAACAUUGUGUUUGAAUUACUUGUGUGCAUUUAGAGGACUUACAUUACUUGCAUGCGCAUUUUCCAGGUUUAAUCUAUCAUUACUUAGUUUCCAAGAUAAAAAAAAAAAAAUUCUUUAUUUAUUUUUUCUUUAUUUAUUUUAUUAUUAUUAGCUAUAAUUUUAUUUUGCGUUUUACUUGCAAGUGUUAUUUUGUGAUCUCAGUCUCAGGAUUAGUUUUUGCAUGCAUUUACGUAGUGGUCGUCUAGUACACAAUCUAGAAGUCAUAUCUACCAUGGACCCGAACUCUAGUAAUGUUCUUAGAGAUAUUCAAGAACAAUUACAACUUAUGCGAACAGAAAUGGGCAACAUGUCCAAUCAAAUGAACAAUCUUUCUGGGAGGAUGGAGUCUAUAGAAACUUUGCAAAUAAGACAGUCUAGUGGGAGUGAACAUUCAAAUGACAACCAUAGAAAUCCUCAAAGACCAGUUCCUCGUAGGAACCGCCACCAUAACCAACACCAGGGUAACAAUGACUUUGAUGACCCUAAUGAUAGUGAGCAUUCCAAUGACUACCGUCAAAGACCAGUUCAUCCUAGGAACCGUCAGUACAACCGCAAUCAGGGCCAUCACGAAUAUGAUGACCCUGACGAGCGAGUCAUGAGGCAUAUUAAGGUAGAAGCCCCAACUUUUGAGGGUCAACUUGACCCGUGGAUUUUUGAUAGAUGGAUCCGUGACAUGGAUCAAUUCUUUGGCUGGUAUAAUCUAUCUGAGAAUAGAAGGGUAAGAUUUGCAAAGAUGAAACUUAGUGGAACCGCUCAGCUUUAUUGGGAAAGUGUAGAAGAGUCUUUGAUUAGGAGAGGUCAACCCCCCAUUACUGAUUGGGUUGAAAUGAAGACUAAGUUAGAAGAAAAGUACUUGCCUCGUUCUUAUAGAGGAAAUCUUUUGGACCAGUGGAAUAACCUUAGACAAGGAGGCAAGUCUGCCAAUGAAUAUGUGGCACAAUUUGAUGAGUAUAGGAUGAGGUGUGCAGUUAGGGAGGAUGAGUGAUGACCUUAAGUAGAUUUCGAAAAGGCUUAAACGAUGACCUUAGACGAGAGGUUGUGCUUAGGGGUGUUUCCACCCUUGAUGAAGCUUAUACCCUAGUACAAAAUUAUGACUUGGUCACAAAAAGCCAGUGGACAAGACGCCAGGACACUCGUAGUACCCCUUUUAGAUCUCAACCUGGUAGUAAUAAUUCCAUAUUAGGUGCCCCACCCCGUAAACCAAAUCCUUUGAUUUCCCCGAUACCUAGGGAAGACAAAGGUAAGGGUAUUUUUCAUGAAGCACCUAGAACUUCAAGAAUUCAGUGUUUUAAGUGUCAGGGUUUUGGUCAUAUUUCCUCUAGCUGCCCUAAUAAAGCUUUGUUCAUCAAGGGGCAAGAGGAUAUAGAUGAAGAUGAUAAUUGUGAUGAUAAGGUAUAUGAACCCAAUCCCGAUGAUUUUCAAGAUUUAAAUGAUGAGGAUGAUGAGUCUAACUUGCUAGGAUGUGUUAGGUCUAUAUCCACUCAAAUCAAGACAACUAGGUUAGGUGUGGUUAGAUGUGCUUUAACACAACCUAAAGGAACUGAGGAUUGGAGAAGGACUGCUAUAUUUUACACUUACAUUAAAUGUGGAGAUAAAGGGUGUAAGAUCAUUAUUGACAGUGGUAGUUGUAUUAAUGCAGUUUCAUCGGGUAGUGUAUCCCGCUUAGGCUUAAAGUCUGUUCCACACCCCAAGCCCUAUAGCGUGUCUUGGGUUAAUGAUACAUCUAUAGCAGUCAAAGAGAGAUGUCGUUUUCCCAUUAAGAUUUUUGACUAUCAUGAUGAAAUUUGGUGUGAUGUCAUUCCCAUGGAUGUAGGGCAUGUGAUUUUGGGUAGGCCUUGGUUAUAUGAUUUGGACGUUACAAUCUUUGGACGAUCAAAUUCUUGUUCAUUCACUUUUCAAGGUAACAAAAUCCAACUUAUUGGAUUACCUCCAAAGCCUAAUGAUAAUAGUCAAAAGAAGAAUAAAGUGAAAAAAGGAGGACUUAACAUAAUAAGUCCUAAGGAGUUUGAUAAGGAGAUUUGUGAGGAGUCUAUUGUGUUUGCUGUAGUGGCUAUGGAAAUAUACGUCCUUGAUUCUGUCGCACCCGACAUCGCGGCGGCCUUAAAAAUUAAUUCUUGAAUUAUGGAAAAAGAACUGAUUUCAGGCAUCGUGUUCUUUUAAGGGAAAAGGUCUUUGUUUAAGGAGUCGCCACUUAGUAUUAUGGUCACUAGGAACCCUAACUGGUCAACAGAGAUUCUAUGAUCCGAGACUGGUUACGUAAAAGGAAAGAUAUUAUCACCCCUUAAACGUCCUACCUAAGGUAGGCUGCAUUGCUGGUCUUUGUUAUUAAUUGCUAACAUCUUUAUUGGUUUAUACUAUGAUUUCUUGUGUACAAUAUUCCUGACUCUGGCGCCAGUGAAUAUUCAACUACGUAUAUUUCCAACUCUAGCGUUGGUAAAUAUUACGUAGGUAUCAAAAUAAAUAAAUUCAUAUCAUCAUUUUAUUAUAUUCCUGACUCUGGCGUCAGUGAAUAAACAAGUAGAAAUCAAUUUAUUUUUUAUCAAAUUAUUUUUUUAUGCAUGCGAAACAAAAUAAAAUAAAUUUAUCCUAGUAUUUUUUUAUUCCCGACUCUGGCGUCGGUGAAUAUACUAAAUAAAUUUAUCCUAUUUUAUCUUAUGUGAAUAAACAAAUAAAAAUCAAUUCAUUUCUUUAUCAAAUUAUUUUUUUAUGCAUGCAAAACAAAAUAAAAUAAAAUAAAUUUACCCUAGUAUUUUUUUAUUCCCGACUCUGGCGUCGGUGAAUAUACUAAAUAAAUUUAUCCUAUUUUAUUUUAUGUGUUUUUUUUUUGUCAAUGAAUAAAAAAAAUUCAUUUAUGUAUAUAUUUUUUACAUACACAAUUUUUAUUAUAUAUUUUUAAUAUUUUAUAUUUUUUACCUUUUUUUUAUUUUUGGGCUGGGCUGGGCUAAAUCCACCCCAGCAAGUAUAUAUAUUGGUGGCUGGGCUCAGCUCAGCCCCACAAGGGCUGGGCUGAACCCAGCCAACCCGGCUACACAAGAUGCACGCGUGAAACAGAUCACGCGUGCAUCAACAGUGCGAAGGUAAUUAAAUUACCUUCGCACUGUUCAAACAAUUAUUUGAACACGAAGAGCAGAGAAAAAAUGAAAAAGGAAGCGAACCUGUUUUUGGAGAUUGAAGAAGAUUGCAACGCUGGUCUGGCUGCUUUGAGUCGACUGCUUUCUGUUUCUGGCGAUGCUGAGGCAGGUUAAGGCGACGGUGUGGCUCGACUGCUCUAUGUCAAUGAUCUACGGUUCGGUGAUCAAUUGGGUUUCUGUAGGGGUGAAAACAGUUCGGAUGAAAACUGAUUUCUAGAAGGGAUGAAAUCUGGCUGGUGAUACUGUUCUUCUCUGUCUCUUUUUUUUUGUGUUUUGUUUGCUCUGUUUUUUUUUUUGUUAAUUGCUCUGUUUUUUGGUCUUUUUUUUUGCUCGGUUUCCUGUUCUUAUCUCUGUUUUUCUGGGGAAAAUUCUGGGUUUUUUUUUCUCCUUUUGGCGUUGUCAAUUGUUGGGUAUUUAUAGGGAUCAAUUUUCCUCCCCCUCAGCCUCACGUCUCUCCUCUUGAUAAGCACGACUGAGGGAGACGGUUCCUGCUAGGACUCGAAUUCAAAGUGCAAUCUUUAUCUCGUCGGGUUGUAAUUAUCAUGAAGAUAAUUAUUGCUUUUCUGUAUUUUGAAUGGGUUAGGAUACUGGUGUUUCACGCUUUUGUUUCCUUCUUUGCAGGCGGACGUUCGGUGAGACGAAGAUGACGAACAGCACCUGAUUGAAACAGUGUUGUUUUGGGCUGAGAAUGGUCAUUUCCAAUCUAGUCCUUGAAGUUUCUAAAUCCUUGCAUUCGAACCCCUGGUCUUUUAAUUUUCAAGAUUUACCUUUCUUAAAAUUAAUUUAACAAUAAGUGGGUCAAAAUUUGGUUACAACAACAUGUAUUGGCUUUUUAUAGGUAUUUUUUUCAAUUUCAAUUAAUAAAGAAAUAUAUUAGAGUGGAAAUAUAAACGAAAGGAACUACGUUAGCUGCAUGCUAAAUACCUAUUUGGCACUGUAUUAACUUAUGUUUUUCAGAGCACCUUUUGUUUUAAAAAGCAUUAAAUUAAUGUUUUUUAAAAUAUUAUUUUAUGGUUUUGAUGUAUUCAUAUAAAAAUUAAAACUAGAAACAUUCUAAAACAAUAAAAAAUUAAACUCAUCAAACUCUAUUAAGGAAUCUCAUGGUAAUGAUUAGGCUAUGGUCAUAAAAAAUACUCCCAAUAAACACCACAAUCAUUCGAGUUUAGGUGAUAUUUAUUUUUACAGUUCAUUUAUUCUUUUAAAUUUUUUAAAAAAAUUUAUUUCAAUUUAUUUUUUUAGAUUAUUUUGAUAUAUUAAUGUUAAAAUUAAAUUUAAAAACAAUAAAAAAAAAUUAUUUUAAUAUAUUUCAAAGAAAAAAAACAUUUUAAAAAGAAAUCUUAAUAAAAUUGAUAUUAAUGAGAAGAAAUAACAAAAGCUUUUAUUUUUUUCUUAGUCUUUGUACACCUCAUUUAAUUUGUUUAUAAAGGAAUAACAUCUAGUCUACAAAGGUAAGUUGUCAAACAAAUAUCUAAAGUCUAGGAUCUAGGAUCUAAUUUCUGUAAUUACAAUUUCUGAUUUCUAACAUGCUCCAAAGUUCGUAGUUUGUGAAUGAGAUUAUGAAACAAUGAGUUGCCAAGUGGCUUAGGCCCCAUUUGUUUGCUGGAAAGUAGUUUUUUUUUUUAAAGUGAAUUCCAGAGAAAGUGAAUUCUGAGAAAGUAUUUUUCGAUGUUUGGUAGUGUAAUGGAAAAUAAGUUGGAAAACAUUUUCCAGUGUUUGGUUAUGUCAUGGAAAAUUAGAUGGAAAAUAACUUAUUAAUAUUUUAUUUUUCUCCAGUUUAUUAAAAUAAUGAGGAACAAAUCUUACAAAUUAAAAAGUUGAAUGAGAAUGAAAUUGAAAAAAAAAUAUAAUUUCAUAAAUUAUCUCAAAUAAAAUAAAUAAUAAUCAAAAUAAUAGAGAUCAAAUCUAAAAAAUUAAAAAAAUGAAAGAUGAAGAAAUUAAAAUAAUAAUAAUCAACAUUUCAUAAAUUAUUUCAAAUAAAAUAAGUAACAAUCAAAAGAAUGAGGACCAAAUUUGAUAGAUAAAAAAUUUCAAUAAAAAAAUGAUAAGGAAAAAGCAAAUAGCAAUUAUAAAAAUAAGGAUCAAAGUUAAUAUAAAAAUAAAAUUUUAAGAGAUGAAAUUGAAAAAUAAAUAUUCAAUAUAUAUAUAUAUAUAUAUAUAUAUAUAUAGCAAUCAAAAGUUUGAGGAUCAAAUUUGAUAUAAUAAGCAAAUAAUGACAUUUCUAAAUUUUUCACAACUUCCGGAAAGUGUUUCCCCCCAAAUUUUUCAGGAAAACACUUUCCUGAAAACCAAGCUAAAUUUUCCUUUUACUGGAAAGUGUUUUCCAUUUACCAACUUUCCUAAUGGCAAACAAACACAAGAAAGUUUGGAAAGUGAUUUCCCAGAAACCACUUUCCAGAAAACAAACACAGCUAAAGGGAAAACACUUUCCUGAAAACCAAGCCAAAUUUUUCUUUGACUGAAAUUGACGGGAAAGUGUUUUUUGUUGAUCGGAAAGUGUUUUUCGUUGACUAGAAAGUAUUUUCUGUUGACUGGAAAGUGUUUUCCGUUAACCAACUUUCCUAAUGACAAACAAACACAAGAAAGUUUGGAAAAUAGUUUUCCGAAAACUACUUUCCGGAAAACAAACAUGGCCUUAAUGAAUAUGUCUAUUAUCUGUUGAGCUAAAGAAACAUGAGUUGUCUUGAUUAAGCUUGAUUGUAUUCUCUCAUGCACUGUUUCUUGCAUUCAUGGAACACGAGGUUGGCUGUAUUAUGUAGGGCUGCUUGAUUAUCGUAAUAUAAGAAGGCUGAUAAUAAAUGUGUUACUCACAAGUCUUGCAAAAGGUAUUUGAGCCAUACUAAUUCACAAGUAAAGAGGUCAUGAAUCUGUAUUCUAAUUCUGUUGAGGAAUGUGACACGAUUGACCUGGCAAGACCUGAUCAAAAACCAAGUUACAACCCAUUGAUUUUUGUUUUUUUUUUUUUUUUUUACUAAAUCGACAUUGUUUUGAUUUAAAAAUAAAAAGAAUUGACCCUAACAACCAAGUCAAAAUCAGGAACCCAAGUUCUGAACUGAACCGAGUCUAAAAUCUAUGAAAUGAAGGGUGAAUAUAUUAGGAAUUGUUGAACUCCAUAACCUUCAUUGACUUCUUAUCUGGUGAAGUUUGUCAUGAUGGUUAAAAAUAUUGGCAAAAGCAAAAGUGAGCAAUAUCAAGCACUAAGAUGGUGCUCUGUACCAUAAUAAAAUUGAUAUAUGAGAAAAGAAACAAUAAAAGCUUCUAUUUAUUUUCUUGUUUUUGUACAACUCAUUUAGGUGCUGUUUGGUAUUAUAGUUACGGAUAAGGUUCACCCUCGACCACAAAUAUUGUUGUUUGGUAUUGCUAAAAACAUAUUUUUUUAUUGGUAGGGCCCACCAUAAAUUGUGGUUGUGCCACAAGUUUACAUAAAUCACAAGAAGCAGCUCUUUGCUGCUUCUUGUGUGGAGAAAUCACAGUGUAGUCAUGCCCAACUGUUCACGUGAACAGUGGAGACAUUCUCCACUGUUCAUUGAAUCGAACUAGGUCCAGUCCAAAGCUAAAAAUGCAUUGAACCGGGUCCAACCCAGCAAAAUAAUUUUUUUUUUAUUAUUUUUAAUUAUAUUUUAUUUGAAAAACUAGUGUUAAACAUUAUUCAAUGACACUAUAUAAAUUAGACGGAAAUCGCUUGAUGGCGUAACAUUUGCAGAAUUUAAUCGCAAUCCCAAUUUUGUUCUUGAUUAUAUUUUACCUGAUGUUGUUGUGCUUUUAAAAAAUUUGUGAAAACUGUAGUCCUUGUCGGAUGUAUUUCAUACGUGAUGAAAUUAUAGAUAGUUUAAUGGAACAAUAAAAAAUAUUUUAUAUAAAAUAUUAUUUAUUUUUUGAUGUAAUAGCAAUAGUUAAAUCUACAAUAUUUAAAUUAAAAAUCAUCAAUAUAUAUAUAUAUAUUAAAAUUAUUUUAUAACCUCAAUUUUAAAAGCAUUCUUAACCAACCACAUUAAACUACUUUUUGUUCAACCUCAAUUUCAACUACAGUUUUAACCAAACAUAUAUUUUUCCAAACCAACCUCAACUAAAAUUACUUUUUAUAAAAUAAUUUUUUUUUUCAAAUCACAACCACAACAGUUACCGCAACACCAAAUACCUACUAUGUUUAUAAAGAGAUAUUAUUUAGUUUAAAAAGGUAAAUUGUCAAAUAAAUAUCCGAAGUUUAGUAUCUAAUUCAUAGUUUUGAAACCUGAUCUAAUUCGGCAGGUCGAUCCAGGGCUAGAACCUGUCCUGGUUAAAGAAAAAACAAGAGAAGGAAAAACCCGAUGUAACCCAGCUAACCUAGCGAGUUGACCUGGCAAGACCCAGUAAAAAAUCCGGUUGCAACCUGUUGACUUUUGUUUUCUACUUAAACGAUGCUAUUUUGAUUUUUUUAAAACAGAAUUGACUUGGACAACCCGAGCAAAACUCAGAACCCGGGUCUUAGCCGAACCGGAUCUAAAAACUAUGAUCUAAUUACAAUAAUUACAAUCUCAUUUAUUUGUUGAGAUUUUAUCCACAAAUCAAGCUUUGAUUGAUAUUGACUCUAAUUUCCAACAAAUCUUUAUCAAAAAAAUAAAAAACUAGCUCAGUUUUAGACCAAAAAGAUUGCUUGGCUACGAGGAUUCUUGAAAUGUUUAUCCUUGAUGGAAUCAGAAACGUGUAACCAUCUGUCCAGUACAGGUAAAUUUUAUUUGAGAUAUCAACUUCCAGUCCUGGUAUUGGCAGAAUCGGGUCUCCUCAAUUAAUUUCUUGACCAAGUGUUUAUUUACAUCAAUUUCAUAUACAAAUUUGUAAGGAAAACUUCAGUAUCUCUGAACGGGGAAAUAUCUAUCUGUCAAUUUAUAAUUCAUUUAUUCAAUUGACACAGCUAAUCCUCGUGGGGUCGUGGGUCCUGGCAAUUUUAUUCUACAGUUAAUAUGUUUUGAAUAAUUCUAUAAAAUAAUAUAAAACAUAUGUACAAAAAAAAAAUUAUAUAAACUUUAAAAUAUGUAUAAAUUAAUAUCAAUUACUUAAUAUAAAUAAUUAUUAGAUAGAUGAUCAUGCUUCACCGCAUGCUAUAUUAUUUUUUUUUAAUGUAAUAAAAAGAUGCUCAAAUAAUGAUAGCGUUUUUAAAUAAGCAAGAAAAUUUAGGACUGAGUCAUUGAUUCGAAUGGAUUUAAUAACUUAAUUAAUUUAAUAAUAUGAUUAAAAAAACCAAUGACACAUUAAAAAAACCUAGAAAGAAAACAUUAAUGACUAUUAAAAAAAAAUAAAGUGUAUCAGUAUCAUGAAAAUCCACCCUCUAUAUAUGCUUAAAAUAUCUUAACAAUUUUAUUUGAUAAUAAAAAAAAAUAAAAGGGAGUGAGAUAAUCUCGUAGGAAAUAAAAUUAAAAAUAUUCAAACUCAAUUACCUAUAAAGCAAAAGUUUAAGGAUGAAUUGAAAAUUAAAAAAAAAAAUAAAAAAAAACUAACUUGAGUCUGCAUGUCAAAUUUGCAUCUCAGUCACGAGACUGAAAUAACCCCGUAUAAAAGAAAUUGAAUAAAGCAAAAAAGGUCACUCUCAAGCAAACUAAAUGAUGAAAGAUAAACAUUUUAAAAAAAAAUCAAUUUUCAAGGUCUAACUUGACUAACUUAUGACAUGGAAUAUAAAAUUGGAACAACCACACAAAAACAAAACUAGAAAAAAAAUCAUGAGCUCAAUGUCUAAUAACCUAAUGUUAAUAAUAAAAUUAAAAAUAAAUAAAAAAAGUUAAGUUGGGUUAAUAUUUGAAAUUUGUGAUCAAGAAUCAUGAGACCGAUAUUACUAUACAAAAAACAAACACGAAAAAAAAUCAUGAAACAAAACUCCUAAUCAUCCAAUUUUGUUUUUAAAAAAUAGUAAUCAAAAUAAUAAGAACCAAAUCUGGUAUAAAAAAUUAAAAAAAAAUGAUGAGAGACUAAAUUAAAAAAUAAAGUAAAGUAAUAAAGGAUAAAAAAAAAUAUAAAAACUGAGAACCAAAUUUGAUACACAAAUUAAAUGAAAUAUAAUGUUGAGGGAAGAAAUUGAAAAAAUAAAUUAGAAAAUGAUAAAAAUAAAUAAAUAAAAUAAAAAUAAAAAGAAUUAGAAUUAGAAUUAAAUAAAAAAUUAAAUGAAAUAAAUGGCGAGGAAUGAAAUUGAAAAAACAAUUAACUUAAAAAUAUUAAAAAUAAAAUAAAUAGCAAUCAAAAGAAUAAAAACCAAAAUUAAUAUCCAUAUAACCUGAGAUGAUAAAAAAAUUUAUUUAUUUUUUAAAAUAAUAGAUAAAAAAAGAUGAAAUAACAAAAUAAAAAACAAUAAAAAAUAAAGAUUAAAUUGAAUAUAAAAAUAAAAUAAAAAAACAUAACAAGAAAUAAAAUAAAAAAACAACUUAAAAAUAUUAAACACAAAAUAAAUAAUAAACAUAUAUUAAUAUCAAAAUUGAUAUAAAAACAAGAAAAGAAAUGUUUACUGAAACCAACUGCUCUUAUACUGUUCACAAGCUUCUGACCACCAUGCAAAGGGUAAUAGUGGAAUGCUUUCAACAUUUUCGAUAUUGGUUUUGUUUAUUUUUAUAUUUUUUAAAAAAUAUUUUUUUUAAUUUAAAUUAAUAUAUUUUUAAUGUUUUUAAAUUAUUUUAAUGUUCUGAUAUUAAAAAUAAUUUUUUAAAAAAUAAAAAAUAUUUUUUUAAUAUAUUUCUAAAUAAAUAAACACUUUAAAACAUAAUAACAACCGCAAUCCUUAGCAUAUCUUUCAUCAUAAUCUAAAAAACAUGGUCCUUCUCAUCAAUUCAUAUUAAGAGAGUUUUAUUUUAAAAAAUUUUUAUUUAAAAAAAUUAUUAAAAUAAUAUAAUUUUUUAUUUUUUAAAAAUUAUUUUUAAUAUUAAUAUAUUACACUAAAAAAAAAUAUUAAUUUAAAAUAAAAUAAAUAUUUUUUUUUUAAAUUAUAAAAAGAAAAGAAAAAAGAGAAGGCAUCAUUGCACAAACCCAAUCAUAAGGUUGUUGUUGCUUCGGGAGAUUAUUAUAUUCCUGUCUUGCCCUUGACUUCUUCAGGUCUUCCUUCCUUCCUUCUUCUGCAGUUCUUCAUCUCCCUCCUUCUCUUCUGUUCAACUGCAAUAAUCAAAUCCAUUUAAUUUAAAAAUAUUCGUAAUCAAUUUAAUUUCUUUUCUUCCUUUCCAAGUUCUGUUUUCCUGUAUAAUUUCCCCUAUUUCACUAACAGAGAUGGAUACAAAUUUAAACGACAAGGAGUCCAUGAUUGCUCGAAUCCAACAAUUGGAACAUGGUAAUAUCUUUCUUCUCUCUUACAUUUUUUUUCCUCUCUGUCCAAAAGGAUGCUCUUUUCUUGUUUAAAACUGCAGUGAUGUUGUUCUCUUACACUAUACUGCUUUCUCUUUAUAAUUCCCUGUUCAAUUAUUUAAACCCUAAUUCAAGAAUUCUUGUUUGUUCUUAGACAUGGAGACCACACUGAAUCUAAAAUACAGCACUUUAUUAGAUAGUUAAAGAAACUCAAUUCUGCAGAUAGCCUCCUUUUCCAUUGUGAUUGAAUGACUUUCCAUGAUAUGAUUGUAUUAUAUUUGUUUUGUAGAGCGUGGUGAAUUGCAUAAAGAUAUAGAACAAUUGUGUAUGCAGCAAGCUGGACCUGGUUAUCUUGCUGCCGCUACUCGAAUGCAUUUUCAAAGGUAUAGUUAUUUAUGUAUUUUUUUUCUGUUUAUAGGAUCAGGGUUUUAUCAUUUUAUGAUUCUGCGAGGUUGCUACUAGUGAAAAGGGACGUAAGGACUGUACUAUUAUUUAUUGCUCUAUUAGGACAGCUGGAUUGGAGCAGGAGAUUGGGAAUUUGAAAAAGCAGUUGGCUGCUUGCUCAAGAGAUAAUCUUAAUCUUCAAGAGGAGCUUUCUGAGGCUUACCGAAUCAAAGUGAGAUGAAUUUUGUAUUCAUUUUCCGUUAUGCCACUUUUAUUGAAGCCUUGUAUCAUAGUCUUAUGCGUUUGCUAUGUUGUCAUCAGACCCAAUUGGCCAAACUACACCAAGCAGAGGCUGCAAAGGUUGGUCUAUCACUCUCUCUGUGCCGGUUUAUCUGGGCAUGCCCUCUUAUGUGGUGUCAAUCAUUCUUUUCUUGAGAUUAUUUUCAUCAAACAUCUACCAGAGGGAAUUAAUGAAUCAAACACUACCAAAUGACAACAUUGACCAAGUAGGAGAGAAUAGACAAUACUUCAGCAUCAUUGAAAGCAACAUUUGAUCAAAUGAAAGACUCAUAAGCUUUGCAUUCAAGAUUCUUUUGUCUUUCAAUUGUCAUUUCUUGUGUUAGCUUUAUUGAGGAUCUACCAUGAUUGAUUACCAUAUUUUCUUUUGGAGGAGAUACUAACUUGAUGACAACAAAGUUAUGACAUAGGUUUCACCUACAAGCAAUUUGUGCUGGUGACAGGAUUAGCUGUUUUUCCAAGCUAUGAUGUUUGUGGAAUGCUUCUAUUCCCUUUAUUGUUUUCUUUUCCAAAAUAUUUCAUGUGUUUAGAUUGCAGUGGAUGGAAUUUUGCUUUCAUCAUUAGUCCUGACUUGUUUCAUUUCCUUUUUUCCAGAACAUGGAGGCAGAGAAACAGGUUAAGUUUUUCCAAGGCUGUGUAGCUGCUGCUUUUGCUGAGCGUGAUAAUUCGAUAAUGGAGGUUAUGAAAAAUCUUUUUGACAUUUGUUGAUUAUAUGUUUGUCUUUGUUUUCUUACCCAUAACCUUUCAUAAGUGUAUUCCUGAGUGUAUAUUCUUAAGGUUUUGAGUCUCCAUAAUGGUUGAUGGCAGGCUGAGAAGGCAAAGGAGAAGGAGGAGUCAAUGUCCCAGAAAUUUAAUGAAAUUCAGCAGAGGUACUUGUUAUGUUUAUGCUCUAUUUUUCUUGUGUUAAGAGGCGCAAAAUUAAAAGGUUAUUCUCUACUGACUGCUUAUUAUGUUGCAUUAUGUAAUCUGGAGAUUAUGGUGCAUAUCUUCUUAGUGUUUGAGUGUUACACUUCCUACUGAUCCGAACAUUGUCAUGUUCCACUUUCUCAUCAAAAGUUAAAUGUAAGAACGCUAUAAAUAGUUUAUGGUGAUGUCUUGUUCCUUCCAAAGUCUUCCCUAAUCGUUGAAAAAGAUUGUGGCAUUGCGUGGUCAUGAUUUCAUGACUAUCAUGACUUUUCAUUUGUGAAAGUUUUUGACAGAUAGUGUAUCUUUUAUCAUGUGUGACCUUUUCUUUUUUUCAAAGGGAUUUUAUGGUUUGUAGUUAUGUGAUGCAUCGUUAGGAUGCCGGUGGUUGAAUGAAUACCUUUUCAUGAUUAAAGAAUUUUUUGUGCAGGUUAGAAGUGCUUAAUUCAGAUUUUCUUGAACAGAAGAGACUAAAUGAUACACUGCAGAGUGAUUUAUCAAAGCAAGAUGAGCAGAUUGAGACUUUCAGGAAGGUAAUUGUUUCAUGUUCUUGGGUAAUAGCAAGAGUGUACUUGAAACCUUUACACUUCUGGCAUAUAGACUACCGGAAAUAGUGCCAAGAACUACUUGAAACAUGGAAAUUGUUUGUGCGGUGAACUUCAGAUUUCGUUGUACUUUCGAAGUUUAGGAUGCAUCUUCUAGUCCCUAUUGACCUUUCAUUUACAGGUUGUCAACAAGUUUUAUGAGAUCAGGCAGCAUUCUCUUGAGGGAUUUGAGGAUACUAGUUGGGACAAUAAAUUUGCAUGUCUGUUACAUGACUCAGAAGAGUUGUGGAGUUAUAAUGAUUCCUCGACUUCUAAAUACAUUGUAAGUUCUCAAGACCUCAUUUUUUGCUUGUUCCUUGAGUAUCCAUCAUACACAUUAGUGUUAUUACAUGAUGUACCUAUGUUUAGGAUUGCUGUCCCGCUAUUUUAGAAGCCACAAAUACUUGUUAUUCAGAGCAUGUUACCAGAUCCAUAAGCAAGUAUGCUAGGUGAAAGAAAUUGACAGUCUAAUUAAUUUCCUAGAUCCACACAGAGCAGAAAUUAAAUCAGCUUUUACAAGAAUUUGAAUAGUCACUAGAGUUUCUUCAUAGUUUCUGCAUGCAACUUGAAUAACUUCUCAUCAGACAGAGUGCAUUAGAAGAAGAGGUGGAGACACUGAGGAACUCUCUGGAUAAGCUUCAAAGCAAAAUACGAGUGGUAUGAAAUUAUCUGGUUAAUGUCUGUUUUAUUUAAUUGUACUAUUAUGUUGUGUGUUUGCUUAAUAUGGAUUUUGUUGUGGCUUAUAGGGUUUGGAAAUUGAAAAUCACUUAAAGAAGAAAGUUCUUGAACUUGAAAAGAAGCAAGUGGGUAGACUAAUGUCUUGAUGUUUGAGCUUCUAAAUUUGAUCAUCGAAUCCCUUUGCUAAUAACUGAACUUGUUGAUGUUUUAUGCAGGUUCUUUGGGACAAAAUGGUUAUGGAGGGGAUAGCAGAAUUACGCCAUUACCAUUCUCACCAUAGAGUUCAGAUCACGAGUUUACUUAGCAAGGAAAGAUCGCAUAUCAAAUCAAUUAUUGAUAUGGCAGAAGAAAAGAUCAAGGAAUUUGAUGUGAUCAGCGAACUGGAUUUGGUGCCUUGUGGAGUGGUAAGACUGCAAGAAAAUGAAUUUCGAGAUGUGCAUAUGAGUACUGAUGCUGAUCCGGACUUGGCACCCAAGGUAGGUUAGCUACUAUCAUUGUACUUCAUCUUCUCUCUCUUUAUCUGCAGUGCAUAUAGAAAUAGUUUGCUUCACCAUCACAAGUAAAUUCUUAAGGCUCAUGAAGAAUCACUUCCUGUGUAAUUGCCAUAGUAAAUGGUUCCUUUAUGGUGCCUCAGCCCUCCUGCCAGGGCCCUCAAUAAGCCACUAGCUAGGUAGUGGUGGGAUAAUAAGCUGGGAGGAAGAGUCAUCAAAUGCUUCCUGACUAAGAUAAAUAGUUCUUGAUAAACAUAUUAGUCUGCUAACUUUUUUUAAAAAUAGUUAUAGGCAUAAUCCUGCUCAUGGAAUGCUGCAAUUGCAGUAUUUUGGUGCAGCAAAAUUCCAAUUCCACUCCAUUAGAAGCUCGCUUAUAAGUAUAAAACAGCGGCACUGGGAGAAGUUAGCUAAUAGAAACUGAGAAGCACUCUGCUAAAGCUGACCUUGUCUCCAAUGAUCUUUUGCAAUUUGAUGCGAGACCCAACUCCAGAAUUUGCAAUUAAUAAUCUGAGAAGAAAAAUGGGUCAAUAGAGUGAUUAAACUUCCUUGAGAUCAGCUUUUAUUAUCUAUUUUUCAGUCAGGCAUCCACCUCUCAAGAAUGUUUUCAUACCUCAGUCCUUUGAUAUCCUGUACUUUCUACCAACUUUUUGAACUGAGAGUUUUGUUCAUAGACAAGAGAUUACUAGUGCUCUAAUCUUUUUUUUGAACUACUGGAUGGUUUUUUAGUAUGCACUUAAUACAACAUAGGAUUGCACUGAACCUCUCCUAGUUUUUUCACUUAACACAGAACAAAGAUUCAGUAAAAGAUUGCACUGAACCUCCAUCAAUCUGAGCAUGAAGAGAAAAUACAUAGGUGUUUGUGUCAAAGAUUCAAUGUAUGGUAUUUCAAUAGUUCAAGUUGAUGAUAGUAUCCCUGUAGAAUUGUUUGUCCUGGUCACCAAACCUCACUCAGCUAACCCUACCUAUUUUUACCAACAAGCCCUUCACUCUGCCUCCUGUUUUGGUUUGAUUUGAUAAUUCUUCUUGUCUCUGUACUUGUGAUGAGAUUUAAAACAUUAAGGAAAAUACUGAAACAGAAUCAGAAGGUCAAAAAUAAUUUUUGUCCUACUGUUUCUCAUAUGAGCAAUUUCUAGUUCUUGUUUAUUGAUUUAUACAUUUUUACAUUCAUCACCUGCUGUAGAGAAUUGACCAAGGCGCACUAGAUACUGUGGCUCAUAAAGAAGGCAACACAUCUGAAGCCCUUGCACAGGCCAUGCAAGAAAAGGUUCUGUGAUAUAUUUCAUGCCCUAUGAUUUACUUUCUAUAUCUCUGUUUUCUGUAAAUAUUUGGUCGGUUGGAUGUUCAAGUUAUGCAGCUGAUUUGAAAUAAUUAUUCUUCUUUCUGCUCAAUUUUGUUUUCCUCGUCAGGUUGCAGCAUUAUUGCUUUUAUCUCAGCAGGAAGAAAGACAUUUACUGGAGAGAAAUGUCAAUGCAGCUCUUCAAAAAAAGAUUGGGGAACUUCAAAGAAACUUACUACAAGUAAUUCCUGUAGAUUUUUUUUAACUUGCACGUCUUGAAUGUUUGCCUCUUGUUUACUUGAAUAAUACACAUAACUCGGCAAAAGUUUUGCAAAUUUACGUAUGGACUUUGAGAAUUAUGCUUCACUAUAGUAAUUAUCUUAUCAUAUAUGGAGGAGACAUUAUAAAAAUGUUGGUAGGCAGGAUGAAAGACCUCUCUCCUUGGUAUGUGUAACAUGGAGCUCUUUCCUCACUGAAUCUGGAUAUCUUCUAAUAUGAAGUUUUGAUAAAGAAUUUAUCAAAUUUAAAUUUUUAUAUCCUUCCUGAACCUCAUAAUGAGUGCACAGAUGUUGUGAUGAUUUAGGUCACCAAUGAAAAGGUUAAAGCUCUUAUGGAGUUGGCGCAGUUAAAGCUUGAAUAUCAACAACUACAAAAGUAUGAUCUCUUCUUUUCCCUAAAGCAUAGCAUGCAAUUAUGCUUUGUUAAAUCAUUGUUUUUCUAUACUUUUGUUUUCUGCUGGCAAUUCUUUUAUUGGAACUUGAAUGCUGCCAAUGACUUUGAUAAGGACCUUUCCCCUAAGCUAUGGAGCUUUGAUGCAUUAUUCUUUGUUAUAUUAUUAUUUUAGAGGUGUUUGCUAUUAUUAAUUUCUCCUGUCACUUUUCUAGUUGUCUGUCUUGUUUUUGCUCUGAUGUGGCUUUCUCUUGAUAUGUCAUUAAAGUAACUGGUAACUCUUGUUAAAAAAAAAGUACUAAAGUAUGCAUGAAUUCCUUUUCCCUUGCAACAUAUGCAUGCUUUGAUCUGAUGACUAAAACUACCUGCAUGAGUGUAACUCGUGCAGAAAAGUUGACAGUGAAAUAAAACGAGAUUUUUCAGCUGACACUGGGGAGAUAAGACUUUCUAAUAUAGAAAGAGAUGGAAAGGUAAGAAACCUGUUGAAGAGGACAUAUCUAAAACGUUGGAUGGGCACAAUGGAUUUUCGUGGAAAUGAAGCUCAAACUUGCCUGAGUAGUGAAGGGAAUUUCUCUGGGAAAAGAGCAAAUGACAUGGAUUUUGCCAGGUUAGUAAAAACUAAUUGGAUUCCAUAACAGAAGACUAGAUUGGUGAAGCCUGCAUGUCAGAUCAUACCCUCUGAUGCCCCCAACUCUUCUACAAACUAACUGUUAAUGAAAUGGAUGUUUAUGGUUGCAUGUUCUCAGAAUGAAGAUUGAAAAUGCCACUCUCAAGGAAAGCAUGGAAUGUAUGGACCACCUAAUUUCUUCAAUUCACAGACUUCACCUUGCACUUCUAAAGGUAAAUGUUUCUUCAUCACAUGUACAGCAUGGAUGUGCUUCUUUUUUGGCUCAGGAAUGGAUCAGCUCCGUAGGAUGCUACAGUAAUAUAAAUACUGUUAGGAAUUAUGAUACAGUUGAAAUUUUGCUUUUUCUUUUCUUUUUUCCCUUCUCUUUAGGUCAUGCAAUAUCAUAAUAAUAUUAAUAUGAUGCUGAUUUCGUUACCUGCUCCGUAAAGGUUCUUGUCAUGAUGUUUGGUUAGAUAAUCUGUCCAUAUUUUGAAGCUAAUAGGUUUUCUGUUGCUGAUGCUGCAUAAUCUAUAGGUCAAAGAGUCAGAUACUCGUGAAGGUACAAGUACUGGCUUGCUAGAAGCUCUUAAUGAUAUCAUUUCUGAGGCUCGACUUGUGAAGACUGCCCUUGGAAGCUCCUUACCUAUUAGUUGGUCUGCUGAGGCAGAUGAUGCAUCAAUUGGUGAAAGUGUCUGCGAUGAGCUAAUUGAUAUUUAUGGGAACCCCAUUAGUGAGAAGAUAGAUUCUGUUUCUGCUGCAGGUUUUGAGAUGGUGGAGCUUCUGAUACUUGCAGCUCAGAUACUAAAGGACAAUAAAACCAUAAAGGGUUGCUGAGAUUGGAGUUUGUUUAAUUCUGGUCUGUGUGGGCUUUGUUCUGUGAUGAAAAGCAUAAAGUAAUUAAUAGGAGUUUAGGGCAUACUAAAGGGGCUUUUCGGCAAAGAGAAGUGAAGAUUUGUGCAGUGUGAAGGAAGAUGGCGACCUUUUGGAACAAUUUAAUCAGUGCAGAAUGAAAGCCAAUGCUUAUCUUGUCAUUGUAGAGCCUUUUAUUGUAUUUAUGGUGUUUUUAAAGGAAAGGAGAAGGAGGGAAUAGAGUUCAAUUCCUUUGUAUAUACAUGGUUAAACAUAGGCCAGUUGCAUAAAGUACAGUAAUAUGAACUGGGUUAUUAGAUUAUUUCAAUGACAAAGUUUAUGAGCUUUUGUGUAUGUUUCCUUUCAGUACUGCCUGUUGUAUUUUAAUUGUCGAAGUUUAUGUUGAGCGAUUGAGGGAUGAUGCAUUUUCUGUUGGCUUUAAACUCACUGGGAAAAUUUGUGGUCUGUGCAUGCCACCUGGCAGAAACUGCUUAUGCCAUGAAGAAGUUAUGAAGCUUUUUUAUAUCAUUACGUGUAGAAUUCCUUGUUUAUCUUGAAUGUUUCUGCUUUAAAAUGUUUUACCCUAGGGUGGGACGGCAUCUUUCUUUUUCUGAACAACGCAGUUUCUUUCUUGGUCGAUGCAACUUUUUUCCUGCUGAAUUGUUCACAACUAAUAUAGAACACGGUGAUAAUCAUUCAGGACACCGAAAUCUUUACGUAUUUUGAGGAAACAGAGGAUACAAACUGUGCCACGUAGUAUCUCAGGUUACUCAAUCUUGACAGAAAUUUCAACUGACACGUCACACUCAGAGUUCCCACAAAAUUACAGCAUUGGGACACUAACACAUCCAAUCUUGCAAGCGAAAACCAAUCCUUGACAUGUAGAAGAGAAGAAAAUCCAUGGAGACCCUGCGAUGCCAUUUAUGGUAGGAAGGACUAGAAAGCGCUAAGGAGGGGGACAAGUAGUCUUUAGUUGAUUAUGAUUCAGCGGCAAUUUCCACGGCGGUGAUAUUCACAGUGACUGGAUUUUUCUCGCGUUCGUUCUCAAGCUGGCUGUAGUUCCCUUUCUCCUUGAAAAGUUGGAUAUGGUGAUGCUUGCAGUAGAGUUUUCCCUCAUGUGCAAUGUAGUUGGAUGGGCUAACAGUACAACCUCCAUGGGUACACUUGAAACAUCUCCGAUGGUAUGGAGUCCCGUUUACUGUAACCUGGAAGAAGAUCAAAGACCACUCUUCAGAAAUGUUGGUCAUCUUUGAAGAGGAUGAUCCUCUGUUUCUAUGAGUAAAGUCUUCGUUUCUUACCUUCUCGAUAGGAUAGACAGUCUUGUUGCACCCAACACAUUUUUCUCUGGUGCCAGCAAACAAAUUCGAGACUUUGCUUGCGUUCUGUGAGAUAUAUCAAGUUCAGUUUAAUUACUUAGUGGAUAGAAAUUGAAUAAAAUAAAUAGCAAGAAACAACAUACUAUCAUUUCCCAAUCAAUUACUUAAUAGAUCACCUCAUUAUCAACAGGUUUUUCUGGUUUCGCAAUUUUUGGUGUUCCUGUCAGAAAUUAAUUAUAGAAAGUGAGAGGGUAAAUUGAAUUUAAGUUAAAAGAAUUUAACUGGCUAGUGAUAAUAAUAGUAAGAUUUGAAGUGUGUAAAUUUUGAUGAUGGCUUAACUGUGCUUUUACCUUCGAAACUCUUGUCUAGACUGCCAGUUCUCUUGAAGAGUUGGUCAUAGUGAGGUCUGCAGUACAGAACCCCUUCGAAAGAACUGUAGUUGCUUAGCUGCUAGCACAAAACAGUUUGCCGAUGAGUGCUCAUCAAGAAAUUCAAUGAGUAGUUAAUUGGCUUUGAGGACAGCAAUUUGACUUUCCUUUCCAUGAACAGAAAACGGAAAGCAAUUUCAAAAGAACCAAGAAAAUGAAAGAUGAUUCUCAGAACCCCCGGAUCUUAGAUUAGCCUGAUAAUAUGUUCUAUGCUGCUGGCCAUGUGUAUAUAUAAAGAAGAAUAUGGUGUGAUCUGAUCAGAAAGAAAAUUCAUGAUGGAAAGGGUUUUAGCAAAAAACAAUAUAUAUAAAAAAGGCAAUUCUGAGAAGAAAAAGGUUUUCCCGAGACAUUACAGUUCAAAGAAGAUGGAUAAAACAUGAACAAGGAUAUUACAGAACCGAUAUGCUGUUACCUUAAGGGUACCCCUGCAAUGGUGGCAUCUAAAGCAGGCCUUGUGAUAUAUCCUGUUAUCAGCCGUUAACUUAUCAACAAGAUACACUGUCUUGUCACAAGCCAUACAUUUUUGCUGGGUUCCUGCAAAGGCUGCCAUAUCCUUUUUCUCCCUCAGAGAUGAAUAGCAAGAUGAAGAGCAAGAAACCUUAAAACUUGCGCACCGAUUGUGAUAUUUCUCGUUUGUGUUGUGUCUUUAGCCUUUGCCCUACUGUCCUGUCUCUCUUCAAGCUCUUGGCUUAUAUUAUACCGAAGAUAGGGUUGCAGAUAAUCGCGGGUGACAUGAAAGCAGAUCUGUACAUGAUUGACAGGAAUGGCCUGGCGCCACCUAGCUAUCAUUUUGUCCGAUUUCUAAGUAAUUCAUAUCAGAUAGGAUGAUCCUUCUGUUGUAAUCAUUCUACCUUCUUUCUCUAUUUCUGGGAGGUACAAUUAUAAAACACAUGCGAUUCCGAGGAAGUUGACAAUCCAAGCUUUUGGCUCCCAAAUUUAUCUUUUUUCCUGUUUCUCAGAAAUGUUCUCGGUUCAGCUAAUAUUCGAGGAAAUAAAACAGAGAAGUUAUUAUUGAUAUAAAGUUGAUUUUCUAGGUAGAUCACAGGGGAACAUGAUGAGUAAAUCCUUUUUCACAAAGGUGGUAGGUCUAGAAUUAUAUUGAGUGCUAGAAUAUCAUCAUGAAGUUCCUGGCUGGAUGCCUUGCUAGACGUUUCUUUUUCGUUGUCAUGUUUUAUUCUUUGAUUACUUUUUCCAUGAGUUAUAAUCGGCCAGUGCAAGUGAUUCAUCAGAUGGAUAAUCUUUUUUAAAAAAAUUAGGUGAUUGGCAUCAAUCAAAGCCUUUCAAUGAUGCUCCAUGUAACUAGUGACCGAGUGAGAUCUUGGGUUAAUGCAAAUUUGUCUUCAACAACACUCAACAUUAUAAUUGAAAAUUGUGGUUUAUUAUAUCAGAUCAGAUCGUAAAUCUGUCAUCAUUGUAUCUCAAAUUUGCUGGCUAAAGCUAAAAAUCAUGUCGAUUUCAUAUUUUCACCUCAAAUUUAUUCAUGGCAAAACGACGAAGGGCGUUUUGCCUAGAAAUACCUUUUUCUAUUAAAUCAGAUGAAAAUCGCAAACCUCACGAAUAAAAAUGUAAAAUUAGGAUAAUUUCAUAUAAGAAAAUAAAAAAAAAAAGGUUUGAGUGAUAAAAUUAAAAUUAAAUAAAUAAUUUUUUUAAAAAAAUAAAAAUUAACUUGCAUUAAUCUUUAAAACUGGUUAUUCUAGUCAUAAACUUAAAACUAAUUUUAUAGAAAGAAAAUAGUAAAAAAAAAAAAACUAAAAAAAAUGAAAAGAAAAAGAAAACACCAGCUUAAAAAAAAAAAAACAAGCAAACCCUCCAAAUCUAAUAUAAUCUCUAAAAUUCGGAACCUAUAAAAUUUAACCUCAUAUCAUUUAUAAAAAAAAUAAUUUAUUAUAAUGAAAAAAUCAUCUUGUUCCACUACUUAAUUCAAAUGUUAUAUCAUUGCACUAUUAUAAGGAACAGUGUUUUGUCCAUUGGGGUGCAAUAACUUCCCUUCUUCCUUUAGGUUUUUUUAAUUAUUAGAUCAUUAGACGUGUUGUGCUAGUAAAUUAUUUUUUUACAUAAACAAAUAUAUAGGAAUUGUUAAUAUAUUUUUUAGCAAUAAAAAAAUAAACUAAUAAGGAUUGAUCUUAUGUGGCUUAAUCAACUUGAUAGAUCCAAAAAUAACUUGAAUAAUAAAUAAAAUUAUAAUUUGAUUCAAAAAAUUAUAAAAUUUAAUUCUCAAUCAAUUCAAUGUUGAAUGAUAAAAUUAAAAAAAAAAAAACACAUAAAAAACCACCCAAGUCAACCAACCAAACUCGUGACCCAGGUCAUGAGACUAUGAUAACUUAAUAGAACACAAAUAAAAAUAAAGUAUAAAGUCUAAUCUCCAAUCAAUUCAAUAUUGAAUGAUGAAUUUUUUAAAAAAAAAUCAAUUAGAAAAGAAAAAAAAAUCGAGUCAACCGGCUAAACCAGCGAUACGAGUCAUAAAACUAUGAUAACUCCAUAGAAAACAAAUCUAAAAACAAGAUUAUAAAGCUCAGUACCCAAUGUUGAACUAUUAAAUUGAAAAAAAAUCAUAAAAAAAAAAUAACUCGGGUUAACCGAAGUUAACCCACCAAACCUAUUUAGAAGACCAAGAGAACUCUAUAGAAAACAAAUUGGAAAAAAUUAUAAAGUUCAAAAUUUCCAAUUAACUUAACAUUAAAGGAUAUAAUUGAAAAAAUAAAAUUUAAUUAUAAAAGAUUAUAAAACCUUAUUCAACUUGGUUAACCCGCAAAACUCGUGAUCUAGAUCAUAAGACCGUGAUAACCCUAUAAAUAAUAAAUAAAAAAACAAUUAUAAAUUUCAAUUAUCAAUCAGUAAAGUUGAGAAAAUAUUUAGUUUAAAAAAUAAAAAAUAACUCAAAUUAACCUACAAAACUCAUAAUUUAAAUCAUAAUACAAAAAUAACUUCACAUACACGUAUCAAAAGAGUACUAAACAAUUUCCCCCUCGAAUUUCUGACAAGGCAGUAUUAUAAGACCAUUCAAGCGGUCCACAUCCCACUAUCACAUCUAGGGCCUAAAGGUAACAGGUAAGGUUCAAAUAAUUUAAAAGUACAUGAUUAAAGCCUGUAAAUUGGGCAUUUGGUCUAGUGGUAUGAUUCUCGCUUUGGGUGCGAGAGGUCCCGAGUUCGAUUCUCGGAAUGCCCCACCCUCAACAAAGGAGUUUUACCGACAAGAUUCUAAGAAAAUAUCUUAUUUUUUGAAAAAAGAAAAGCAGAUUGGCAGUAGAUGUUGAAAACAAGGUGGACAGGAUAGAAAGAUUCCCGCAUCAAGAAAUAUGAGAAAUCAGGUCCUCAAAGAGUGGAAAAUAUUAACAACUUGCACUCAAGCCACCAACGUGAGUUUAAAAUAUACAUGGCGACGAGAAGCUACCAAACCACUACAGUGCCAUACAUCAAAAACUUCAAAACAUUUGCAAGUAUUUUUGAGUCCCUGAGUUCAAUGCUUACAGUACUUUGGAAUAUUUAUGACAGCUAAUCUAAAAUGAAAAUACUUGCAAGUGCUCUUCGCAACAAAUCCCAAUGAAUCGAUGAGCAUAUAUAUAUAUGCAUAUGGUGCUGGGAUCAUAUCUGUGUGUAGCUUCUUUCAUCUCGUAAAAGAAGAGCUGUUUACUAGUGGCAUUAAUACAAACAACCACUGACCAAGACAACUACGUACGUACAUUAGAUAACAAAAACACUGCACCCAGAUGCAUGGUUCUCUUCGUUAUCAUUCAAGCUCAAAUUCUAUAUAUGACACCCCAAUCUAGGUGACGAUGGCAACCACCGGUACUACCAUUAAAACACAAACACACACAUUCCAACGUGCACAGAUUAUACUAUAUGCAAGUGCACUCACUUUUUAUUGCUGCAAAUAAAUAAUUCUGCCUUCUGCUAGGACAUGCCAUUUCCUUAUUUUUUUUUUCACACCUAACUAGCUAGUGAUCCCAUCCCCGUCCAUAUCUAAAGCAAUAAGGCAUGAAGGCUUCGCAUUCCUUGCUAGUAUUAACUAAAAAUCGUAAACUUAAAUCAUACAGACGACUCUAUAGUCAAGUAGUUUAAUGAAGCCUUCGUCUAAACUACUUGCUAGUUUAAUUAUAAUGUGAAUAGAAGCUUGAGCAUCGUCUGGGCAUUUGGUCUAGUGGUAUGAUUCUCGCUUUGGGUGCGAGAGGUCCCGAGUUCGAUUCUCGGAAUGCCCCUACUGUUUUUGGUUUUAAGAGCUCAGUAACAGCACGCUUAUCAUUUUUUACGCAGUUUGGUGUUGGUCCCGUGCUCUUUCCCAAAGUCAACUGCACUACAAUAGGAAAGUUCCAAGACCGUACAUAUAUAUAUAUAUUUUUUUUUGAAAAGAUUGUGGAAUAGAUAAGCAAAGAAGCAUCUGGUCAAGAGAUCAAGAUAAAAAGUCUAGAAACACACCUUUGGACAAGGCAAUCAAUGCAAGACCAUUAGCCUCUGAGCCUGCCAGAAUGGACAAAAACACAUUUGAAGCGGAAGUUCAAUUCCUCAAUAAAAAUGAUUGUGCUUUUUCCCUUAUAAUUCUGGCAGUAAGACUUACACCUGGACAAACUGAGAUCUAAAACUUCAAGCUUGCAAAUGCAUUAGUAGCAGAAAUUUCGCAUGAUGAGUAUCACCAACUAGGCAUUUGAUCUAGCCGUAUGAUUCUCCCUUUGGAUGCGAGAGGUCCCAAGUUAUUAUUUCUAACAAUCUGACAUUUUAAUUUGUUAUCCAUCUUAAAAUGUAGCAAGACAACAGCAUGAAAACAAUGAUAUAAUAUUUUGAUCUGCAGAUAGAUUAGUUUCCUGACAAGAUUCUAAUCCACUGAACUUUUAAAAAUAGAUUAGCUGUGGAUGUUAAUGACAAGGUGGUCAAGCCAGGAAUAUCCCUGCAUCAAACAUGACAAGUAUUCAGUAUAAUUACCACAUGUAGAUCUGAGUUCCAGUUCAUCUAAACGGUGGAAAUUACCUUUAAAAAGUGACAAUAAAGAUUAAAAAAAUGCAUUAAAUAAAAGACCAUGAGAGCAGAGACUUUUGAACCACUACCCAUAUUUCACUUUGAAGUAACAGAGUAAAUAAUUAUAAAAACACCUAGAGAAAAUAUCAGCAAAUGGGCAUUUGGUCUAGUGGUAUGAUUCUCGCUUAGGGUGCGAGAGGUCCCGAGUUCAAUUCUCGGAAUGCCCCAUGCUUUUUGCAAAUUUUACUAAUUAAUGCUUUAGUUCCUAUGAUAUAUUCCAGUUUGAAAUAUUUUAGCCAAGGAAACUAACCUAAAAUCAAUUCUCAUGGUAACUAUCAAAGGACAGGAAAAACAAAAAAAAACUGUAGUGGCACAAUCUCACCUCAUUUAUCAGGAAAAAGAAGCCCAUUUGGCAGGGUUAAGUAAGCACUAAACCCAACCAAAUGGCAGCACUAACACACAAUCAAAUGUAUAGACAUUGUAGUGAUGCAUAGCCAUUUCAUCCCUACCCCAUAUUUAAAACAUGUUGCAUUGCAUCUACAGCAAGCCAUCUAAUGAGAAACUUCAUUCACACAGAUUCAACUUCAUUCAAGGAAAAAAAAAAAAACAAGAAGACUCAUGACACUUGGCAUCCCUCUAAAAGAAUUUUGGUUGCUUGGCAUGAUUUUUCCUUAGUCUAAUUUAUUAACAGAUUAAUUAUGAAUUAAAGAAAAGAAAAUCAGAAAAUGGGCAUUUGGUCUAGUGGUAUGAUUCUCGCUUUGGGUGCGAGAGGUCCCGAGUUCAAUUUUCCGAAUGCCCCAGUUUCAUACUGCUUUUUGGUCUUAAGAACUCAUGUGAAACCUGAUUUGUUAUUGCCAGCAUAUUAUUUUUCAGGGGUAGUUUUCCAUUGUUAAUUUAAAUAAUUUGACUCCAUGAUCUUUCUCAAAGUCAACUGCUCUGCAAUAUGAAAAUUCCAAAACUCUCUCCAAGGAAUUGACUUUGUACAUAUAAGCAUUCGAUCAUUAGAUCAAGUAGUAAAAUCAAGAAAUAUACCUGUGGCCUCGUCAAUCAAUGCAGAACCACCAGUCUCAACCCUUCAAGAUGGUACGAAAAUGCAUAUCACCAAACAACCCAACAAGGUUUAGAAGGUAGAGUUAUGCCUGCAUCAUGCGUGAUGAGCUAAAGAUCAAUAUUUAAUGAUUAAUGUAAAUCUUAGGUUCCCAGGAAGUUAAAAGUCCAUAUAGUUUUUGGUUCCCAUGCAGGUUCAGAUAUUUUAGCAAAGAACCUAAAGUCAACUCUAGCAGGAGAACAUAAUAUUUUAAAGAAAAUCUAGAUGUAUAUUUUUUUUCUGGUAAGAUUCAUUACCAAUAAAAUGAUCAAUAAAUAAGUAGACUCUGCUGAAAUCAAGGUAUGCAAGCUAGGCUCACACCUAUCACUAGCUUCAGACAUUGGAGAGAACUCAUUUACCUGAACCUGCUAAAUGGUGUAAGCAUCAAUUUGAUGCAAUGCGUUCAGUAACUCAAUUGACAUGACAAAAUAAGAGAACAGAAACAUACCCAAAGCUACAAUUAAUGCAAGAGGACAUGCUAUACCACGGGAAAGAAUUUGAAAGUCAGCUUGUAUAUCUACACAUCAAAAGGUUCAGUCUGUUGGGCAAGAAAUCUCAGUGAUUGGCUUUCUGCCAAAUUUACAGUAAGCUCAGUUUUGCCAAAUAACUAAAACGUUAGGAUAUAUAGUUUAAUGUCAACGAUCUACAUGCUUUCCAUCAACACAUUGUAUAACAUGAGUUUUUCUGUUUUGACAACAUUCUACUCAAUGCAGUAGACCCUGUUAAUGUGCAGAAGGAAAAGAAAAUCAUAUGAGGAACCUUCAUUGAUAUAAAUCAUAGUUUAAGAAUCAAGGAAGUAUCUGAUUCGGUUAGUGAAUAAGAAAAUAUGUGGUUAGAUAAUCCAAAGUGAAUCGGGAAAAUUCUCAGGUUGGGUGCAAAGCAACCAAUCCCAGCAUAAAACGGCCCAUUUUCCUGUUUCAGGAAUUAAAGGGCCAUAUAGGUUUUGCUUUCAUGGAUCAUAGAUGGCAUUGAUAUAGUGGUAUGAUUCUUUUUUAGUUUUAACGUGAGUGUCCGGGCCAGCUUGCGCGCACUUCGACUAAUCUCACGGGCCUUGAAAUUAACGACUAUAUAAGCCUCCAGUGGCCAUCAUAUAAGCAACCCAGGAUUUGAACCUGAAACCACAGAGAGAGCAAAUCUCGUGGUCCCAAGCUCUUACCACUGGGCCACCACCUAGAUGGUUUAGUGGUAUGAUUCUUGCUUUGGGUGCAAGAGGUCCAGAGUUUAAUUCUCGGAAUGCCCCAUUGGAAUCAUGCUAUUCAUGACAGGAUGAAACCAGGAUUUUUUGGUUACCUCGAUAUCUACAGAAUAAUUAAAGGAACACAGAAUUAAAUCCCAACUCAGCCCACAAAGAAUAAAUAGAUAGAGUUGACUGCUGAGAUGGGCAUGCAAGAAGAAACCAGAGACAUUAUUGUACUGCACACUAUUCAUGUUCAGGUGCAAAAAUCAUUUUAGAAGAGAAGCUCCACUGCAGAUUUGAUUGGUAAAUGAUUCCAGAAAAAUAACAACAUUGACUAGUGUCUGAUUUACUACAGCACCAAAAUAUGGAAUGGAAUGGACUGCACGAGUGACAAAAAUGAACUCCUUGAAACAACACGAUAAAAUUUAGGCUUCGUAAAUGAGCAUAAC